GCCGGGUCGGGAGAGUUGAUGACUGUGUAUAUCUGAGAGAGCAUGGCGCCGCCUAGGCCAGCGAAUCCUUUGAGGAUGCCCACCACUGGACCUCGGCUCUUGGGGAAGUUUUGAACACCAGAGACUAGUGACGCCGUGUUGAAGUAGGUUUCUCCGUUGUUCCCAACGAAUAUGAGAAUACACAUCUGAAAAAUACAAAAAAAAAAAAAAAAGUUACUUCAGCACAGCAUACUAGGAAAAGUCAAUAGCUUAACCAGAAACAGAGCAAUUGCAAAGAAAGCAGAACAAGAGAUGAGAAAGUAAAAAAGAGUGAAACUUUCAUGGAUUUGACAGUGACUUAUGAGUAACCAAACAACCUUAAAAGCAUAUACUUUCCGAGAUUCUCUCACACAAUAGUUGAAUUAAUAGAAAGUCUCCAACGUUUUCACCCAAUCAAAAACAUAAACAGAUGAAUUAAUAAGAUUGAAACUCACAGCCCAUAGAGGAAGAAUCGGAGCACGGCCAGUGACGAUAAGCCAAACCCAUCCGUAACCAACGAGGUUCUGAACAGCGCCGACGAGAAGAGCAGCCCAGAGAGGCAGCAUCUCCGAGAGAUACCCUGCGAUGAAGCCGACACUGUCGCCAAGAUCCUUCGCCACUCCGAGCCUGGCGAGCUCCUUCUGGUUGUAGUUAAGGGAGCUUUUGAUUACCGGAGAAAUGCUUCCGAACAAGUAACCGAUACCGGCGCAAGACUGUAUCCACAUGGCAGCAACGAAGACAAGCCAUCGGUUGUUUAUGAAAGAUACGAACUUUUCUCGCGUUGUUGACGCCAUUGAAGAAGAAUCAGAGAUCAAAAGGACAGAUCGGUGAAAAAAAAGGUUUUUUUUUUUUUUGGGGUGUCUGAUUGUCUAUUUGUAUGUCUUUUUUAUCGCUUUAUAAGAUUUAAAUUAUAAAAAGACAACCAGACAUUGAGACAUACUGUAAGAAGGGGAUCGUAAAGACUGUAGAUAGAUCACGCCAACAAAGCUAAGUGAUUAAGUUUGUUGAUUAGUAGUAAAUAAUAUGAUUAAAACUUAUUAAGUACAUAGAUCUACUAAUUAAGGAAGAAGACGUGUACACAUUGUAUAACAAAAGGCUCGAUGAUUUUUAUGAACAGUCCAUGUAAGAUUUGUUGGGUGAUUUGGUCCCGUUAACUCUUCAAUGCCCAAGUGCGUGUCUGCCAUCUUGCACUUGCACUUGCAGUCUUUUUUAAAUUAAGAGUGAUUAUACUAUUUGUUUGAUUCUCAUGUGUCUUUGGUGGAUAUUUUUAUAAAAAAAUACUAUAAUUAACGAUUAUUGAAUACAGUAAUUUGAAAUGAUGAAAGCUAGCAUUAGCGAAUGCUUGAAAAGUAAUUGCUUUAACGUCAUUGUCAGUACCAAUAAGUUGAAUUGAAUCUUUAUCGCAAUCAUUUUUUUCUGGCUGGGAUCAGAGGUCGUAAGAAACGAAAUAAAAGUGAGAAAAUAUGAAAGUACGGUGCUCCUCCUAUCAAUGAUCCGUAAAUAUCUGCUACAUUUAUGGAGGAAUACAUCGUCUCACUAUUUUAAAAAUCAAUCAGAAGAAUAUAUAAAUUGUAUGACAUGGUGUGACCUGUGUCAUUAUCAAAUUAAAAAUCAUAUGUUACCCUUUUCGUUCUAUACUAUUGUCUAAGGUUAUAGACGAGUAAAAAGUUACGUUGUAACCGACGGGAGCUGUUAGUUUGGUGGUAGCCGUCGUAAAAAUGCUGUAAAAAAAACUUAAUUUUGUAAAAAACUUAAUUUGUUUGGUUCAAAAAAACUUAAUUUUGUUAUGAAAUAACUUAUAAUUUAUAGUAUCGAAAAAUUUAAAUAAGGGCGAAAUAUUUUCCCCGCAGAAAGAAGAUAUACGAUAAAUAUGCAAGAGAGAAUAUUUACUAUGAAGAGGGAGAAUAGAGAUGAGAUGUAAUGAUUCUUUGUUUAUAAACUCUUCUUCUUGUUUUUGGUGUACAAGAGAGUGAGAUGAGUGAUGGUAUUUAUAGUGAGCAACAAUACAUAAAAUAACAAAGAUGAUGCUUGAUUUGGUAAAUGAAUGGGUGAUCAUAGUGCUUGGUGAGUAGAUGAUCAUAGUGCUUGGUGAGUAAAUGAUCAUAGUGCUUGAGUUGGUAAAGGAGUGGAGGAUCAUUUCAAAGUUUAUCUUAUAACAUUCCCCCUUGAUUAUCCAUCUUGUAUUAAAUUAAGUUUCGUAACACUCCCCUUUGGGGACCGGUGUCACUCUCCGCUCUCGCUUAACGUCUUUGUUGCCUCGUUAAAAUCCUUUCUAGGAAAACCCAAUGAGAAAAACCAUAGUUAGGUAAAAAGAGUACAACUACGUAAGCUCCCCCUCGAUUGAGCAGUCAUAGAUCCUUCUGAUGACGUAUUCCAAUGUUAUGGACAUUUUUUCUGAAUACCGAAGUAGGGAGUGAUUUUGUGAAGAGGUCGGCUGCAUUGUCGCAUGAUCGAACAUAUCUUACUUCAAUCUCUUUAUUCUUCUCGAGCUCUUGAGUAUAUGAGAAGAACUUCGGAGGUAUAUGUUUGGUUCUAUCGCUUUUGAUAUAUCCUUCCUUCGUUUGAGCAACACAUGCCGCGUUAUCUUCAUAUAGAAUAGUUGGCCCCGUACUUUUGUCAAUCCCACUACUUGAACAAAUGUGUUGGCUUAUAGAUCUUAGCCAUACACAUUCUUUACUUGCUUCAUGGAGUGCGAUGAUCUCAGCAUGAUUUGAAGAGGUAGCCGCAAGCGUUUGUUUCUGAGAACGCCAAGAUAUAGCAGUGCCUCCGAUCGUAAAAACAUAUCCUGUUUGCGAUCGGGCUUUGUGUGGAUCUGAAAGAUAUCCUGCAUCUGCAAAACCAACCAUUUGACCAUUUGAAUCUUUAGGGUAAAAUAAGCCUAAAUCAAUAGUCCCUUGUAGGUAACGAAAGACAUGUUUAAUUUCAUUCCAAUGUCUUCGUGUUGGAGAUGAGCUAAAUCUUGCUAGAAGAUUAACAGUGAAUGAUAUAUCAGGCCGUGUACAAUUUACAAGGUACAUCAACUCUCCAAUUGCACUUAGAUAUGGUACUUCUGGACCAAGUAUCUCUUCUUUUUCCUCAGGUGGUCGAAAUGGAUCACUUUCAAUGUUAAGUGAUCUAACGACCAUCGGGGUGCUAAGAGGAGUUGAUUUAUCCAUGUUAAAUCGUUUCAACACUCUUUUAGUGUAUGUGGAUUGAUGCACAAAUAUACCAUUUUGUGAAUGUUCUAUUUGUAGGCCAAGACAAUACUGUGUUUGUCCAAGAUCUUUCAUCUCAAAUUCUCAUUUGAGAUAGUCUGAUGCCUUUUGUAUUUCUUUUUGAGUUCCAAUAAUAUUUAGAUCAUCAACAUAUACCGCGAUUAUCACAAAUCCGGAUGUUGUUUUCUUGAUGAAAACUCAUGGGUAUAUAGGAUCAUUCACAUAUCCUUCUUUUGUUAAAUGUUCACUGAGACGAUUGUACCACAUACGUCCAGAUUGUUUUAACCCAUAUAAUGAUCUUUGCAAUUUUAUUGCACAUAACUCUUUAGGUUUGGAACUUAAUGCUUCUGGCAUUUUAAAUCCAUCAGGUAUUUUCAUGUAGAUAUUAGUAUCUAAUGAUCCGUAUAGAUAAGCUGUAACAACAUCCAUGAGACGCAUCUCAAAAUUUUUAUCAGCGGCUAGACUCAUCAGGAAUCUAAAUGUGAUCGCAUCCAUUACAGGAGAAUAUGUUUCCUCAUAAUCAAUACCAGGUCUUUGAGAAAAUCCUUGGGCUACAAGGCGAGCUUUAUACCUUGUAAUCUCAUUUUUCUCAUUUCGUUUUCGAACGAAAAUCCAUCUGUACCCAACUGGUCUCACAUCUUCAGGUGUGAGUACAAUAGAUCCAAACACUUUUCGUUUGUUAAGCGAAUCAAGUUCGAUUUGUAUUGCUUCUUUCCAUUUAUUCCAAUCAUGUCUCUUUUGACUUUCAUAUAUGGAUUUCGGUUCUGGAUCAUCGGUAUCUUCAUUUACCUCACUUGACACGAUAUAUGAGAAAAUAUCAUCAAGGUCAUUUUGUUCAUUUCUAUUCCAUAUCCUUUUAUUAUGGAUGUAAUUAAUAGAAAUCUCAUGAUUAUUUUUCGAUUCAUGAUGCUCUGAUUCAUCAGAGUCCUUAUCAUUUAUUUCUUCCAAAAUAUUUUCUGCUAUUUUGGGUGCAUCAUAUAUUUCAGCUUUCUUCUGUUUCCUAGGAUUUUUAUCCUUAGAACCAGCAGGUCUACCACGCUUCAGGCGUGUUUUUGGCUCUCGUGUGUCAUCCUCCUUUUCUUGUUCAUUUGGCAUUUUGAUACGAGCAGGAGCAUUUGCAGCUGGUAUAUGAGAUUUAGUUACCGUCUUGGUAUCUGCAAAUGCAUCAGGUAGCUGGUUAGCUAUACUCUGUAAAUGCAUAAUUCGUCGAACUUCUAGUUCUGACUCUUUAGUAGGAGGAUCAAGAUAUAACAAUGAUGGUACACUCCAUUUUAUAUCACUUCCAACAUUUUUGUUUUCUCCCCUAGAACUGAGAAUACAUUUUCGUCAAAAUGACAAUCAGCAAAACGUGCUGUAAAGACGUCACCAGUCUGUGGUUCUAGGUAUCUUAUAAUUGAUGGAGAAUCACAACCAACAUAUAUUCCCAACCUUCUUUGUGGUUCCAUCUUUGUUCGUUGUGGUGGUGCUACAUGCACAUAUACCGCACAACCAAAGAUUCUAAAGUGGGAAAUGUUUGGUUCUCGACCAAACGCUAACUGUAGUGGGGAAUACUUAUGGUAUGCACUCGGUCUGAUCCGAAUGAGUGCUUCUGCAUGCAAAAUGGCAUGUCCCCAUACAGAGGUUGGAAGUUUUGAUCUCAUGAUCAAUGGUCUUGCAAUCAAUUGCAGACGCUUAAUUAAAUAUUCAGCCAAACCAUUUCGCGUAUGAACAUGAGCAACCGAAUGUUCAACUUCAAUUCCCAUUACCAUACAAUAGUCAUUGAAUGCUUGGGAUAUGAAUUCACCAGCGUUGUCUAGUCUAACUCUUUUAAUAGUAUAAUCAGGAAACUGUGCUCGCAGUUUGAUUAUCUGAGUUAGAAAUCUCGCAAAUGCCACAUUUCGAGAUGAUAAUAGACAAACGUAUGACCAUCUACUGGAUGCGUCAAUUAAUACCAUAAAAUAGUGGAAUGGUCCACAUGGUGGAUGUAUCGGUCCACGUAUAUCACCUUGAAUUCUUUCAAGGAACUUUGGUGAUUCUUUAUCGAUUUUGGUUGGCGAUGGCCUUACGAUCAAUUUUCCUAGAGAACAUGCAACACAUGUCAUUUUAUUCCCUUGAGAAAUCUCCUGGAUUUUCAAUGGAUGACCAUGUGAACUUUCUAUGAUUUUACGCAUCAUUGUAGUGCAUGGGUGGCCAAGGCGAUCAUGCCAUAACGUGAACUCUUCUGGGUUCCGUUUUACUACAAGAUUUGAUUCGAUCUCAUCGAUAUAAGUAUGAUGUAAUCCCGAAGGAAGUUCUGGAAACUUUUCCAAUAUGUGUUUUCUGCCACAUUUUUCAGAAAUUACAUACAUGUAUUUCUUUCCAUCCUCAGUUGCAGACUGAGUAUCAUAUCCGUGAAGAUAUAUGUCUUUAAAACUCAACAAAUUCCUUUUAGAACUCGGAGAAUAUAAAGCAUUAUUUAUGGAAAAUUUUGUUCCAUUUGGAAAGUAAAUUUUGCUUUACCAGUUCCUUCAAUCACGUCUGCAGGACCUGAUAUUGUAUUGACGACAAUUCUUGUCGGUUUUAUACAAGAGAAAUAUCUCUUUUGUCUCAGAAUAGUGUGCGUUGUUCCAUCAUCUGGUAUGCAUAUUUCACGAAUCCGUUUCUUGGAUUUUGCUCCAUUAGUAUUUUGAUCCAUUUCUGAAAUUAUCAUAAACAUUAAAUAAAAGUGAAACGUGAAAUUUAUUCAUUGAUUAUAUAAAGAAAACACACAAUAAUUAUACAUAUAUUGUUGUUAAAAUAACAUUAUUCUUUAAAAAAACAUAAUUAUUAUACAUUACAAAUGAGGACUAUUCAGCAGUCUUAUUAGAAACAUUUUCGUACUCUUCAAGAGUAUUCUAGUCCAGCUCAUUUGCGAAAUCAGAGGAUUCAAGGUAUGAGGUUCCUUCAACGUUUUCUGUGAGGUUCACCUCUUUAGCCUUUCCUUUUAUGGAUUCUUGAUAUAACUUGCACAAAUGUGGGGGAGUACGACAGGUACGGGACCAAUGUCCUUUACAUCCACAUCUGUAACAUACAGUCUCACUUUUCUUUGUGGUAUCCUCUUCGGUUUCUUUGCCUUUAUGAGGUUGUUCAGAUCUAACCUAUUUGCUAGAUCUAAUACUUUUAGGAUAGUAAGGCUUUCCACGUUUGUUGUUGAAACGCCGACCACGACCUCGGUUGGUAUGGUUUCUCCUUCCCGAAUAUUCUACCGCCGUAGCAUUCACUUCGGGAAAUGCCUUGGCUCCCGUAGGUCGGGAAUUAUGGUUUUUGAUUAGUAACUCAUCGUUCUUUUCAGCCAACAUGAGUGUUACCAUUAAUUCAGAAAAUUUGGUGUACCCACAUUUUCUGUAAAUUCGGGAUAAGACGUUGUGUUCUUUGUGGAAGGUAUUGUAUGUCUUGUCAAGCGUUUCUGCUUCGGUGACAGGGUUACCACAAUAUUUUAAUUGUGCAACUAUCCUCAAGAUAGUAGAAUUGUAGUCUCUAACCCUUUGGAAAUCCUGAAACCUCAGGGUUUUCCACUCUUCAAAAGCGUGAGGGAGAUUGAUUUCCUUUUGAUUAUCGAAUCUGUCUUUCAAGGCUUGCCAUAGUACAGCUGGGUCCUCAACGUCUCCAUAGUCGUGAGUUAGAUUCUCAUCUAAGUGCUUCUUCAGGAAGAUUAUCGCCUCGGCUAUAUGCCCGGGUGGCGAUUUGUUACCGACUUUUAUAGCUUCAGAUAUCUUUUUUAUUACAAGAUAAGGUUUCACAUUUGUGACCCAUCUGACAUAGUUUUCGCCGGUUACUUUUAGAGCCGGGAACUGGAGUUUCUCGAUGUUUGCCAUUUGUAUUUCUAAAACACAAAAUAGUAAUUUUAUUAGAACUUCAUAAUUUAAAAACCGUUUACAUUAACCAUACAAGCAAUUACAAGGAGAAACGAUGUAAAUAAAAGUAAACCGAUAUUCAUCUUAAAUUCACCCGGAGUAAAUUCUCCAACGAAUAAACCAUAAAUAGAAACACAAAUAAAAAUGGCACAUAAAAACAAAAGUGCGCGAAUCAUCUUUCUUGAAAUGAAAAAUCGGAGGAGAGCGAUUUGAAAUUUUUGAGAGAAGAUGAAAUGUUUUGGAUGAUGAAAUGGAGUGAAAAUGAGUUGUAUUUAUAGAUGAAAAUUACUGUUCAUGACCGUUGGAGAAAGGAGAAAAAUUUUCUUUGUGACCGUUGGGUUAAAUCGAGUGCACCAAAAAUUAGUCUGAAAAUAUCGUAUUAAACGGUCAAUCAAAUCUAUAAAAUUUCAUAAAAGUGAAAAAUUAUGACAAUGAAAUAUUUAUGUUAUAUGACAACAAAUCAUGCGACGGCUCAGCCGAUCAAUGCAGAAUAAUAAAUAAAUUAUACGGCGGCUCGGCCGACCAAUUAAUAAUAAACAGAAUAUAAGGCGGCUCAGCCGACCAAUAAAUAAUAAACAGGAUAUAAGGCGGCUCGGCCGACCAAUAAAUAAAUUAAAUUACUAGCAAAUAAUAUAGGCAGUAUUCCGGCCAUUAUAACAUGAUAUAAAUAAUAGUAGAGGCGGUAUACCGACCAUUAUAACAGUGUAUAAAUGAUACAAAUAAAUUUUACCGAAUCGCAGAGUGAUCGUGCUGAUAACGUGUUAUGAAAUAACUUAUAAUUUAUAGUAUCGAAAAAUUUAAAUAAGGGCGAAAUAUUUUCCCCGCAGAAAGAAGAUAUAUGAUAAAUAUGCAAGAGAGAAUAUUUACUAUGAAGAGGGAGAAUAGAGAUGAGAUGUAAUGAUUCUUUGUUUAUAAACUCUUCUUCUUGUCUUUGGUGUACAAAAGAGUGAGAUGAGUGAUGGUAUUUAUAGUGAGCAACAAUACAUAAAAUAACAAAGAUGGUGCUUGAUUUGGUAAAUGAGUGGGUGAUCAUAGUGCUUGGUGAGUAGAUGAUCAUAGUGCUUGGUGAGUAGAUGAUCAUAGUGCUUGAGUUGGUAAAAGAGUGGAGGAUCAUUUCAAAGUUUAUCUUAUAACAAAUUUGUAUAUAAUGUCUAUACAAAACACAACUUGCAUGCAUGACCUUUUUUUUUUGCCAGUGGCUUUUAUGUACAUGAACGCAACUUUUUUUUUUGAAAAUUACAUCAACGCAACUUGCAUGCAUGUGUAAGAGCAUCUGCAUCAAUGAACUUUGAGUGGGGUUCAUAAUUUUAAUUUUUUAUUAUUAUUUUUUUACUUUUCCGUUUGAUUUUAAAAAAAAAAAAUUAAGCAGACCAAUCGCGGACCACCACGUAGCGUGGGGCCCGCAAUACAGUGAUGAACCAGGUUCAUCCCACUAAACCUGUAGGAGCUGAGCUCACGAAAAAGAAAAUAUUUUAAUAUAUUUUUUUUUGGAAAAAGUGUGAACUUCAUUGAAGGUCGAAUGCAGAUGGUCUGAUGUCCUAUUUGCAACAGAACACGAGUGUGUUCAAGUAAUGAAUAUUAUUGGUUUAUUUGGUCAUACACUUGUACGUUUUCUUGUCAAGAAUCGCAUUUGCAAAUCAAUUAUUCGGUGAAGAGUCGUUUUCACGUGUAUUUAUAUGAAAGAAAUAUGUAUAUAUUUAGAUUAGUCCAAUAUGUUAUUGAAUAUUCGUCGCAACAAAUAAAAUAAACACGUUCGUUUAACUUGCGUAAUAAAAUACAUAUAUGAGCGGCUCGACCCUAAUAUGGAUAAGUUAUCAAUUUUUAUGGACAAGAAUUGAUUGUAUCAUGGCCCUGUUCGUUACUGAAUAGGUGCGGCAGCGACCAGAAAAUUAACACUAAUGAAGAGCGAAGUAGCUAUGGUGGAACAGAAAUAGUCGCUGGAAGUGAUCUCCGGAUAACUCCGUGACGUCUUUUAUGGACGCCAAUUUUUUCAGCGACGUCUCUUGUUUGUAAUAGAUCUGUCGCUGCGACACUAAAUAGCUCCGUCACCCACGUUUCGCUCCAUUAAUUAAUAGAAUCACUGUUAUAUUUUCUGUCGCUGCGGCAGCGGUUCUGAAACGAACAGGGCCCAUCUAUAUUUUUUUCUGGCAUAUAAUGUCGACUCCUAGAAAUUCGAACAACUUAUCCAUUUGAUGUUGUGUCCAAAUGAACUAGGAGUAACCGCUAUUUCUAUAGUAAAAACUAAUUUUCUAGACAUUUAUAGAAAUAUACUUACGAUGAAUUCAUUGAUAAAGACAGAAACUCAGUGCUCAAAGGCCAAAUGUCUCUUGCAAUAAAAGAAAAAGAGACAAAGUGUCUCUUCUAACAAACAGAAAAAAACAAGAGAUACUACAUACCCACGAGAUCGAAUCAGAUUCUUAGCAUACCCAACAAUCAAUAUAUGGUGUGACAAUAGUAUAAUUUUAUAGUUUUGAUACUGCAGAGAAUGGUUCUUUUCUUCACCUUGCAAACUUCUAAAUUCGUUCGGUUGAUCAAGCUUAUGUUUCAUUACAAUCUCUCAUUCUUCGCACAAGCAUCCUAUAAAACAACGUACAUACACUAGCUAUAGCCCGUAGCUUUUACAACGAACUCUUGAAUUUACCAUACAUAUUAACCGGAUUGUUUUAAGAUACCGAGACGAUGGCGUUGAACUGGGGACCAGUGUUAAUGUCGGUGAUUCUGUUCAUCAUAUUGACGCCCGGAGUACUGUUCCAGCUUCCUGGGAAGACCAAAGCGGUUGAGUUUGGCGGAUUUCAGACAAGCGGCGCAGCUAUAGUCAUCCACACUCUUAUCUUCUUUGCAUGCAUCACAGUCUCCCUUAUCGCUCUUCAUAUCCACAUAUACGCUUCCUAAUCAAUUUAACAUUGCCGUGUCCCUCAAUGCUAGCUGCAUCCUUAAUUUUAUAUCCGAAUCAUCAGCUUUGAUUUCUAAUUCCCUUUAAGUGUUCUCUUCCUUGUUGUUUUAUUAGUACCUUUUUUUGAACUACUAUUAGUAUUAGUACCUUCUACAAUCAUAUGAUUUCAUUUUCUUAUAUAUGAAUCAUCAUGCAUGGACGAGAACUGACAAUUCUUUUCAUAAAUUAGAAUCUAAAUAUAUCUAUGACUACGGAUAUUCCAUUCUUCAAGGCUAAUUAACAAAGUAUUAUAAUAUUAAGAUAUAUAGUAUUGACAAACUACUUGAUGAAAAUUGUUAUUAUGAAAUGUUGAAAACAACAUAUGAAUAUAUGAUAUAUAUCUUCAUGGAGAAGCAAUAUAUAAGUGAAUUGAUAAGUACCUCUCGCCACAAACUUGCGCUCAAUCGGAACAAGUUAUCGUCACGUCAAACAUAGUAGAUCAUUAUCAAUUUGUUUUGUUAUUUUUGAACUCAACAUCACAUCACCAUUUCAUCACUUAGUAAAGGUUUAUAUAUUUUGAUUGAUUUAGAAAUUUAUGUAGUAUUUAUAAAUUCAAGUAAAAUAUACAAAUCCGGAAGUUUUCCUCGGAUUUGAGUCUUUGUAUUUUUAACAAAAAAAUUCAAACAAAUCUAUUCAAAUCCAUUAUAAAAUCAAAUUUAUCAGUAAAUCCUUACGAUCGAAUAACAUUUAAUUUGAUAUAAAAUUUAUGAAUCAUUAAACCAAUAACAUAUUAUUUUAAUAGAGAUUUGAAAAUCAUAAAACUAAUAACACUAGAUUUAGUUUGGAUUUUCGAAUCCAUUAAAAUACAACCAUUGGCCCACUAAAGCUUUUAACGAAAAAAGAAAAGAAAAUCGGCUGGUGAUUUGGGCUUUUAAUAAUCUUAAAGGGUCCAUAUAUUUGCAAAAUGACGGCCCAUAGAAAGAGGCGAAUCACGAAUUCACGAUCAAGGAACGAUUUCACCAUAAACCCUCCUCUUAAAAUCCCUAGCGUCCCCACUGGCCUGCGAUCUUCGAAUCUGAUUCUUGGGAAUCGAAAUACUAUAAUGGGUUUGACGAAUUUCAUACUGACGGUGGCCGGAGUAGGCGCCGUUGUGAUGCUACUGAAGGGCGACGUCAAGCAAUCUGCCACCGUCUUGAGGCGCAACGUCAAGCACAUCCGCAACUGGCUCGAAGAGGAAUCUUCCGCCGCCUCCAAGUUAGCCAUCUUUCUCUCGAUCACGAUUCUUUUUUUUUUUUUAAUUUUACUUUCACGAAGUUGUUUGUUUAGGGAUUAUGAUUUUGUAAUUUUUUCUCAGCGAGCUUAGUGCGCUGAUAGAUUUCAGAGCAAUCUUUGAUUGAAUUCGUAUCCAAGUAUUGUAAAAAGAUAAUUAGAACGAAACCGUAGUUUCUUUGGGUGACCAGUUUCUAAGAUUUGGUAACUUGAUAAAUUAAGAAAAAUUGAUUAGUGUAGUAAUGACUUGAUGGUGACAGUGGUUUAAGUGUGCAAAAGAGGAGUGUGGUUCAGUGCUGGUUAUUAGAUAGCAACACAAAAGCAAAGUGAGUGAGUGUGUGAGUGGCUGAUGAGUUUGAUUGUGGGUUUUUUUUUUUCAGGGCAGCUCAGUCAGCAAAACCAAAGGAAAUUGAAACCAAGGUUCCGGAGAAGGAUGUUCCAAAAGACAAGAAUUAGUGUGUGUGUUGUGCUUUUCUGUAUACAUACACGAAGGUUUUUUCUGUUUUGGUAAGAGUUGUGGAUGUAUGACUCCGGUUUCAACACUACUUAGCUGUGAAUUUUUGUUUUGGUUGUCUGUCUCCAUCUCUCACGUCUUAGCGUUUGAGCAAUGUUGGAAGUGAAUGAAACACAAUAAUAUCCAAUUAUACCUCUUGUAACUGACAUUUUUCCAAGGGAUUUUUUUCUUGAUAUGUAUCUGAAAUUUGAUUGAACAUGUACUUAUUUUGCAGCGGCAAUUGCAUAUUCUCUUAUAAAAUAAAGCUUACAAAAGCCUGGCAUGAUAGUGGGCUUUUUGUUGUGAAGGCCCAACAAUGCAGACUCUUAAAAGAAAAUAAAUUUGCCUGAAAAGCCCAAGGCUCUAUUUCCUCCAUCGCGUAGGAGGGUAAAAAAGUAACGAACACUCACCGGGACUGAGAAUUUCCGCCAAAUAUUUUCCGAUCAUACCGGAGCUAUUAUAUAGUGGACCAUGUUACUUUCGACGGUUUCGAGCUUCGCGCCGGUCUUCCGUAUCGGCGAACCACCAGCGUGCGCAGUUGGCUGGAAGCAAGCGUACGCCAAUUACUCCUGAACUCCAUAAAUCUUCUUCACCGCAUACUUUGAUUUCUCUCACUGUUGGUUGGGUUUUUGUUAGGUUGAGAUUUCGGAGGACGACGAAACGUAGUGUAAUCUCUUGCGAUUAUUCAUGCCUCGAGGUGGGUGAAUGUCUUUUUCCACUAUGAUUCUUCUUUCUGUUUUCAGUGAAUGUAGUUGAUUCAGCUUAAUAUUUUUUAUUUUCCUCUCUAAAUCGUUUGGGUUUGUUAUGAAUUGCGUUUUGAAGGUUAGGGAUAUAUGCUACCGUCCACCUGGAACAGAGUUGAAUAUUUUGAAUGGUGUUAAUCUUUCUCUCCGUGAGAAGAGGUUCUCUUUGCUUUUAUCUCAUUAUUGCUUGUCUCUCUUUUGAGCUAUUUAGCUUCUUUCUCUGCGUGUAUAAGCAUGCCUAACAAAUAGUUUUGCGUUUCUAUUCUUUCUCCAGCUUUGGCUUGAUUUUUGGCAAGAGCGGGAGUGGAAAAACUACCCUUCUGCAGGUUCAUUGUUUCACGAUCAUACACAGUUUUUAAUCUUACAAAUUUUGGAUUUUUUUACCUUCUUGUCUUCUGCAGCUUCUUGCGGGGCUGAACAAACCAACAUCAGGUUCCAUUUGUAUCCAAAGAUAUGGGGAUGAUGGCCAACCAAAUGCGGAUUCUGAGCUGUUUCCCACUGAAAAAGUUGGCAUCGUUUUCCAGUUUCCAGAGAGGUACUAGUAGUCAUUAUUACCCUUUUGUUUGAUCUUAUCAGUGACAAGAAGAUAUUGAUGUGUAGUUUUUUUUUGUUUUGUGUGCGGCAGAUUCUUUGUGGCAGAUAAUGUGCUUGACGAAAUUACUUUUGGUUGGCCAAGGCAAAAGGGUAGUUUGCAGUUAAAGGAGCGUCUGACUUCAAACCUCCAGCGAGCUUUUAAUUGGGUAUCCCACUCCUCCUGGUUCGGUCAAUGGUCAUAUUGUGUCCAGUGAUACUCUCUUAUAGUUGCUUUCUUAUUGAAUUGUUAGGUUGGGUUAGACAGCAUCCCACUUGAUAAAGACCCCCAGUUACUAAGUGGAGGCUACAAGCGUCGGCUUGCACUAGCUAUUCAAUUGGUGCGACCAAAGGUUUUUUUAACGUAUGCAAAAUUGACCUGUUCUAAGUGGUCAUGCUUUUUGUAGGUGCAAACUCCUGAUUUAUUGAUUUUGGAUGAGCCCCUCGCCGGUCUUGGUAUGACGGAUCCUGCUUCUUCUCUCUCUUGUGUGUUUUUGCUUGUCGUUCUUUACAGAAUAUGUUUCUUCUUUUCUCUUUGGUGUUCUCGCUGCAUAUGAUCUUCAUUUUUCUUUUCAUUUGCAUGAAAACCAUGAACGGUUUCUCAUACUAUGUCAUUUUUGAUUUUUCUCUGCAAUCAGAUUGGAAAGCACGCGCGGAUGUUGCAAAGCUCUUGAAGCACCUGAAGAAGGAACUGACUUUACUUGUUGUAAGUCAUGACCUAAGGUAUGCUCAGUUUUUUCUUUCUCUUCGCUUCGGUGUUAAUGAUUUUGCACACUUUCUUUUAUAUUUUUUCUCAUAAACAUAGCGCCUUCUCUACACAUGUACCUUGUUUGAGCUAUUGUUAUACAGUCGUCUCCCAUAUUUUCUUCUCUUUCAAGUAUUAGUUAUGGACCUUUUUAAGUAAAACAGUUUGAGCUCUUGUUAAUGGGAUUAAUCCAAUUUUUCUCCCUUAAACAAUUGCUGCUACUGCUUUUCACCUCUCGUGCUUUUUGUAUAAAAUAUUUCUGCAGAGAGUUAGCAACCUUGGUCGACCAGUCAUGGAGAAUGGAAUCAGCUGGUGUUCUUGUUGCAGAGCGUCCACCAGUUUAGUUCGAUAUUCAUUAUUGCCGAAGGUCCAUACCAGGUUCGGCUCGGAUACUUUUGGUUAUUCUGGUAUUCUUGCAGAAAAGUGAUAUAGGAUUUUACCCACGCAUACAUUUAUUAUUGUAUGGAGUUUAGAGAGCCGCUCGUUCUUUUGUAUAGGAGAUAAUGACAUGUUACGGUUUAUCAGUUGAGAGAGAUACAAUGUUUCUCUUAUGAGAUCAAAACGUAUAACUGGAUUUGAGUCAAUGCGGACAACAAUGAUUUCUCUUCAUUUUAGUUUGCCAAACCAUGGAUAUGAGAUAUCUUGCUGCAAUUAUAAAACCCGGUGAAUAUUUAUUAUUACAUAGAAGGGCAUAACGAACAUUCCCGCUAAGUUUUGAACACAUUUUACAUAAUCACACCACACGAUUCACACAUGCAUGAACUGACAUAACACACUCGCACUUUUUAAUUUGCGUUUCUUCUCAUCCCUUACAGCUCCAACACGAAGUCUGCAAAGCAAUGUUGGAUUAUUAUCUGGUUCGACCACAAGCAGAAAACUAGUGCAUGCCUAAAUGGCAUUGUAUAAAUUUUUUUUGUAUAAGUAAAGAUCCAGAAUCACAUUCUUGCUUUGAAAUAAAUGGGCUUAUGAAUAUAUCAGUAGUAUGAAGGUGCACUUACAGUCUUCGUCUGUUUUGAUCCAGUGUUCUCCUUUUCCAGAUGAAUGUGAAUUUCUUAGCUCAUAUUGGAUCCAUCUUUUACUUGUCUUGUGACAUGGUCUCACCUUCUCGGACAUUAGUCCAGUAGAAUUUGCUUUGCUGUUUUUUGGUUCUGUCAUGCUGCUGUAUAUUUUGCUUUCCAUUAUGGAGUCUUCUGGAUAUACUUUCCUAUGGAAAACUUGUGCUAUCUGCACUUACAAUAAAUUCAAGUUUGUUAGAAGCAAGCUUUUCACUAGAGCUAAUUCUGCAACAGUAUUAUAGAAGUGCUCUAGAAAAUGCUUUCAACAUGUUGUAUAUUUCAAGAUGUUGCAUGUAUAGGCAGGCGUUUUAGAGAGCAGAGAAAAAAAAAAUCAUACCUUUUGGAACUUCUUCUUGGUGGAAGCUACUUCAGUUUUACCACUGUCAGGGCUCCUGGAGGAUAGGUGAAGCUUUUUAAGUACCUUCUUCACAAAAUGCUUUGCAGACUUGUGAGUUGAACUGGCUUUCUUCUUUUCCUCCUCAUACUUGUUUUCUGAAUGCUUAUCUUGCACCUCUGUUGCCUGAAACAGUUCUCCAAGUGAUGCCCGUUCCUUCUUCCCUGCAACCUUUGUUUCUGAUGAUUCGAUUUGAGAGCCAAAAAGAUACUCUUGGAGCGGAAACUUCAUUGGCUGAUCAUCUUCUUCGGCAUCUACUCCCUCAGCGGCCUCAAUGGUAGAUGCAAUAGUAUUAGUGUCGCUGUUCCUUCCUGAUGGUUGGUUGUGCCCUUCUUUAGCUUCAGCCUCAAGGAACUUCUCCAAUUCAUUGCUAAUGAGCUUCAGAUCAUUCUCUGUCACUUCUGCAUUAUCUGUUGCUGGUUCCCCAGAUGACAUGCCAAAUGUUGGUGUUGCUGGUUCAUCCAGAAAUGUUUCUCCACCGAGGGUUCCAAUGGCAAGAAAGCCAUGAAAAAAAUCACUGUUUCUCGCUUCACUGAGUCCUGCGAAGGAGCUUUCCUGUAACAGAUUAAAUUGUUUGCUGUAUCUGGGGCCAGCACUUGCUCCAGCGUAAACAUCUUGGCUUUCAAGGGACGGAUGAGCUGAGAGGGGGAAAAGACUGUUACCUGAAAAGGAUUCACAUUUGAAGAGAAGAGUUGUUAAUUUUCUUUCAAAAAAGUGAUGACAGCUACUGAGGGAAAAAGAUAAUGCAUUUGCGCAAAUAAUAGUGAAAGAUGUCGAUUUGUUGCAGUAGACGAGAGAUCUGGUUUAGCUGCUCUCACUCACAAAAUCAAUGGCCAAGAAAAAGUUGGUGUCAUGCAAAUUGACGCCCAUCACAAUGAUUUUACACACGAGCACAUGACCCUACUCUUCUAUCAGGUCAGUUGUUUAAUUUUGUACUAAUGGAUGUUAAAGUAGUGAGACAAUUAAUGACUAGGCCCUAAAAAUGCUUGCUAAGUCCUAUUGCUAUUCUCCUAGAAUUCAACACGCUUCCUAUUCUUGUUCCCACACAUUUUGACAGGAAAAUAAGCAUUUAGAGAAGUACGGUUAAAUUACCAGUUGUAGCAUCUUUCAAUAGCUCUUUGCUGUUCUCCCGUGACUUAUGAUGUAUCCAGCCCCAAAACUGUUAGAAAAAGUAAGCAUGGGUAAGUGUUGGCCACAAGUUAGUUGAUAUUUUUUGUAGAUAUGGAACGUACCUUCAUUUUCGUUCUGACACACGAUACUAGAGGAGAAAGUGACUUUUAUAGAGAACCAUGAUUGCUUGAAAGCCCAUGAUAAAGCAGUGAGUUAGUUGCUAUUGCUAACAGUACCUCAAGACUUUUAGGUUGAUGACAGUGGAGACCAACACCAAGAAAGCUACAAAAUUUUGGUUGGCCGUUCUCUUUCAAGAUCACAUCAAGAACAAGUUGGAGGCCCCUUACAGACAUGAGGCUACUGUUGUGGUUACAUGACACGGAAUUGGAGUAGCUAUCCGUAAUUACAAUCAUCUAUCAUCUCAGGUAUUACAAUUUGAUCUUGAAUUGAGUUUCUAUACAUAAACGUUGUGGAUUUUUGUGGCGUUCAUGAGCCAUCGAUAUUAUAUUAACGAGUCGUUUUGUUAAUAAGAUAUACAUAAAUAUUGGAUGCAAAAUGAAUAUUUCUAUUGCUUUGUGUUUUGUAGAAAUUCUUUGCUGCAAAUUUCGAUAAAAAUUAUCAAACCAUCUCAUGUAUACGCUAGAAGGGAAUAUGCAUUAUGUUUGCAAUUUAGAUACAUAGCCAACGUGACUGGAUGGUAUAAACUCUUCUGUGUUAGUCAUAGAAGAACAGUAAACUUUGUUGUACACUGUGCUGCUUUCCAGAGAGAUUUAUUUAGUUUUUUAUUUGAAAGAAGAAUCAAUGCUGGCUCCUUUUAAGAGUGAUUGAAACUGCAUUAUGUUCAAAUAGUUUCCAAUGGAAAAAAGUACUGUUUCGUUCUGCUUUUGUAGAUUUGGCCGUCUCUGACAAGAAGAAAAGGCAUAUAUAUAUGACUACUGUUGUGCAGAAAAGUAAAGAAAGAGUGCUUUUUCCAGGAAGCCUAUGGAAGCUCUGUGACAGAACAACAACGACUGCUUUUCGUACUAGUUGAUUUAGACAAGUGAAGCCGUCCACGACAUCAGGUACUGUAUUUCUGCAGCAAUGUUUAGUUUGCGUUGUAAUAUUACUAUUGGUAAUGUAAUGGGAUUUGUCGCCUUUAUUAAAUAUAUCCUAUACCUGGUUCCUUAGCCGUAGAAGCACAUUGUUUUGGUAGAUGCAAGUAGGAACUUGGUAGAAACUGAACCGUAAACACUUAGGCGUCUGUGUGAAACACCAUAGACAGUCAAUGCAGAUUAGAUUAGAAUUGAUUUGAUUAGAUUAGCGGGAACAAAGACAAGGAUGAGGGAACAAAAUAAAAAUGAGAAAGCAAAAGGGUGGUUAAGUAGGAUUAAAAGAGGAAAGAAGCAUCUGGGGGUUGAAAGAUAGGAACAAACAGAAGUAGUUAGUUAUGAGGUAUGGGACCAAUGUUCCAGAAUUAAACAAACUUACAAAUGCUAAGUUUUGCAAUCUCGAGUCACUUCCACUGCUCCCACUCCAUUAUAUAUAUCUCUUUGAGAAUGUGAUGGACUUGUGUCAAAAUUCACGUGGACACUUGAUAAGCCGAUUCUCUUCUUUGUCAGUUUCCCCAAUCAUAUCUUCUUUUGGUAUAAUAUCCAACAGUUUCACUUUCCUUUGUUCCCAUGUUGUUGAUGAUAUACAUAAUAGAAAGAUCAACAAUAAAAAAAAUAAUCGCCUUUUCUAUUAUUUUUCUCUACUGUCUUCAUCUGUAGUGGGUCAUGACUCAUGAGCCCCCCUCCUACACCAAUCUGUGAAGUUAUCAAAAAAGAUUUGAUUCUGAUAGUGACUGCUAGGGAGAGUUUGCCAUUCCUACCGAGUAAAUAAGUAAAACUUCUCCCUAGGUGUUCAAUCCGGAUAUCGGUUCGGUUUAGGUUCGGUUUUUUUCGGUUUUCGGUAUUUCGGUUAGUAAAAUAUAACUAUCAUUCUAAAUUCAUAUUUACUUUGGUUCGGUUCGGUUUAUAUACCGUCGGUUUUCGGUUUAUUCGGUUUUAUACCAAAAAAUAUAAUUAUUUAGUUUGAGAUCAUAUAAAAUAAAUUUUAGAGUCAUAUUAUCAACACAGUCAUUUAUAAAAAAUAUAUUACAUGUUCAAAUAAAUGAACAAAAACGUAAAAAUGCUUCUACCAUCAAAUAAAAUCAUCAAAUCUAUAAUUAAAAUCAGAACCUGAAAUUUUGAAAAUAAAAAUAUGAAACAAAACAGAAACAUGAAAGAAAAGUUUUUCCACUCUUCCAUAUUUAGUGUUCAUUAAGGUCAUGCUUUUUCGAUUGAACAUGAAACUCUGUUUGUUUAUAGAUAAGAAAAAAGUUGUGAAAAUUUUCCAUUAAUUAUUUUCCAUCAAAUUUAUCAUCUUCAUAUUAAUUUAGUGAAUACUAAAAUAAAGCAAAAAGAUAAAAAAAGACUUAGAAAAUAAGAUGUCUGAAUUGCGAUGUAUUGUUAUUUAAUUAUAGUUCAAGUGUUUUACAAAUUAUAUAAGGUUCUUUAUUACUAUAACAUUACGGUAAUAGUUAUUAACACAAAUUUAACUUAUAUAACAAAUAGAUUUUCAUGUAUUGUUAUAAAAUAGAUACAUAUUUACAUGUUUCUACUUUUAAUCGGUUUUAUUCGGUUUAUUCGGUUUAAUCGGUUAUAUACCAAACCAUAUCCAAAUCCUACAAUUUUUAUAAAAUUAUAUCUAUUCGGUUUAUAUGAUAUCUACCAAAACCAAACUAUAUUGUCUAUUUCGGUUCGGUUCGGUUCGUUAUGGUUCGGUUUUACCAUAUUGAACAGCCAUACUUCUCCCUGUAAUUUACACUUACCGAUUUUAAUCUUAUAUGGGCCAAACAUGGGCCACUAUGAGUUAGAGUUCUAACUAAUGGGCUGGCUCACUAAGUAAUAUGACUAAUAUCUCCUCCUUCUCCUCUCCAAUUUGACAGCGACCGGAAAUGGUGACGUCAUCUGUCAUGAGACCUGCGGCGGAGCUCGCGGUCAGGAUCGGCCGUGAGCUCCUCAAAGUCUCCGCAACCUCUCGCUCACCUCGGACAUGGAGUCCAUCGAUGGAACAAACUCUUCACAGUCUCGGCUUUCGUCACUCAAUAAGCCCUUCGCUCGUCUCUCGAGUCAUCGACCCGUUCCUCCUCAACCACCACUCCUUAGCACUCGGGUUCUUCAACUGGGCCGCCCAGCAGCCCGGUUACUCCCACGACUCCAUCUCUUACCACUCCAUCUUCAAAACCCUCUCGCUCUCUCGACAGUUCUCCGCCAUGGACGCCCUCUUCAAACAGGUCAAAACUCAGAGAAUCCUCCUCGAUCCCUCCGUGUAUCGCUCCCUCAUCGACGCGCUUCUGUUGGGUAAGAAAGCUCAGAGCGCGUUUUGGGUUUUGGAAGAAGCUCUUUCGACGGGUCGGGAGGUUCAUCACGAUGUGUGCAACCGUCUCUUGGCUGCGUUAACGUCUGAUGGAUAUUCUGAUUAUGCUCAGAAACUGUUCGUUAAAAUGCGUGAGAGAGGUGUUUCUCUCAAUACACUUGGCUUUGGUGUUUAUAUAGGAAGCUUCUGUAAGAGUUUCGAUACGGAUCAGCAAUUGAGACUUGUGGGUGAGGUUAAAAAGAGUAACUUUAACAUCAAUGGGUCCAUUAUUGCGCUCUUGAUUCUUCAUGGUCUUUGUAAAUGUUCGAGAGAGAUGGAUGCUUUUUACAUUUUGGAAGACCUAAGAAACAUUGAUUGCAAACCGGAUUUUAUGGCGUAUAGAAUCAUAGCUGAAGCGUUUGUAGCGACUGGGAAUCUGUACGAGAGACAGGUUGUUUUAAAGAAGAAGAGAAAGCUUGGAGUAGCACCUAGGAGCAGUGAUUACAGAGAUUUUAUCUUGGAUUUGAUCUCUGCUAAACGUUUGGUUGAGGCUAAGGAAGUGGGUGAGGUGAUUGUGAGUGGAAACUUCCCCAUUGAUAGUGAUGUCCUAGACGCGUUGAUUGGAUCAGUCUCUGCGGUUGAUCCAGAUUCUGCUGUUGGAUUCUUGAAUUACAUGGUGGUAAACACAGGGAAACUGCCUGCGAUUCGGACUCUGAGCAAAUUGAGUAAGAAUCUUUGCAGGCACGAGAAGGGGGACCUUUUGGUAAAGGCUUAUGAGGUUUUGUCAAGCAGAGCUUAUUUUUCAGAGCCUGAGAGUUACAGUCUGAUGAUAUCGUUCUUGUGCAAGGCCGGGAGAGUCAGAGAAGGGUACAGUGCUCUGCACGAGAUGAAGAAGAAAGGACUUGAUCCAGACGUUUCACUCUAUAACGCUCUCAUCGAAGCUUGUUGCAAAGCGGAAAUGAUCCGGCCAGCAAAGAAGCUGUGGGAUGAGAUGUUCGUAGAGGGAUGCAGAAUGAAUCUGACGACUUAUAAUGUACUUAUCAAGAAAUUGUCGGAGGAAGGCGAGGUAGAUGAGUCUUUGAGGCUGUUUCGGAAGAUGCUUGAGAAAGGGAUAGAACCAGAUGAAACAAUUUAUACGUCUCUCAUCGAAGGCCUAUGCAAGGAUACAAAACUUGAGGAUGCUUUGGAAGUCUUCAGAAAGUGUAUGGAGAGGGAUCAAAUAGUUGCGAGAAGGGUAUUGAUCACGUUUGUUUUAAAUCUAUGCAGCAACGGUGAGAGAACAAGUAUAUGUGUCAUCUAUGUUACGUUUAGUUGCCUUGCAAGUCAAGUUUGUGAUUGAUUCGUUUGGUGUAUUAUGCGUGUAGGCCAUUUUGGUGAGGCGUCUCAGCUGCUGCGCGAGAGAGAACAUUUGGAACACACAAGUGCACAUGUAGUGUUGUUGAAAUGUGUGGCUGAUGCGAAAGAGGUUGAGGUUGGAAUCAAACAUAUGAAAUGGAUCAAAGAGGUGUCUCCAUCUCUUGUUCACACCAUUUGUUCGGACCUUUCGGCGUCUUUCUGUUCAUCAUCUGAUCCUGAUUCCAUUCUUCCGUUUAUUCGAGCACUUGAGCUCUCAUAGCUACACCGAUAGGCAAAUUUAUUAUGUGUAGACCAGAUCCUAUACCCUAGACUGUAAUGGAGUUGUCUGGGUAUACAUUACAAGUCUAUGUAAGAAUUAUUCAAAUGAAUAAUAUUUUCUUACGGUACAUGUGGUUUAGGUGGGUCUUUUUCAUGAUUAAAAGUGUUAUUGAUGUAAAGGUUGAAGGCUUGAAGUACCGAAGAGAAGCAAAUCUGUGAAGCUAUUGGAUCAGGUAUCAUCUCAUCUUUGACGCAACGGUCGGGUCAAAUCACAGCUUUUUUUUUUGGCGGGUGUCCGUACUAUGGAAUGUGGACCACUAAGGCAGUUAUUUACCUGAUUUAAACAAAAAAAAGGCAGUAAUUUACCUGCAGUUAACAGUUAUUACGGUUGAGAUUUGGGUAGUGAAAAGACCUUGCUCUUGUCUUAAUUUGGCCAUUAUUUGCAAUUCAACAUUGAGAGCUGUAAAACCAGAGAUGGUAUAUAUAGAACGCUAUCCAGAGACAGUGAUUACUAUAUUAUAUACUUGUGUGAUUAAGAGAGACAAAUUAAAGAGCUAAGCUUAAAACAAACGCACUCUUCUCCCCUCAAGUCUCUAAUUCAACACUAAGAUUAACCUCAUCUUUUGUGUUCUUUGAAACCAAAAAAGUAACAAGCAAGGAAAAGGAAAAGAAAACGGAGAAGGUGAACUGUGGACAUGGGGUCAGAGCCAGAGAGCACCAGCAUCUUUGAGAAGAGGGACGAGUGAGCCGUUGAUAUGUGAAGCCAUCACUCUCUCCAUUGAUCCUAUCAUCUUCCUACCGAUGAAUACCACCGGAAGUGCCCCCGGAGAAGUGGGGCUGGAGCAGCCAAGGAGACGAAGAAGGGCUCGGUGGAUAUCGACGCCAUAAGGGUGGAGGUCGAGCUCAUGGACGGCAGGGCUGACUCCCAUUCCGCGGAAGAGACGCUUCAUGGCGUGGCACAUGGAGCAAGUGCUCAUGCUGAAUAUAACCACCGCAUUUUCUGCAGCCAUGGACUCAAUCCUAACAAGAGUCUCCGAUGGAAAGACUCCCAUGUUGUUCAUCUUAUUAUAGGAAAGCGAGUCCCGAGUUUCGGAUUUGUAUUGCAUUUUGUCUUUCUUAGUUAGAGAGAUAUAUAUAGAAGGUGAGGUGUGUGAGUUGGUUGGGAUGUUGAAAAGAGUAAGAUGCAUGCAGACUAUUUACAGAAGGUGAGCUCUUCAUUUGAUUUGUACAUUUUGUUAUUUAUUUAUUCUAUAUUCCAAAUGAGAACAAAGUAACUGAUGUGAUAACUGAUAGCCAUGGUAGUUUAGCUUUUUAUAAUAAUAUGAUAUUUACUAAAGUUUAAAUAUGUUUAUCAGCGUUUUUAAACAAUAUGAAGUGUGGAAUAUUUUUGAUAUUUUCAGUUAAUUAGGUUAAUAGAAUAAAGGAUUUUUUUUUUUUGGUAAAAGAAUAAAGGAAUUGUUGGUAAUAGAUAUUAUAUCAUUCGUGUCGGCUAUUACCGCAAUAACGUCUUUAAUUAUACAGUUACACUAGCUAGUUAUGUCUUCAAAAAUGGUCUACUAUCUACGUAGAUGUGAAUAAAAUAUGAUUUACUGUGAUUUAUAGACAGCGCCGAAUAAAAACUUUGACGCUGCCAACAUUAUGUGAGCAAGUCGUAACAUUGAGAUGAGGUCGAAUGUUUAGAUAUGGCCGGUGGUUUUCCAAUAUAUUCCAUUUUUAUGCUUGGAUUCUCUGAUCAAUCUAUUUAAACAAGCUACACAAAAUAUAAUUAUCAAUAUGAUCAUAAAGAAAUUGGAAUAUUUUGUUUGGAACGCAAUCCAAGUAGGGCAUCGAUAUAUGCAAAUACAUUUAUAUGAGUGGAAUAUGUAAUCAGGGUCGAAUUUUGUGUAAUCAUUUAUCCUAGGUUCAGUGGAGGAUAUAUAAAUUACGCAAAAAAUCAUACAAAAAUAGAAAUAAAGGAGUCAUCAAUAUGCUUGGAAUGACCUUUUCUUUGAAAAAAGAAGCACUACUAAUUUUGAUAUAGUUGCAACCAGCAUUUACUUGCUAGCUAGUAGCUAACAUCAGGAAUAUCAGUGUUCUUGAUGUAUGGAAACUACAAGUUGCCAUGUGUUCUUGCUAACAUCUUUAUAUUUAUAUAUGGUAAAUCAAAAGUAGUGAUUUCUUUUAAAUAAAACUGCAUAAUUCAUAUAAUGUAGACUUUAAUUGUAGAUAAGUUCACUAAAAGUCUGGAAGAAGGUUGAAUUCACAUGCCUUUUUGGCUUCCAUCAUAUGCAUGCUUCUGCCUUCUAGUUUCUCAUGUUUGACCAACCCUUCCACCCCCAAAACAUAAUAUGAAUAAACGUUGUCAGCACAAUGAAAUUUGCAGGUACCAAUCUGCUAUCACUGAGUCACCACCUCUCAUCGAUUCCAUACGAAUAAAGUUCCUAACAUUAUUAAUAUUUUACAUCUAUCUUAUCACAUUUCUGAAUUCUUUUGUUUAUUUAUUUAAAUAAAAAAGAAAGGAUGCUCAUUAGAACAUGGUAUAGUAGUUUAAGUGAGUCCGAAGAGUUAUAUGUCCCUUCAUCAGUUUUAGAUUUUGGUGAAUAAACUAAAGCCGAUUUAUAUCUUAACACACAUUGUUAGCUUUGUGUUGCAUUAAAAAGAUGUCUUAAAGUACGCAGAGUGAAGACCUCUCAAACAUUGCUCUGCCUCUUCAUCAUUCACUAUCAAUGAAAUGUUUACCUGACAAAACACAUUUUCCACUCAUUAUAAAACCAAACCAUAACAAUACUAUAUUCAUAAGUUACAAAAAAAAAAAAAAUACUAUAUUCAUCAGUAUUCACACAGACAUGUAGCAACAGAGUUUUAAAAUUAGAUGCACAAUAAGACUGUAGCCAACUCUCACUCACCUUCUCUAAUAUGAGUGAUGAUUUCUGAAACAAUGACAACAUCUUACUUCUUCUCCAGCACUUACUUUAGAUAUCAAAAUAGUAGACAUUAACAUAGCGUGAGAAAAGACUUGCCCCACUCAGUUCCAAUUAUAUCAUGAAAGAAAAUAUUCCAUUGAUGGAAAAAUGUUGUAAAGGAUAACUGAUAACAGAAGAGUAAUGAGACAAAAGGAAAACACAACAACAAUCUCAAAAACUGCCCAUCGCCAAGGACACACUUCAAGCAUUCAUGUAAUGAUUCAGUUUGUAAAGCAAAACUUUUCCACUAGCGUUUCCCAUAGCCAUGAAGCCACUUCCAGGGCUGAAGUCCAAGCAGCGAGGGUAAUUCAUCUGUUUAUUUGGCGGCGGCCAGUUUGAGAAGACGGUUAGAGACGGAACAUGGACAAGCUUCACACUGUCUUUAUUCAUCCUCGAGAUUAUAGCUAGAAUCUGACCAUCAUGGUUGAACUUCAAGAAAUCAAUCUCCGAAGUGAGAUUGUCCACCGUCUUUAUCGGCUUCCUUUUGCCUCCCAAAAACUCAGCCUUCUUGUAGAUGUUCACGAUCCCUCUAUCAGUCCCAGAGGCAAACAAAGCUCCGUUAGGUGAGCUGCAAAGCGAAGUCCCACACGUGCUCCCUUCAUCCACACCUUUGUAUAAACACUUCAUCGUUCUAAGAUCCCAGACAUAGACUUGUCCAUCCCCUCCUGAGCUCAGCAGCUGCUUCCCGUCGUCACUGAACGCUAAGGACCUCACUGAACCGUUCAUCUUCAACGUUCCCGUAAGCUCUUUGGUCUUUGUGGACACAAGCAAGAUGUAGCCUCCGUUUCCCAUGAAGGCUACGGUCUUGGAGUCUUGCGACACUUCGAAACUCUCCAAGCUCUUCUCCUCUCUACCAACCAAUGGGCCAAUCUUGUCGAACUUCGCGUUCUCCAAAUCAAAGCUGUAAAAGUACUUCCUCCUUCCAGAGACAAUCACCUGAGAUCCGUUGGGCAAGAAAGCAGCUUUGUGAAUGGGACAGUCCUCGAGAAAGAUGCUCUGUAUCUUGGUGUUCCUCUUCCCAUCGAUCUGGAAAAACCUCAGCCUUCUAUCGUUGCCAGCGGUGAGGAGAAGCUGAGCGUUUUGAUGGAACUGGACAGAGUUAAUCGGAGCGUCUGAAGGGUCUGCUAUGUUGGCAUCCGCGUGUUCUGAAUACUCAAGAAGACCAGAACAGAGCUUGGAGCCACCAGACUUCACCACAAGAUCUUCGUUUGUUCUGAGAAUAUCAUCAUCAUCACCACCUUCUCCUCCAUCAUCAUCUGAGGAAUCUCCAUCAGUGAUUUGAGAAUCAGUCCUAGCCCAAUCAGUUCCAGGGUUAAGCUUAGCGUGAUGAGCUCUCAGCCUAGCAAUGUACUCAGAGCCAGAGAUCAAUCCCUCAUCCUCCUCUUUCCUCAGCUUCCUCAGACGGUUAACACUAGCUAUGUUAAUAUUAAUCUCUUUCUCUUCUUCAUCCUCCCAAGCAGCUUCUCCCUUCCUAAUAACUCUCUCUUCAUCAGAAUCUUGUUCAUCAUCAUCUUCAGAAUCUGGAGUUUGCCUCGCAGCAGAACGAUCUACACGAAACAGAUCAGACCCUUCCACAUCUCCUUCUCUCUUACCAAACGAAACAGGGUUGUAGAGUGAUCCAAACAACAAAUUCUCAAGCUUUUUCAUUUCAACCUGCUCAGACUCUCUUUGCUUCUCUUCCUCCAUCUUCCUUCUCUUGGCCCUUACGUCAUCUUCGGUCUCUUCUCUUCUAGCCUUGCUCGUCGGAGCGUUCUGUGAUAACGUACUCAUCGCUCAAUUCCACAAACUCUCUGUAAUCAAAAGAGUAAGUAUAAGAUUCGCACACUAGUUCAAGUUCGAAGAAACAGAGCUUCAAUCAAACCUAGUCUCUGUAAGGAUUACUAUACAAGCAACAACUUUAAACCUAAGCUACGGACUUACAUCGGCGACGGCGAGAGGUUCUCUUCUUCUUCGUAGGAGGAUUAGGGUUUUAAGAGGUUUUUACGAAAAUGUCGUUACAUGCCUUUUAAUGGGUCAACAACGGUGUGUACGCAGCCCUUGAAAAGCCCAUGGGCCACCUAACAGAAAAAUCUAUUACGAAUGGCAUUUUAGUAAAGUAAUGCAAAGUAUAUGCCUUGUUCCAACGGAAUCUGAUUUUUUCAACUAAAUAAAUCAAACAAAAUUAGAAAAUAUCGUUACAUGCCUUUUUUAUGGGUCAACGGCGUGAACUUUACGUCCUUUGAAAAGCUCAUGGGCCAUGACAUUUUUAGAGAAUAAAAAAUUAUUAUAGCUGGUAUUGUCGUAAUUGUUCCAAAGUAUAUUCCAACGGAAUCUAAUUGGCCAAUAAAGAGACGAGAUUCAUGAGGUAAUAAACAGCACUGGUCUUCUUUCUGGGGCAGCGUGAGAUCGGACAUCGAAACAAAACACAUUGCUCUCAUCUUAUCUCCGUCCUCCGUCGCGAUGGAAACGCCCAAGACUUCUUCUCUCAUCCCCAGCUUCCUCUACUCCUCAUCUCCGAGAUCUAUUCUCCGCGAUUCCAACGCCGCGUUCUCAUCCCCCAUUCUCGAGAAGUCUCGUUCAUCUCCGGCCGCGACGAUGGUGUCUCGGAAGAGUUUCCUAAUUGCGUCUCCCACGGAGCCAGGGAAGGGGAUCGAGAUGUACUCGCCUGCCUUCUACGCCGCGUGUACCUUCGGCGGAGUUCUCAGCUGUGGUCUGACUCACAUGACCGUCACCCCUCUCGAUCUCGUCAAGUGCAAUAUGCAGGUAUGUUUGUAAUAACCUUAUAGAUCAUUUAUCCACGUGUUGAGAUCUGCGUUUUAGCCUUUUGCUGUUUCUAUAAUUCAAAACAUUUCGAUCUGGUUAGUUGACUCUUCUGUCUGAAUUUUACUUGACGUUUGUAUUUGUGGAUUGAUUCACUUUUGGUCUUGAUGUUAUUACAUUGCUAACCAGAUUGAUCCGGCCAAGUACAAGAGCAUCUCGUCUGGUUUUGGGAUUCUGCUGAAGGAGCAAGGAGUCAAAGGCUUUUUCCGUGGAUGGGUUCCUACUCUGUUGGGUUACAGUGCUCAGGGUGCUUGCAAGUUUGGAUUCUACGAGUUCUUUAAGAAGUACUACUCCGAUCUUGCUGGACCUGAGUUCGCUGCCAAAUACAAGACCCUCAUCUACCUUGCUGGUUCUGCUUCCGCUGAGGUCAUUGCCGAUGUUGCACUUUGCCCUUUUGAAGCUGUUAAGGUCCGUGUUCAGACACAGCCUGGGUUCGCUAGAGGAAUGUCCGAUGGGUUUCCUAAGUUUGUCAAGUCCGAAGGAUACGGAGGGUGAGUUUCUGGACACAAAUAACGUUCUCUCCCUUGUUAUUGCUCUAGCCAUUUGUGUCUGCUACAUUUUUUUAUUAUUUUCGCAGCUUGUAUAAGGGUCUUGCUCCACUCUGGGGACGUCAGAUUCCUUGUAAGUUUUGUCCUCUAUUUUGAAACCUUUUGCACAGUUUAUGUUUUCUUUGUAGUUGGUCAUGAAACAUAAUACAUGAUUCGUUACAGACACAAUGAUGAAGUUUGCUUCGUUUGAGACCAUUGUUGAGAUGAUCUACAAGUACGCAAUCCCCAACCCAAAACACGAGUGCAGCAAAGGUCUGCAACUCGGGGUGAGUUUUGCCGGAGGUUAUGUUGCUGGAGUGUUCUGUGCAAUUGUCUCUCACCCCGCAGAUAAUCUUGUUUCGUUCCUAAACAAUGCUAAGGGAGCAACCGUUGGAGAUGUAAGUUAACAUGUUGACAACUGUUUAUUCGUUUGUACUAUAUAGGAUUAGUAUUUGAUUCUUUUGAUGUGAUGAAAUGUUGUUGCAGGCGGUGAAGAAGAUUGGAAUGGUGGGACUGUUUACCAGAGGGCUUCCUCUAAGAAUUGUGAUGAUAGGGACAUUGACUGGAGCACAAUGGGGUUUAUAUGAUGCUUUCAAAGUGUUUGUUGGCCUGUAAGAUCUUCUCUCUCAUUACUUCCUUUCUUCCUUCCCUCAAUACCUUCUUCAAAAGUGAAGAGUGCAGAAACUCAUUUAUUUAUGUUUUAUCUGAUUCAGGCCAACCACCGGUGGUGUUACUCCAGCCCCUGUCAUCGCAGCAGCUGAAGCCUAAGACUAAAUGAUGAUGAUUGAAAAAAAAACUUAGGAUUUUUGUUUGAAAGAAUAAAGAGAAACGUAUGGCAAUGAGGAAGAGUAAAGCUCAUCCUCUGGAUUCCAACUUGAUUCAUUUUUUUUGGAAAUUUGUGUUCUUCAAUUGACGAUAGUGCUCUCUCUUUUCACAAUACUAUCUCCCUAUUUUUGUUUGUGUGAUGUAAUCUUAAAAGAUGAGCGGUACACACGCUAAGAUAGAGAGUGUGGGCACACCCACUUACUACUUUUGUUCUUUUUCAUUUGGAAAAAUCUCUUUUGGUAGCUUUCCCCAAUUUACAGCUUUACUAUUGCCGUCAAAAGUUACUGCAGUUAGGCCAGGGACGGAUCGGGUAUCCGGACAAUUUUAAGAUAUCCGGAUCCUUAUCCGGCGGAUCCAUAAUUUUACUAUUUUUAUCCGGAUCCGGGGUUCGUGGAUAUCCGGGUGUCGGAUAUCUUUCUAAAAAUUAGGGGUGUUCAAUCUGGUAAAACCGAACCAAUUAAAACUGAACCGAACCGAAAUAGAAAAAAUGAUUUGGAUUUGGUAGUACCGAAUAUACCGAAUGGAUGUCAUUUUUAAGAAACCGUGGUAUAAGGAUAUGGUUUGGUAUAUAAACCGAUCAAACCGAAUAAACCGAUCAAUUAAAAUAUAAAGUAUAAGUAUAUGUAAGUUAUAUAAUAUAAUUAAUAAUAUAUACCUAAUUUAUUUUAUUGGUAUGAUUUUCCUACUUAAAUGUUUAUUUUAGUUAUUUAAUAUUUUAUUUUAAGUUCAAAUUUUUUUUAUCAAAUUAAAAAAAACAUAUUUUUUUACUUUUUUGUUUAAUAGUAUUAUGGAUUACUGAUAUUUCUUACUUUUAUUUCAUAAAACUAUUACUGUUAUUAAAUAAAUAUGUUUACUGAUUAUUUAAAUAGUAAAAUAAAAAAUAGAUUAUUUAAAAACCAAAAUAUCGCCAUGUUAUAAUUAAAUUUAAAGCCGAUAUCUAAUAAGAUGGACCAAAGCGUAACAAUGUGAUCGAUCGAUGGAUAUAUGUUCAAAAACGCAUCGAUCGAUCGAGUAUAUCAAGUGUUCCUCGGAAUUUCCUCGGAAUAUACCGACAGAAUUCUGAGGAAAACAAAUUUUGGGUUUCCUCGGAAUAUCCUCGGAAAUUCCGAGGAUUUCAUUUUCCGUCGGAAUGUCCGUCAGAAUACCGCUGUUUUCUUGUAGUGUUGUGUCUCCACCCUAUUCACAUCUUCUCCUUAUCACUUUCUUCAGUUCUCGAAGUCAAAAGGUCUCUGCCUACAAUCUGCUCCAACGCCUCGCCUCUGCCUGCAAUCCAAUUUUCAUCUCGGUCGUCCUCCCUUUUAAUCGUGUUCGCUGUUAUAGGGUUCGGCGGUUGGGUUUUGCGUUACAGUUUCGGCGGCGGUAGUAACACAGCCAACCUCUCCAACUUCACCAACUCAAUUCUUAUCAGAUCUUUGACAGUCUCGUAAGUUUUCGGUGUUUCUCCGUCGAUUCUGGUUACUAAAAUUUCUUCUCAGAUCUUUAUAGCGGUGAUGCGAAAUAAGUAGUGUAGUAAUUUAGGGGAAGAUGUGUGGAAUAUCAAUUCUUAGAAAUGCUCAGUCGGUACACAUAGUAUGAUAUUUUGAAUCCUGUUUCCAAUUGAAAUGUAAUAGUAUACUUAUCUCAUACAAUUAUUCCACUGAGGAUAGUAUCACUUGCUAUUAUGUUUUGCUUUGCUGCAAUUUGUGGUCGGUUGUGGUUCCCUCUCUGAUGUUCUUAUUCUAAGUUAUGAUUGAAUUGGGGGGGGGAGAUGUUUCAUCGUAUGUCCGUAUCAGUAUAUCUCGUUGUUAUAUGUCAUUUUAAGUGGAAUAGUAUGAGGUUCGUAUUAUUCCAUUUUACAUGGAAUCGUACUUUUACAUCAUAUGCCUUUCCAUUCAUUAGCCAUUCUUAUUCUGUUUGACUCAUAAUUCAUUUUUAUAUUGAAUAUUACAGUGUGAACCGUCCUCACUCUUUGCCUCUCUUACUUUUCAUUCUUCAGGUUUGGUAUGGACGAGUUAGACCAUCCAAGUAGAUUGUUUGAGACAGACUUUGAACCUACCGGCAAAAAAAAAAGGUUAACACCUAUUUCCAGUAUUAUGGCCGGUGGAUUUAAUUUCACAAAGACUUGGGUUGCCAAUGUAUUGGGGUUUAUAUUUACUUAACUUGGGUUUAGUGUUUACUGUCAAGUGUUCUAUUACAUCCAAUUUUUAUCUCGGUCGUCCUCCCUUUUAAUCGUGUUCGCCGUUAGGGUUCGGCGGUUGGGUUUUGCGUAACGGUUUCGGCGGCGGAUAGUAACCCAGCCGACCUCUCCAACUUCACCAACUUGAUUCUUCUGAGCUCUUUGACAGUCUUGUAAGUUUGAAGUGUUCUUCCGUCGAUUCUGGUUACUAAACUUCUUCUCUGCUUAUCUGAUUUUAUUUUGGGAUCCUCUAUGAUGUUCUGCUUGGGGGGGGAGGUUUGUCUCUGCAGUGCAUAGUUCAUGGUGUAGAAAUAUCAAUUAUUUUGUGGAAUAGCAUCUGCAAUACAUAGAUGUUUCAUCGUAUGUCCGUAUCAGUAUAUCUCGUUGUUAUAUGUCAUUUUAAGUGGAAUAGUAUGAGGUUCGUAUUAUUCCAUUUUACAUGGAAUCGUACUUUUACAUCAUAUGCCUUUCCAUUCAUUAGCCAUUCUUAUUCUGUUUGACUCAUAAUUCAUUUUUAUAUUGAAUAUUACAGUGUGAACCGUCCUCACUCUUUGUCUCUCUUACUUUUCAUUUUUCAGGUUUGGUAUGGACGAGUUAGACCAUCCAAGUAUAUUGUUUGAGACAGGCUUUGAACCUACUGGAAAAAGAGGGUUAACAACUAUUUCCAGUAUUAUGGAAGGUGGAUUUAAUUUUCCAAAGAUUUGGGUUGCCUAUUUAUUGGGGUUUAUAUUUCCUUAACUUGAGUUUAGUGUUUACUGUCAAGUGUUCUAUUACCAUCUCCAUUAGCUUUGUAUUUCAUGUGGCUAAUGAGGAAUGUAAAUACAUGUCUCUAGUAUUAUAGCAGGUGGAUUUAGUUUUCUGAAGAUUUGGGUUGCGGAUUGGGAUUUAUAUUUCCCUAACUUGGGUUUAGUGUUUAAUGGUCAAGUGUUCUACUACCAGCUCUAUUAGCUUUGUAUUUCAUGUUGCUCAUGAGGAAUGUAAAUACAUGUCUCCAGUAUUAUGGCAGGUGGAUUUAAUUUCCUGGAGAUUUGGGUUGCCUAUGGAUUGGAUUUAUAUUUCCUUAACUUGGGUUUAGUGUUUACUAUCAGGUGUUCUUUUACCAUCUCCAUUAGCUUUGUAUUUCAUGUGGCUCAUGAGGAUUGUAAAUAUAUGUCUCCAGUUUUAUGGCAGGUGGAUUUAAUUUCCUGGAGAUUUGGGUUGCCUAUGGAUUGGAUUUAUAUUUCCUUAACUUGGGUUUAGUGUUUACUGUUAAGUGUUCUAUUACCAUUCCUAUUAGCUUUGUAUUUCAUGUUGCUCAAUCUUGGCUCUAGUAUGCACAUAGUAUCAUUUUAAAUAGUACAUUGUAUAUAGUAUAGAAGUCUUCUCGUAAUGGACGGUGCAAAUGUGUACGUAACCCUAUAAUACACAUUUAUAAUCAUUAACCUACACCACUUGUUUAAAUUUACACAGUAAAAAUAUCUUGGUAAAUCGACUUCAGUAUGUGGCAUCCUCCUACUCUUUCAUUAGGAGUAGCUGUCACCAACUAUCCGACCUUCAUAUUUUCCUAAUUUGUGUUUAGUGUUUAGUGUUUAGUGUCAAGUGUUAUUCUACCAAUUCCCCAUUAGAUUUUGUAAAUCAAUCAUGGAUGUAUGCAACUAGUAUAUAAAUAACAUUGUAUAUUUUAUAUGGAAUAGCAGUUCUCAGAUAAAUUACAUAGUGUAUUCUAUAUGGAAUAGACCUUCUCACGUAAUACACGUCAUAAACGUUAAUUCACCUUAUAAAGGAUAUAUAUUAUCAGAAGUUAAUAUUGGCAUCAUUUCAUUUAACGAAAAUAGAAGGUCGCAAGGUUUUCCGUACAACAAACACAAUAUGCCCACAUUCCAUUAAAUUUGGGUUAUGCUAUAUAUUUUUCUGUGUGGUUUAUUGAAAGUUUACAUUUCCAUACUAUUUGGCUUUUAGUUUAUAUCUGUGUGGUUGAUAAAUUUAUUUCUGGAAUAUUUGGCUUGCUUUGGGUAAAACAUUAUGUACUUUCCUUGCAUCAUGUGCCUUUUUAACUGUAGCAAAAUUAUGAAGACCAUAUUUCACUUGGAACUACAUUUAUAAUAUUACUAUUCCACAUACGGUAUAGUAAGGAAACUCAUACAAUCAGUAUAAAAUAUACUUGUCAUCAUCUUCAGUUCGUCGUUAGGUUAGAAUUGUUUCUGGCACACUUACAACUGUUAUCCACUCCUCUCGAUUCAUACCUUUACAUUAUAUGUGUUGAAUACAGCUGCACAACGCGAUCCGUAUGUUAUUUUAUUGUUACGAUGCCACACAAAAAUGCCACGUCGUUUACUUUAUAAUAUAGAACCGAUAACCUGUUACUUGAAAGGGUAUAACCAGAUGGAAUGAAGCACAAAAAUCUGACAAUGAAUUAUGUCAAAAUCAUAGCUACUUACUUAAUUUAUCACCAAAUAUGGCCAUUUGGCCAAUACGCCCAUAAAAAAAUGAACGACCGUUUCCAAUACACUGAUCUAAAAUAAAUCGUCUUGGGGUCAUAUCAACAAAAAUAUUACCAAGUAAAGACCAUCACAUCUUCUUACAUUUCAAGUACGAUUGGACCAUUAAAUAUUUGUUUCAAUUUUACUAUAAGUAAAUUAAGAUUUCGAAAGAAAAACAAAUACUGGAAACUAAUAUACGAUAGAAAAUUGGGUUUUGUGAUUUCUCUAUAAAAUCUGUAAUUUUCUUGUAGAAAAUCUUGAGUACCAGAUGACAUUCUCAUCUUGAGAAAUCUUAAAUAUUUCGUCAUCCCUUUUCAGCUUAUAUCAUUCUCAUCCUAUUUGCGUCAUUUAUUUAUGCUAUUUUAUAUCUUAUUUCAACAAUAUUAAUUAGAAAUCUACGAAUGGUACAACCUGUUUGCUGAGCUGGUGCCUACGUUAGUUCGUGGACUUCACGUUGCCGACCAAAUCUAAGCUCCAUUUGUUUUCCUUGCAUGUUCCAAGCCCUUCUAAUAAUAUUAUUUCUGAAGUUAUAUAUCAGAUCUUCGUGGCCACGAGUGGACUUUAGUAUUAAGUAUUAACCAAUUUUGGUUUUCUACUUUCUAAAUAACUAUUAGUUUUUCUUGUUUUCUAUAUCGAAGUUUUCUAUAUCGAAGUUUUCUGCUAUACUUGAAAAUAAAGAAAAGAGUCUAUAAGCCUCUCGGGCCCGACAAUCGAGGAGCCGACAGUUAUCAUCUUUCUCGACGCCGGCGAGGCCUCUGGCCGCUGGCGUCGGGUCCUCUGCUCUGCCUCCNNNNNNNNNNNNNNNNNNNNNNNNNNNNNNNNNNNNNNNNNNNNNNNNNNNNNNNNNNNNNNNNNNNNNNNNNNNNNNNNNNNNNNNNNNNNNNNNNNNNUAAAUCUUUUUCUGUGAUUAAAUUAUUUGGGAUUUUUUUUUAAUAAAAAAAAUAAUUUAUCUAUUUCUGUAUUUAUUAAAUAUAUUUUUUUAAUUUACAGGUCUCAUGAUGAUCAGACCCGGCCUCGACAGCGUCGUGGUCGUGGUGGUACGGGGAGCCAGUCUCGGGAUUCCAGCCAUUUUCAGGAUUCCCCUUCGCCCCACAGCUCCAACCAUACAUCUCCCUCUGCUGCACCCGCUCAUGCUCCUCUCGCUCCCGCUGCUGCAUCCGCUCCUGUUCCUCCGGGUCCUCCGGGAGUGAUGAGGGUUGCGGAGUUGGUUCAACAGCCCGGUCGUGACCAUCUUCCGUAUCUCACUCCUUAUCCACAUGGACGGGGUCAAACUUGGUAAUUAAACAUUUUUUUUCUUUAAAUUUGGAUUCAUUAUUAACCGUUUGUUCUUUUAAUAAGGUUCAACCGAUCCGGGAACGGGAUCAGCGCAUGGAUCAACCGUAUGAUGUACUCGGCCCUCGACAGUGGACAUCCGACUUUCACUCACUUCCCAACCGACAAGCAGGUUCUGUGGUUUCGUCAGUUUGCGGUAAGUAUUCUAAUUUUUUACUUAUAUUUUUAAUUUUUAAUAUAAAUUUUCUACUAAUUGUGUUUUUUUCAGCAAGAGUUCAACUGGAAUUCCGAUGAGACGCUCUUUAUCUAUCACCACUUUGUCCAUAAAGUAAUGGACAACUAUGGGAAGCAGAUCCACGAGUGGAAGAAGAAGUGGGAAAUCAAUAAGGUUCGAUUUAAUUUAUUAAACAAUUUUUUAAUUUAUUAAACUAUUUUUUAAUUUAUUAAACUUUUUCUUUUUUUUUUUAAUUAAAAGGUCCCAAAGUCGAUGAACGACACGGUCUGGAAGGAGUUGUGUGCGCAUUGGGAUAAGGAGGAGACGAAAGAAACUUCUUCCACCAACUCCACCAACCGCAUGAGCGACCGUAAAAGGAAGGGCAUCUACAAGCAUAACUUGGGUGCUCAAUCUAUUGCCACUCUCGGAGAUCGCAUGGUAAGUUCAACCGCUUUUUCUUCAAUUAUUUGAGUUUCAGAAUUUAAAUUUAUUGUGCAUUUCUUCUAAUUUCUAAUGUUUCUUUAAUUUUAUGUUUUUUUCAAGGUGGAAGAAAAUGAUGGCGAGUCGGUCGAUGAUCUCGCCCUAAUGAGGAGGGCGUAUACCAACAAGAAGACCGGCCAGAUUGAUGACGGUCUUGUGAGGGACGUGGUCGACCUGGUCCAAACUCAGGUGGUAGACGAAGUGUCUCAGCUUCAAACCGAGGAUGACGCUUCGACGGCUUCGACCAACUUGUCCCGGUUUCGAAUCAACGAAAUCGUUGAAUCCGUAAGUUCUUUUUUUUUUAAAGUUCAAUUCAUUUAUUUCUUGGUUUAAAUUUCUAAAUUUGGUUUUUUUCUAUUCAGUCGGUUCCAAAGAAGAAGGGACGUUUGUUCGGUUUGGGUCGUCACACCCGGUCGGUUCCUCCUUCUUCUGCACCAAAGCCCUUUGUUGAUCCAGAAGUACUUACGGCUCAGUUGAAGGACAAAGAUGAUCGAAUAUCUUUGUUGGAGACCCAGAUGGCGGCUCAACAGGCGGGCUAUGAGGCACAGAGGAGGCUGAACCAGAAAAUGAUGGAGAUGAUGCAGAGGAUGUACCCGAACGAGGUGUUCCCGGACGUGCCAGACCCGUAGUUUUUUUUUUCCCCAAUCUCGGAAUGUUUUAUUUUUAUUUGUGAAACUUUGAAUAUUAAUUAGUGUGAUUUCAAUUUUACUUUUAAUUUCAUAUUUUCGAAUUUAAAUUUCAGAAAUUUUAUUUUUUCAAAAAAAUUAAUAUUUUUUACAUUCCGAGGAAAUUAAUUAUAUUUUUCACUAGAUCGAUCGAUGCGUUUUUGAACAAAAAGGCAUCGAUCGAUCUGUUUUUUUUUUUAAAUAUAGCGAGGGACAUUUCCCUCGGAAUUUUCCGAGGGACAACUCCCUCGGAAAAUUCCGAGGAACGGAUCCCUCGGAAUAUACCGAGGGAACAGUUCCUCGGAAUAAACCGAGGGAAAAGUCCGUCGGUAUACUCCUAUCGAUCGAUGUAUAUAUGUCCAAACACGCAUCGAUCGAUGAACUUCCGAGGAAUUAUCCCGACGAAGUUCUACCUCGGUAUAUUCCGAGGACUUUUCCGACAAACAAGGGAUCCUCGGAAUUUCCUCGGAAAUUUAUUUCCUCGGAAUUCCGUCGGAAAAUUCCGAGGGAUUUCAGAGGAAAAAAGAAAUUCCGAGGAAUUAUUUCCGACGACGUGUUUCGUCGGAAUUUCGUCGGAAUAACGAUAUUCCGACGAAAUUCCGACGAUUUUUUCCCUCAGAAUCCUUGAUGUUUUCUUGUAGUGCCAGAGCAUAGAGGUGCCAUCCUAGAGCAGGGGAACUCAAAGCUCCGGUUUAAAUGUGGCGCAGCGUAUCAACGGUAACUCAGCUCAAAUCUAAAGAUUUAGAUUAAACCUUUAGAGACCUGACUUCUUGAAUCGAAGAAUUGAAUCAAAUUCGAUGCAAGGCUCUCGGAUUGAUGAAUUUAAUCGAAUCAACACAAGGCUUAAGAGAAAUCUUUUGAUUUAUAACUUUUCAAAAACUAUCAUAUAAAAGCCAAAGCAUCACGACUUAUAUAAGUCUUAAGGGUCGGUUAUAAACUCCUAACCCUUCCUAAAACAAGAAAUCUAAUAACUUAAAAGGAAACAUGACUUAAACAAGAAAAAGGAAACUAGGAAACUUUACGAAAAGCUGACAUAGUUUGAUAACGUGGCGGUGAAGGUACUAUGAUGCUGCAUCAGGUCCCCCGGGGUUAGGAAGAUUUGACCCCGAAUCGUGAACCGUAUCUGGAGGAAUGUAACGAGACAAAUAACGGACAUUGAACACGUCAGAAGUGUUGAUAUGAGCAGGGAGAUGAAGACGAUAAGCAUUAUCGUUGAUACGUUCAAGAACUUGAAGGGGACCUAUCUUCUUGGCUUUCAAUUUGUUAUAGUCACGUGCUGGCAUCGAUCCUAUCCUUUGUAAAAAAUGCCAACACAAGAUCGCCUACUUCGAACACAAGGCGUCGACGAUGGAGGUCAGUUGUAUUCUUAUAACGGUCGGCCGAAGACUGCAAGUUAGUCACAACGCGAUCGUGAACUUGAUGAAUGGUGUCGAUGAAAUCAGCUGCAACACCAUGAUGUCUUGUGAGAUCGGGCAAGGUGGUGAGGUCAAGAGGUCCGCGAGGAACCAUUCCAUAAAUGACCUGAAAAGGACUGUACCCCGAACUUCUGUUCAACGCAUGGUUUAUGUGCGAACUCGGCUUGAGGGAGCUUAGAGUCCCAUGAUUUGAUGGAGUCUCCGACAAGGCAACGAAGUAGAUUGCCUAAAGAACGAUUUGUAACUUCGGUCUGGCCGUUCGUUUGAGGAUGAUAAGCGGAACUCAUAUCGAGACUAGUCCCUAAUAUCUUCCAAAGAGAACACCAAAAGUGUCCUAAGAAACGAGAAUCGCUAUCAAAGACAAUGGAUGUAGGUAAACCAUGCAACCUAUAGAUUCGCGAAAGAAUAAAGUGGCCACUUGAACAGCGUCGGUGGUUUUCUUGCAGGGGAUAAAGUGAACCAUCUAGGAAAAAUGAUCCACAACAACAAAUAUUGAGUCAAAGCCUUUCUGAGUACGAGGAAGACCCAUGACGAAAUCCAUGCUGAUGUCGGUCCAUGGCUGAGUAAGGAUAUGCAACGGUAGGUAGAGACCGGCUUUUGUUGCAUGACCUUUGGGCUGUUGACACACAACACAACGUUCAACAAAGCGUUCAACAUCUCAGCGCAAAGUUGGCCAAAAAUAAGAACAAGAAACAAGAUGUAACGUCUGAUCACGACCAAUGUGACCCUCAUUAUGCAUUUCAGAGAUGAGCUGGAGACGCAGACUACAGGCUGGAACACAAAGGCGAUCACCCCGAAAGAGAAACCCAUCGUGGAGCACAAAGUCUUGAGAAAGACCAGACUGAACUUCUGUGAGAACGUUCCCAAAGAACGCAUCGGACUGGUAUAAGUCGGCAAAUGACGCGAAACCAGGAACACUCACUUGGAAAACGGCGAGGAGACUACGACGCCGGCUUAAAGCAUCAGCAACGCGAUUGGAGACGCCGGAUGUAUGCUUGAUAACAAAUGUGAACCGCUGUAGAUAAGCUACCCACGCCGCAUGUCGGGAAGACACUUUGUCCUGACUGCUAAGAUGCUUAAGAGCAUCAUGAUCAGUAAAAAGUACAAACUCCUUGUGAAAAAAGGUAGUGUCUCCAGUGCUUGAUGGCUUGAACAACAGCGUAGAACUCAACGUCAUAUGUACUGUAACGCGACCGUGCGCCACCCAACUUCUUGCUAAAGAAUGCAAUGGGUCGAUUUCUUUGGCUAAGGACGGUACCUAUGCCAGAUUUAGAGGCGUCACAAUGUAACUCGGAGACUUAAGAAAAAUCCGGUAAAUCUAAGAUAGGAGUCGAGCUAAGCUUGUGUUUGAUGAUGUCAAAGGCGCGGGACGCCUCGUCGGUCCAGACAAAUGAACCCUCACGGCAAAAACAGUCAGUAAGUGGUGCCAUGAGACUACUAAAUUGCGGUACAAAACGACGGUAGAAAGAUGCUAAGCCAUGAAAGCUUCUGGCCUCAGACAGUGUUGUAGGUCGCGGCCAAGACCAGAUAGCUUCGACUUUGCCCGGAUCAACAGACAAACCAUCAGCAAAAAUAAUGUAGCCAAGAAAGUACACUUUGAUUGAUCCAAACUCACAUUUUUUUGUGUUCGAAUAGCUGGUCACGUCGUAAAACCAAGAGAACUUCUCGGAGAUGAACCAGAUGUUCGGCCAUGGUCAUACUAAAGAUGAGAAUAUCGUCAAAGUAUACUACCACGAAUUUGCCAAUGAACGGACGUAAUGACUGAUUCAUGACGCGUAUAAAAGUACUAGGCGCAUUAGACAAUCCAAAAGGCAUGACAAGCCACUCAAAAAGUCCUUCAUGAGUUUUAAACGCUGUCUUCCAUUCAUCACCAGGUCUGAUACGAAUCUGAUGGUAACCGCUCAACCAGGUCUGAUACGAAUCUGAUGGUGACCGCUCUUGAGAUCGAGUUUAGAGAACAAGGUAGCAGUACCAAUCUGGUCAAGAAGAUCGUCGAGACGUGGAAUGGGAAAAUGGUAGCGGACUGUGAUUUUGUUGAUGGCGCGACUAUCGACACACAUACGCCACGAGCCGUCUUUUUUUGGGAUGAGUAAAGCAGGGACAGCACACAGACUUAAGCUUUCACGUAGAAAUCCUUUAGCCACGAGUUCUUCGACCUGACGUCGCAGUUCUUCAUGUUCGGUUGGACUCAUGCGAUAGUGGGCUAUGUUUGUGAGAACUGCAUCUGGAACCAAAUCAAUACGAUGUUGUAUGUCGCGUAGAGGUGGAAGUCCGGUUGGUAAAUCAGCGGGAAAGACAUCGCUGAAUUCUUGAAGAAGAGUGGAGAACUCAGAUGGAAGUGAUGGCGAUAAGGACAGUGAAUUUGUGUUGAGAAUUGCUAACAUGAAUCCUUCCAGUCGGAAUGUCUCUUCAAACUGUUUACACUGAAGGAUCAGAACCGGCGCUGCCUUAGAGAUUUGAAGUUCUGGUGCUGAAGGUUGAAGAGUAAAGUUACGGUUUUGGAACCGAAAACUAUAAGUGUUCUUGAAGCCAUCUUGUAGAAUUCUGCGGUCAAAGAUCAAUGGGCAUCCUAAAAGGAGAUGACAAAUAUCCAUAGGAGCCACAUCACACUGGACUUGAUCUCUGUACACAUCACCCACCGAGAAGGAAAUCAACGCACGGCGAGUGAUUAACAAAUCUGUGUUUGUAUCAAGCCAAGCUAACUUGUAUGGAUAAGGAUGAAGCUCUGUUGGAAGAUGUAGUUUAGUAACAACCUCCUCUGCGAUCGCAUUCUCACUACUCCCAGAGUCAAUGAUAAAUUUGCAAACCUUUCCGUCAAUCGUACACUUGGAGUGAAAAAGGUUAUGGCGUUGUGGAUUAUCAUCAGGAACUCGGGGUGCAAGACAAACACGGCGAAGCAUUAAAGCUGUGCCGGUGUCUGCAUGAAGAAUCUCAGUAUCUUCUUGCUCAUUUGUGGGCUCUUCAUCAUAGUUCACUUCAACGUCAUUGCCAGAUGUAUCAAGGAGAAGGCCGCGACGGUUUCGUGUUGGGCAGUUAGACUGGCGAUGACCAAUUUCAACAUAAGAGAAACAACGAAGUGAGUUCGGACGUAGUGGACGAUUGUCAAGAACAGAAACGAUGGCUGUUUCUGGUUUGACAGGUUCUGCAUCGUCUGUUGCUGGUGUUUGAGGUUGAGUCGAUCGUGACGGACAGGCGCUAGUCUAGGAGGAGAACGACGUUUUAGUUUGAGAUUCAAUGGUUAGUGCAUGUUGAUGGGCUUCAGACAAUGUCAACGGAUGGAAGAGAUUGAUUGUGUGUUGAAUUUGUUUUCGGAGUCCUGCUGUGAAACGUGCUACUAGUUGUCGUUCGGAGUCUUGCAAAUCCACACGAUUGAGAAGCAAGAAAAAUUCUGUAGAGUACUCAGCCACAGAACGGGUUCCUUGGCGUAUGGUAUGGAGACGUUGGAACAUCAUCUGGUCAUAGUUAUAUGGAAGGAACGUCUUCUUGAGUUUCGCCCUGAGUUUAUCCCACACUAGAAUUUUAGGUUUACCGAGACGAGCUCGAGCUGUCUUUAAUUAGGUCCACCAUGCUGCGGCAUGUCCACGAAAGCGCAUGGUUAGAAGAGGAACACAUCACUCCAAUGGGGCUCUUUUAAACUCGAGAAUUUCCUCAACCGUAACUAUCCAAUCAAGUAGUUCUUCGGCUGAUGUAUUUCCAUGGAACUCUGGUAUCUCGGUUUUGAAUCAUAGUGUCCACUGAGUAUCGGCUGCUGCAACUUGAGCAUUGUCUUGAGCAAUAGCUCGGUUGUUGCGAAGAGGAGCAAAGGGGUUAGCAUCAACUGCUGCGACGAACGGGUCUGCUUUGUCGUCUUCAUCUUCUUCCUCGUCGUUAUCACGUUCAACGUUAUCGCGAGCUAGGGGUGGUGGUGGUCGUUGAACAUUAAGGGCUUGGGGGCGGUGGUGAUUGUGGCCAUCUGGGCUUGAAGCUCAGCAAUGGCGUCGCGGGUAAUUUCUGCCUCGGUACGUAACGGUGCUCUACGAGUUCGAGCCAUCAGAUAUGAUUAACAAGGAACGUAGCAAAGCUCUGAUACCAACCUGGCGCAGCGUAUCAACGGUAACUCAGCUCAAAUCUAAAGAUUUAGGUUAAACCUUUAGAGACCUGACUUCUUGAAUCGAAGAAUUGAAUCAAAUUCGAUGCAAGGCUUUCGGAUUAAUGAAUUUAAUCGAAUCAACACAACGCUUAAGAGAAAUCUCUUGAUUAAUAACUUUUCAAAAACUAUCAUAUAAAAGCCAAAGCAUCACCACUUAUAUAAGUCUUAAGGGUCGGUUAUAAACUCCUAACCCUUCCUAAAACAAGAAAUCUAAUAACUUAAAAGGAAACAUGACUUAAACAAGAAAAAGGAAACUUUAAGAAAAGCCGACAUAGUUUGAUAAUGUGGCGGUGAAGGUACUAUGAUGCUGCAUCAAAAUUUCAAAUAGAUGGAUUGAGACGAAUGGAUGAGUCUUCAUUCUACUGGAAGAUGCAGAGGUGAUUCUGCAGGGACAGAAGUGUUGUCCACGUUGGUAGACACCAGUUAACAUAAAACGGAGGAACUUAUUUGGGAAAUAAAAGAAGUAUGCAGCAGAGGUUAUCAUCAGGUCAUGUUUGAAUUAGAUUGCCAACAAGUGCUCAACAUCAUUAACAAGGAAGAAGAUUGGCUGGUGUUAGCACUUGAACUGGAUGAUAUCAAAGCUAAUAGUGUUGAUUUUUCAUGAUAUUGUUUUCUCUUAUCUCCUUCAAUCUCGAAGCCUCCGUGCAGUCUUAGAAAAAGGGGGACGAUCACGUGCUCAAUGUUUCUCAAGUGUAGCCUAUUCAUGGAAAUCCGUAAAUAUUCCAUUCCAAAAAUAAAUAAAAAUUGGUUUUUUUUGGAAAUUGGAAUUAUUAGUCCAAAAGAGGCAAGUUCAUGCAGCAUGCCUCAAUGAAUAAAAGUGAUUUAUUAAUGAAAGUUUGGUUGAUGACAAAAAAAAAUCGAAUUCAAUGUUUUUAAAACCGGACUGACCCGAUGGUUGAACUAGAUUACACCAUGAACUGGUUACAUAGUCAGAUUAGAUCUAAUAAUUGGUUCACGUAGUCGAAUUGGAUCUCACAGUUAUUAAACUGAUAAAAACUAUUAAAACUAUCAAAAAUAUAUAAAACAUCCAUAUAUUUAUAUUUAUAAUAUUUUAUGUUUUAAAUUCAUUUAUAUUUUAAUUAUCUAUCAUAUUUACUAAUAUUACUUUUAAAUGUAUACACAAAAAUAUAUUAAAUCAGAUUAUUGAACCAGGUUUGCCCCGGUCGAACCAUAUUGAACCGUGACCCAUAAAUUAUCCGGUUCAGCUUCCGGUCUGGUUUUGAAAACACUGGUAUUAUUCUAAUCUCAAUAUUUUUGUUUUGGUAUAUUUAGUAAAUCGGUUAUAUAAUAUAGCUUAUGGUCGGUCUUGGCAUGAUUAAUGACAAAACCUAAUUGAAUCAAGUCGCCGACAAAAAUAAUGAAUAAAGAACAAAUUCAUGGACCAACUUGGUCGAUAACACAUGAAUAUAUAUAUGGUCUAUCAACAUACUCUAUAAAAUUGGAUGGUAGACACUUUACAGUUUCUUAAAUGCGAGAUUAUUCUAUCUUUUGUUUUCUUUCAGUUGGUUAUAUAGAUGUCCGGUUUCAAUCUCUUGUGGAUGAGAAUUUUCGUGAGUCUCAAGAGUAAAUUCCUUAGGAGGUUGAAUACGUUAAUUAUGACGAAGAUUAAUAAACAGAUAACUGUAAUCAACAGAAACAGCGGUGGGUUAUGUAAAGAAAACGGGAUCACCGAUCAUGCGAUGGUAGAGAUUCCAUUAUCAUAAUAUUAGAGCAUCAUUACCAGUAAAACCUGUGUGAGUCUCUCAAGAAAAUCAAAACAUUAAUAAUAUUUGUUUUGUUUAAUGAACUUUUUGCAAAUAUGACUCGAAACAUUAAUAUUUGGUUUGUCUUCCGGUAGACGAGGAAGUCUUUCAGAAUUUUAUACCAAUUCUGAUCAAACCUUGGUUAUUACAGAAGACUUAUGUGUAAGUCGUAUGCCAGAAGACUUACAUGGAAGUACAGAUAAAAUAAAAUAUUUAAGUUUUAUUUUUUAAUUGCAAAAGUAACAUGAAACGAUUUAAAUAGAAGUCUUCUAGAAAAAAAAUAUAUUUAAAUUUUAUUUUUCUGUUGGACGACUUCUGUGUUAGUCGUCUAGGAAAAAUCAAAUUUCUGACACAAUCCGGUCAAAUGCAAAACUAACAUGUUUAUCAUAGACGACUACCAUGUUAGUAGUCUAGGAAAAGUCAAAUUUCUGACACAUAAAGUCAAUUGCAAAACUAACCUAUGCAUUGACCAAAAAACUUCCGUGGAAGUCGUCUACGUCAACGUUUAAUAAAAUUUCAUUUUCUUGUUAAUUCAUGAAUAUUAUUCAAUAUUGGGACUCCUGAAUGAAAUUCAUAACUUAAUUGGUGAUAAUUAUGAGGUUAACAACAUUCAUGUUUAUUAUUUUUUCUAACUAAUGAGAGAAGACUUUUCCAUAAGUCUUUUAUGUUAGUUUUUGUUAAACUUGUAUUUUCAACUUUAAGAUAUAUAUAUUUUUUAACUUUCAAAAGUGUUAAGUAACUUCAAGAAUAUCAAGUCAUAUGGUUUAAUGUGUCUUCUUAGAUCAUAAGAUAUAUUUUUUAACUUUCACGAAAUUUGAAAUUUUAAUUUUCACUUAGAAUUCGAGUUUUCCGCUUAAAUUUUAAUGUCUCUCUUUAAUUUCCCCCUUAUAUUUAAAAUUCUCGCUUGAAAUUUAAGUCUUCAGAAAAAUCUGCCGAGAAGAAGUCUUCUAGAAGACUUCCUAGAAGACUUCUAGUGAAACUGUUAUAGGUUUGAACUAAUGUAAUAUUUGAUCUUUUGUGAAUUUGACUAAGUUUUCUUGAUAAGUUUUCUCUUUUAGUUGUAGUAAAUUUGACUAAUUUUUUGUAUUAUUGUGUUUUGUUAUUGAAGUUAGUGAUCAAUAAUGUCAAGUAUUUUUUUUGGCAAGAUAAUAUUGUAGAUAUUAACAUAUUUACCAAAUUUUUUUAUUUAUAUCUAUUCAAAUUUACAAAAGAAUUCAUAAUUAAAAGAGUUCACAUAGAAAUUACAAACAGACCAUAAAUAAAACUAUUAUAGCUCAUUACUCCACAAAGAUAAGCUUAGACUCCACUUGACAUGGGAGAAGACUUCCAGAAAAAGUCUUCUAGUGCAUUAAAUGUUAGAAGACUUUCGAGAAGACUUCCCUGAAAGUCUUCCAAGUCUCUCAGAUCUAAAAAACAUGCAUAUCAAAAAGCAUUCAAAUGGCUUCAAAAUAUAGAAUAACUUCAAAAAUAAGGUAAGAGCUUAAAACAACCAAAAGAAUUUUCAAAAAGUAAGAGCUUUAAGCAACAAGAUGUUACCAAAUAAGAAAAUUUAAUUUAUAGAUCUACUUUUAAGGAGUGGAAGAUGAGAACCAUGUAAUGAAAAACCUACAAAACAAGAUGAAUUAGUGAGAAUAACAUGAUACAAAAAAUGAUAAAUUGAUAUAAAGUUUGGUGUUUGCAAAAAUUGAUAAAUUGUGAAAAAUAUAAGAGUUUUAAGCAAUCAGAGGUUUACCAAAUGAAGAAAAAUCAGACAUAUAAACUUACAAAAACACUCCGCUCUGAAAUGAAAAAGGAAACAUGGGAGAAGACUCUGCCAGAAGUCUUCUAGCGCAUUAAAUCUUAGAAGACUUCCGAGCAGACUUCAAAUGGCUUCAAAACAUAGAAAAACUUCAAAAAUAAAAUAAAUCAGUGAGAAAAUAUGAAAUAACUAUAAUUGAUAUAAAAUUUGAUGUUUUUAAGUUUAAGAAGAUUAGAGAGAGGUUGCAGAGUUUAAGAAUGAGAAACAUUGCAUUUUUGUUGCAUCCAUUUGAGAGAAAGAGAGAGAAUGUGUAAAUUUUCUCUAUAAAGGGAGACAAAUAUUCCAAUAAAGUUAAAUUUUUUCAAUUCAGAAGACUUUCAAGUAAGUCUUUUAGAAACUAAAAUACUUUGCGGGAAACUCAAAAAUAUUUUAGCGGGAAUGAGUAGACUUUUAGAGAAGUCUUCUAACUAAUAAAAUACUAAUCACCAGAAAGACUUCCUGAAAGUUGUCUAGACCCUAAAUAUAAAUCAUAAACUUAAAUAACUAAUUAAAUAGAAACAAACAGUUUAUUAAACUUAAAAAGUGUUUAAUAUACACAAAGCUAAACAUUUAUGUCAAAAUUUAAUUUUUCAAAAAAAUGUUAAGUUUUCAAAAUCUAACCCUAAGAAUGAAUACAAUACUACAACAUAUGUUGUCAACCCCUAAACCAAAGAAUAUCAUGACUCAUUACUUUCACUCAUCUAUGUUGAAAAUAAUUCAAUUUUAUUAUAUUUUCAUUUAUAUCACUUACAACUGUUUAUAAUUACAUGAUUUCAAUUUUUUCCCUAUCAAAAUAUUUGUUACAAAAUUUAUAAAUUACUUUUAAGAUCUACUAUAUGAGAAGACUUACAGAACCCUAGAGGACUUAGAAAAUCUCAGAAGACUUUACGGGGUUAUAUUCAUAAAAAGGAAUUAUGGUUUUUUGUUUGGUCAUAUGGGGCUAUUUGUAAUUUCACUAGCCUUUUGGGUUACUUUGCAUUUGUUUCAAGUUUGAGAUACUUUUAGGGUUAAAAUCAAAUUUUGAGUCAUAUUUGGUAAAUUCUUCUUGUUUAAUUACUUAUCUAUCUUAUUAAAAUUGAAGUAAAAAUAGAACUAACUUUAUUUUCAACAGAUUUACUACAUAUUUUCUUUCUUAAUUUUCACUCAUCUUAACUAAUUUAUUAAUUUUAAUUUUCUAAAUAAUUUAACAGCGUUCAUUAUAAAAGUACAAAAUAUAAUUUAUCUAUUUUUGGUGUUUUGGUAUAUUUUUAACAUUCUCUUUUCACACUUCUAAAAUAUUUCAUUAAUUGUUUUUACCCUAAUAAUUUGAUAUCAUUUAUUUUACAUGUUAACCAUAAUAUUUACAUGUUUGAAUGAAUUUUCUUCAUACACAACAAUAAUUCAAAUCAGUUAACAAAAAACUUUUUAUUUGUUUACAUAAUCAGUUAGAUAUGAGUAUUCAUAUAUCCGUUCGGAUACGGAUAUGUUCUUUCAAGUAUCAAUUUUUUUGGAUUUUGAAAUUAGGCUCCGUUCGGGUGUUAUAAAUUUUUAAGUGGUAUCUGAGUCGAGUUAGUUCUUUCAAGAUUCGGAUGGAUUCGAUUUUGAUGUGUAAUGUGUUUUUUUUUUUUGAACACCUGAUGUGUAAUGUGUAAAAAUCUAAAAAUGAACAAAAAAUUUAUGUAUUUAUAAAUAUCAUUAAUUCUUUUUUUUAAAUAACAUCCACGUGGACACGCAAAUCAAUCUCUAACAAAUUUUGAAAACUAUUGAAUCAUUCUUUCACUUUUAUAUCAGAGAGAUUUAAACUUCGGAUUUGCCCAAAAAAAAAAUAUCAGAGAGAUUUCAACUUCGGAUUUUUAUUUAGAAGCAAUUAAAUCAUAUCAACCAUAAUGAGAAUCUUUUAACAACUUUCAGUCUUUCAUUAAUCAUUACGAUUAGAAUUUAUUUUCAUUCCUUUUUACAUUGAGUUGAUUACUCUUUAGGACACAUUUUGAGUUUCUCUUACACUUAUAGACACAUUCCACUUGUGACACACUUUUUUUGUGGGGUCCAUUAGAUAUUUGGACAACUAUACCCUCAAGGGAAGGAGAAAGUUAGUUUUUUUUAUUAUUUUUCUUAUUGUGCUUCAUGAUUUCAUUUGCUUUUAUCUCAAAAUCUAAAAUAUAUUAAAUAAAAAUAAUUGUCAUAAUAAACUAUAUUUAAAAUUAUCUAUCUUUUAAGUUCUAUUUUCAUAUAUGUAUGGUAACUUGUAAACAAAAUUAAUUGUGGACGUGGAUUCCAAAGCGUGGAUAGUAGAGAUAUACACUAGUUGUGGACAUGAACACCUUAACUCAGAGGUCAUUGCUUAUACCUUUAAGAGAUUGUUCUUCGCUAUAGUCUCCGGUAAUAAGAAACUUAGAUAACCAUGUUUCCACCGUUACUCACACCGUCACCGGCACCGCCGAUACCAUCACCACGAUCGAGAUUUGGUUCUAACUCGUUAAAGGUCUCAUCUUUCGAUCUGACGUACAUCGAUCUGCUAGAGACUUCCUCGUGACCACAUCCAAUACAACGCAACUAGCUCUCGAUCUUCGAUAAGACAGCUCGAUCAGAGAUGUCUUAUCCAUUGGAGCUCGAUCAGAGUUGUCUUAUCAGAGAUCGAGAGCUAACUAGUUGUGUUGGAUUGGAUGUGGUCACAUGGUAAAUCUUCAGCAUCCAAAAAUGAGAUUUUUAAACCGCUAGAUGGUGGUGGUGGCCUCGGUGGUGCCGGUGACGGUGGGAGUAACGGUGGAAACGUGGUUAUGUGGGUUUUUCCUUGCCAGAGACUAUAGCGAAGAAUAAGCUCUUAAAGGUAUCAGCCAACAACUUUCGUGGUAAGAUGUUCAUAUCCACAACUAGUAUAUAACUCUACUAUCCACGCUUUGGUGUCCACGUCCACACUUAAUUUUGUUUACACGUUAAUAUAUAUAUAUGAAGAUGGAUCUUAAAAGAUAGAGAAUUUUAUGUAUAAUUUAAUUUGAUAAUUAUUUUUAUUUAAUACAUUUUAGAAUCUGAGAUAAAAGUAAAUGAAAACAUAAAGUGGAAUAAGAAGAGGAGAGAGAUUCAUGUGAUGAGAAGAAAACAACUUGUAUAUUAAAAACAUAAAGGCAAUGAGAUAAAGAAUAAAGUUUAGGGUCAUAAGAGUCUUUUUGACAUGAGAAAGUGUGUCUCAAGCACUAAGUGUCCUAUAAUGUAAUUGGAAAGUGAAAAAGUGUCUUUAAGUGUAAAAAACUCUUUUACAUUUUGUGUAGAACUAAAAGUAUAUUCGUAUAUUCAUAUUACGGGAUGCAGACGAUCACAUAUAUGUUAGUUUACUAUAUAACACACACAAAAACCACACAAAACUGCAAAAAAAAAAAAAAAAAAAAGAGCAACCUAAUUAAAAAUCAGAAUAACUGUAGCAUAAAAAGCAUUUCACUGAACAAUCCACCCACCGAUGGGGUCUACUAUUCUGAUCUACAUAUAUUCAAAUGGAUAUAGUCUUGUGCAGAGGGCGAGCCCGCUUCCAUGGCAGAACUUCUGUUUAUGCACUUAAGACUUCCGACUGCUCAUCCAAGAUUCUUCUGACAAUAGCAACGCGAUGGACAUCCUUACGAACUCGAGCCUCGCAAGAGUUCGUACCUUAUGUAAAUGCAAGAACUGCUUCAUAGAGUAAAGCACAGAGUACACCAGAAAAAUAUCUCUACAAAAAUAUGUGUUAUUACUAGUAUUCUUUUAAAACGAACUUACAAGUAUCUCUUUAAACAGAACUCGAACAAGAUCAAGACCCUUCUUGACUUGCUCCCCUAGCCUUACACGUCCUAAGAUCGAAUACAAGAUCUCUAGAACCAUUACCUCUUAGCCCUUAGUGUUAUUCACUCGCUUACAAGCUUAGCGAACUCCACUCUUAUGCUAAGAAUACAAUUCUCUCGACGACCCUAAUCCACAGGUCGAGUAUGACUAUAUAUACAAUACAAUCAAGUCGGCUAUCCACGCCUAUCUACCCAAUAUUCCCUAUUUACCCAAAUAAGGUAAGUUCCCUAAAACCUCUCCAAGGCUUUUUAGAAAACUUCCAUCCUGAGAUCUCCCUUCUCCAAGGUGAAUCUCUACAAGCUUGUUCCCCAAGAUAUCUUCGUAUCAACUUAGCCUUGAUCCGCAAUCCAUUCUUCAAGUCGCAAUCUUCAUCUUGACUUGUUCAUCCGCACGUACACUUCUCUGUUGCAGACUCUGCUCCCUUCGAUGUUGUACUUGCGUCUGUAUCAGAACGUCCAUCUGAUCUUUGCAUCUACAAUCUCCCCCUUUUAGCUUUGGAUGUCUCUCAAGUACCUGCACAGAUCCGCUCAAACAACCACACACAUUCGAACAUAUAUAUCAUGAAUAAUACGUGCAUUAAAAUUGACAUGAAGGUUCAAAACAUGCGAGUUCAAGAGUUAGAGAUAAACAUAAAACCAAAACACCAAAAACCAAUAACAUUGUUUUAUCUCUCACUCCCCCAUAAUUAAAAAACGAGAAACAAAUUAAAUUUUUCUCCCCCAUAAUCUAGUUCCCCUGGUCAUCCUACUGUUGCGGAUCGUCUGCCUCUUCUUCUCCCCCUGCUUGAGAGCAUACAUAGUUAAAAUUCAUAAAGAUCAGAGUAAAUAAAUAACCAGAUAGAAGACUUACUUGGGAACAGCAUGCUUGCAAUCUGUCCCCCGACGCUCGUCAGAGUCUGCAUCGCAGUUGCAAGUUGUUGAAUUGCUUCCGAGGUCGUAUCUAUCGGUUGCCCUGGAGAUGCAACUAAUCCGAGGUGAAUGAUCUGGAACUUUCCAGCAGCCCGCGGAGACUGUCUUGGUGGCACAUACCCAGAAGGAUCAGUCCUCUCAGAUCGAGGAGUGCUUGGAGGUGGUCCAGAAGUAGGUGCUGCAGUUGAUGUUGAUGCAGAUUUCCCUUUCUUCUUGGUCUGCUUCUGAGCCUUCUUCUCAGCCUCUCGUGCUUCCUUUUUAUUAUUGAGAUACUUUUCGCCCUGACGAGGGUCCUUCUUAUAUGGAAUCACAGCCACAAGUUUCUCUCUUGGUCUUCGCUGCACCAUGUGCUGCAUCUAAAGCACACCAUAGAUAGUACGAGGAAAUAUCAACCACCUCGUGUCCUUCUUUUCUCCCUCUUUUUUGAAUAACUCCGAGGUUAAGAACUUGAUUGUAGACCAACACUCCUAUGUCAACACAGACUCCAUGAAACAUCUUAUAGACAAGUUUUGCACGAUCAAUGGACACGGCAUUUUUGUUAGACGAAGGUACCCAAAUUGUAUGCUGCAAGGACUAGAAGCGCAGCUUUACAUAGAGACAGAGAACUUGUCGUGAGGUUCUUCAUCUCCCGUGUUCCCUCGGUCAGGAAGUCAGCGAGCUCAUCACUAUUAACUUCAUCCAUGGUUUCCUCUACUUCUAGCUCAUCUCCCUGAAGUGGUGAAACAUCAAAGUAUUGAUCAAUCAUAGCUGGAGAAAAUUCAUACUUUUGCCCUCGUACUGUCACUAUGACUUCUGAUCCUCUAGUCAUCUCACCAGGCAAGGCUGCAUAGAAUUCCUUCACGAUCUCAGAAAUGUAACCUCCUAGACCUGUGACAGUCUUCUCCAGUUGCCCUUUCUUGAUUAUACUCAUAUAGCCCCAUGUGUCUUCCGAGCUCAGAUCCACAGAAUGUUAUGGAAUAAUCUCUCUAGAGGCAAAACUUGCAUACCUUUGCUCUGCGAGCCGUUCUGCACCUGAAGUUGUUUUGGCCUUUCUUUGAGAUUUGAUUCAUGAGGCAGAGGUUUUCCUGGUUGAUUUUCUCACAGGAUUGCUCUGGGUUGCUGAUGAUGGAGCUUUCCUCUUUUUCUCUUUCUCCUUAACACUGACUGGUGGUUCCAUGUUCUCAGCAUCAACUUCCUCAGCUUCUUCUGAGUCAGUGUUCUCUGAGUCAUCUUCUUCCUCAGAUUCACCUGAGGAGACUUUGAUUGCUUUUCCUCGAUUCUCUUUGGAGGCCUUAGUUGUAUCAGCUCCCUGUGGAAUCGUCUCAGAGGUUUCUUUACUCCUUCCCUCCUUCACGUUCUUCUUCUUCCUUGUUAAUCUCACUGGUUCUGACUUAGCAUCUGACUCAGAAUCCAGUUGUUCGGCUGCGGUAUGAAGAUCUUCGGAUAGGGGUUGAGACAUCUGACUCUGUUGUGGCGUCGUUUUCUCCUCAUCAUCAGAGUAGUCUACGAGAUUCAAUGGUGGUGGAUUUGAAUAUUUACCGGCGGCGGAGGUGCUUUUGUUCAUCAACAUGAUUUCUGGAGAGAUAAAGAGAGAGUUUUUCUUUUGAAAGUUUUUUGAGUUUUGAGAGCAAAGAGAGUUAUCAGAGAGAUAAGUUGGCGUGUAGGGUUUAUCAAGGGGUAAUCAUUUCUUUUUUGGUACAUUACCCCAUGAUCUCCUAGAUAUUCGCCAUAUUUCCCACUCUCUCCAAAAUGGAAGUUUUUAAAUUUCAAAAAUUCGAAAUCUUCCAUUUAGGCUCACACGAUCUCUCUUCCCUUUUUCUCUUAUGUCGACACGUAUUGCCCACUUAUGACUUGAUCGGACUGAAUCUUCACUGUUCCACUGUGACACUCGAUGACAUAGACUGGUGAUAUUAACUCAAUGACUUUUCCUGACACAACCACUUAGACAAAAAAACAUUUAGUACAUUAAACACACAACCAAUGAGAGAACACGUGUCACACAGAAUAAUUUUUCAAUUUUGAGCAUAAAAAGAAUUUUUGUUUUACCUUUCCCGUUGGCAACUGUUCGUCGAGUGAUCCAGAGGCUGACAUAGCUUCUGCUACAGAUGCACCCUUCUUCUCUACUAAAUCCUCAUAUGAUCAUCAGGCUUAUUUCAUGUCUAGCUUUCGCACAAAUAUGCCUUUAUCAUGUCCUGACUCAGUUUUCAACAUUUAUUCGUCAUGAGAGAGCUGGGGUUUGUUACUUCUUUUCUUUUUCUUGUCUUUUUCUUUUUCUUUUUCUCUUUUCUUUUCCAAGAGUUUUCUUGUGCUCCCUUUUUGAUGAUGGGAGACACAUGACAUCUUCUUCCCCUUGUUACUUGAUUGCUCUCUCGAUGCGAAACCUGUACUUUUUGAGAUCAUGACGGCAUAUUUGGCAGCUCUUUUCCACUACUCGCUUCUUAUGUAAGACAAAACCUGAACUUUGGGUGCCUCUGCAUCAGCUCUUCUGUCAUCCCCUGUACAUUUACACAAACUUGUUACAUCUCACAAACCCCAAUGGAGUUUCGAAGAGUAACAAAACGGUUAAAAGAUCUAAAGGUUUAGUGAAAACAUCAGCUAGUUGUAAUUCUUUGACAACAUGUUCAAUCACUACUUGUUGUUCAUCGACUAGUUCCCUGAUGAAGUGAUGUCGAAUGUCAAUGUGCUUGGUCUUUGAGGGUUGCACCGGAUUCUUUGAUAUGUCGAUUGCACUCUUGUUGUCACAGUAGACCAGAAAUGAUCCAGUAUCCAUGCUAUAGUCAACAGACAUUUGCUUCAUCCACAUCAGCUGUGUGCAGCAACUCCCCAUAGCAAUGUAUUCUGCUUAUGAGGUCGACAACGAAACAGAGUUCUGCUUCUUGCUCAACCAUGCAACCAGGUUGUUUCCGUGAAAGAAACACCCCCCACUGGUACUCUUUCGAUCGUCUACACUUCCAGCCCAAUCUGCAUCACAGUAUCCAACAAGAUUUCCAUUCGAUCCCUUUGAGUAGUAAAUCCCAAGGUUAAAUGUGCCUUUGACAUAUCGAAUGAUUCUCUUAGUUGCCUCCAGAUGAGACUUCUUUGGCUUUGCUUGGUACCUAGCACAUAUACUUAGAUCUGGUCGACUAGCCGUCAGAUAAAGUAGGCUUCCGAUCAUCCCUCUAUACAGCUUUGUGUCCACUGGUUCACCCUCCUCAUCUUUGCAACUUUUAUUUGUCGAGCUCAUUGGAGUUUUUGCCUCCUUGCAGUGAUCCAGUUGAAACCUCUUCAGUAGUGCCUUUGCAUAGGUACUUUGCGAGAUGAAAACACCUUCCUCUGUCUGCUGUAUUUGUAGCCCGAGGAAAUAUUUCAACUCUCCCACCAUGCUCAUCUCAAACUCUUUGGUCAUGUCUCGAGUGAAACCAUCUACAAGUUGUUUAGAUGUUCCUCCAAAAAUGAUGUCGUCAACAUAGAUCUGAACCACCAGAAUCCCUGUUUUAUUCUUCAGCACAAACAUAGUUUUAUCGACACUUCCUCUGAUGUAGCCUUUGUCAACCAGAAAGUUUGUCAACCUUUCAUACCAUGCUCGAGGUGCUUGCUUCAACCCGUAUAGAGCUUUGUUGAGUUUGUACACAUACUCAGGAUUAGUUGCGUCUUCAAAACCCUUUGGCUGAUGUACAUAUACUUCUUCAGACAGUAUCCCAUUCAGAAAUGCACUCUUAACAUCCAUUUGGUACACUGUGAAGUUCAUGAUGCAUGCCAUUCUAAUGAACAGUCUGAUAGACUGCAAUCUAGCCACUGGAGCAAAUGUUUCUUCAAAAUCAGCUCCCUCGAUUUGCGAAUACCCCUGAGCUACUAAUCUUGCUUUGUUUCUGACCACAAUUCCAUUCUCAUCAAUCUUGUUCUUGAAGAUCCACUUAGUCCCAACUAUGUGACCAUCAGAUGUCUUCUUCACCAUCUCCCAUACAUCAUUUCCGAUGAACUGUUCUAGUUCCUCCUGCAUGGCUUGAAUCCAGAACUCAUCCGAAAGUGCUUCGGUGUAGUCUUUUGGUUCAAUAUUUGAGACAAAGCAUGCUGACUGCACCAUUUCUCUGAAGUUGAUCUUCACACCUCUUGUUCUUCUCCCUUCAUUCCCGUUCCCAAUGACAUCUCUAGAUGAGUGAUUUUUGUGAAUGUUUGGAGUGAUCGUCUCCUGAGUCAAUUAUGAGGGAGUUGUUGUGUCAUUCGUUGAUUCAGUUGAUGGGUUCUUUGAUGCAUCCGAUGGCAUAGCUUUCUUCUGUUCCUCAUCGUUUUCCCAUUCCAGUGCUGUGACAUCAUCGAACACAACAUUUACUGACUCCAUGAUCAUCAGGGACCUCAAGUUGUAGACUCUGAAGGCUGUGUUGUUUGCUACGUAUUUUAGGAACAUGCCUUCAUCGCUUCUUGCAUCAAACUUGCCAAGAUGCUCUUUGUCGUUCAGGAUGUAGCACUUACACCCAAAAACAUGAAAGUAACUGAGGUUUGGUGUUUUUCCUUUCCAUAGUUCAUACGGAGUCUUGAUAGUUCCUCUUUUGACAUAGACACGAUUUAUGAUGUAGCAUGCAGUGCUAAUAGCCUCUGCCCAGAACCUCUGCUUCACAUUGUUACCAUGCAUCAUAGCUCGCGCCAUCUCCUCAAGCGUGCGAUUUUUCCUUUCUACUACUCCAUUUUGUUGAGGAGUUCUAGGUGCAGCAAAUUGUUGAACUAUUCCGUGCUGUCCAUAGAAAUUACUCAUGGCUUCAUUUUGGAAUUCUCCCCCGUGAUCACUGCGAAUCUGCUUCAGUCGUCUCUUCCUAAUUGUAACUUGAAGAGCCCAGAUCUUGAAGCUUUCCAGUGUAUCAGACUUUUCACGAAUGAAUCUGACCUAUGUAAACCUUGAGUAGUCAUCAACCAGAACUAGAACAUACCUCUUCCCUGCUAUGCUCUCUUUCUGCAUAGGACCCAUGAGAUCCAUGUGUACCAUUUCAAGCAUAUCGUUGACUGAAUAUCUGGAAUCAUCUUGUGUUAAACUUUGACCUGCUUUCCUUGAUUGCACGGUCCGCAUACAGUCUUCUCUGUUUCCUCCAGCUGAGGAAUGCCUCUGACUGCACCUUUUCUGAUGAUGUUGGUCAUAUGCCUCAUGUUCAUGUGACCAAGUCUUUGAUGCCAUAGACUUAUUUCAUCAUGUGCAACAAAGCACUGUUGUACACUCUGCCAUACAUAGCAAUUGUUAGCAGAUCGUACUCCAUAGAGAAUGACUCUGUUUUCCUCAUUCACAGCUUUGCACUCUCUGCUUGUGAAGUGAACUAUCAACCCUUCAUCACACAAUUGACUGAUGCUGAUUAGGUUUGAUUUUAAUCCCUUGACUAAGAACACAUCCUUUAGAGGUGGUUUGGUUUCAACAGUCUUUCCCUUGCCUUUGAUCGCUCCUUGGCUUCCAUCUCCAAAUGUGACUCUACCUCCUUUAAAUGGCUUUAUCUCUAUGAGAUUCUUGUGUGUUCCUGUCAUAUGACGAGAGCGACCACAGUCGAAAUACCAUGGAUUUUCAUCUUUGGAUAUCAAUGCCACUGCUUCUGAUACAAGUGCCAUGCUUCAUCUCGGACCUCCGUGAAUAGAUCGUUGAGUUGAUUUCACUGUUGUACGUCCUAAAUCAGAUUUCCUGAUCCAGACUUGAUUUCGAGAGCCAUUCCACUAGUACUUUCCUUGUCUCAACAACUGAUUUACUUUUCCCCGAAAGUGAUAGCAUUUCUUCUUGAUGUAACCCGGUUUUCCACAGUAGUAACAUCCUCUCUCCUUCUGAAUCUUUGAUCGUCCCACCUUCUGGAGAUUCUUAACUUUCUCAGCACCAGUCUUUGAGGUAGUACCUUCAGUUGUUGUUCUCCCUUUGGAGUUGGAGCUUUACACAAAUUUGAUGGGUUCUGUAUCCCUCUUUCCAUACCCAGGAUUUUAUCAAGUUCCUUUGACCCAGUGAGCAUUUUGACAGUCUUGUAAUGAUGUUCUAGCUUGGCAUUUAAGUCCGAUGAUCGAGCCUUCUCGUUUUUCACUUGUUUCUCUAGUAAUUCAAUUUGAACAACAAGUCGUACAUUCUUCUUUUUCAGAACUGAGGUAUUUGCCUCCUUUUUUUUCAUCAUCAAGUUUUUUCCUGAGGUUUAUCACCGUGUCUUCCAGCCAGCUUUUCUCCUUUUUGAGACAUAGAUUCUCCUUACCAAUCUGGACUACCAUCUGACACAGUUCUUGAUAGCUAAUUCCAUCAUCACCAUCUGCACUUGACUGGUCAUCAUUAGUAUCAGUUUCUCCUUCCAGAAACUCUGUGAUGCCAAUGAAUGCUGCGAAGUUAGCCAGCUCCUCUUCAUCACUGUCUUCUUCUGAGUCUAUCUCAUCAAUUCCGAUCAUAUAUUUCUCACGUCUCCUCUUCUGAUCGUUGACGCAUUCCAGUUGCGUGUGUCCAAUUCCUUUGCACUUGUAGUACUUGAUUUCUCUCCUUCGAACAGUUGGACAAUCAGUUUUGUAAUGUCCAUACCCCUUGCACUCAUGACACUGAACCUCCGCUUUAUGAUCGUUCUUUUCUGACUCAGAUUUCCGUUUCUCACCUUCUGCAGCACGUUGUGAUGUACUUCCUCUUCUCUGACCUGAUUUGGCUCUACGAAGGACUCUGUCAAACAGCCUAACAAGCGUACUUACUGGAUCAUUGUCAUCUUCUUUGUCAUAUAAAUCUUGUGAUACCAGUGCAACUCCCUUUCCUUUCUUUCCUCCGUCAAUCUCCAUUUCAUGUGCUCUCAGCAUCCCUACAAUUUCAUCAAAGCUUAUCUCAUCUGUAUUCAGUGAAACUGACAUAGUUGCCUUGUAUGCGGUAUACUUAGAUGGUAGACACCUUAGAAACUUCUUGAACAGCUUCUUAUCCUUGUAUUUCUUUCCCAAUACCAACGAUUCCUGAGCUAUGCCACUGAGUUGUGAGCUGAAUUCUUCAACUGAUUCACUUUCUCCCAUUUUGAUAUUCUUAAACUUGGAUGCUAGAUAAUCCAGUUGUGAGCUCUUCACUUUUGACGUUCCUUCGAAGUGAUUUUGCAGUAUUUCCCACGCUUCCUUGGCGGUCUCAAAUCCUUGAAUCAGCUCAAAGUGUUUCUUUGUAACACUGGCGUGUAUAGCUGAAAGUGCUCUGGAGUUGAACUUCGCCAUCUUGAGUUCUGUUUCGGUCCAAAGUUCUUCUUCUUUGUUGGAUUCAACACCAUUCUCGUCUGUAGCCUUUGGUUCUGACCAUCCAGUUGUCACAGAUUUCCACGCCAUGGCAUCAAUCCCUCAAAUGAUAGACCUCAUUCGUGACUUCCAAAGUCCAUAGUUGGAUCCAUCCAACAUCACCCUUGUGCUUGACACCACCUCAUGAUAGUUCUCUAUUUCUUCCGCAGGAUCUCACCUGUUAUAUAAUCGAACGGGUGACUGCUCUGAUACCACUUGUAAAUGCAAGAACUACCUCACAGAGUAAAGCACAGAGUACACCAGAGAAUAUCUCUACAAAGAUAUGUGUUAUUACUAGUAUUUGUUUAAAGCGAACUUACAAGUAUCUUUUUAAACAGAAUUCGAACAAGAUCAAGACCCUUCUUCACUUGCUCCCCUAGCCUUACACGUCCUAAGAUCGAAUACAAGAUCUCUAGAACCUCUACCUCUUAGCCCUUAGUGUUAUUCACUCACUUACAAGCUUAGCGAACUCCACUCUUAUGCUAAGAAUACAAUUCUCUCGACGACCCUAAUCCACAGGUCGAGUAUGACUAUAUAUACAAUUCAUCUAAGUCGGCUAUCCACGCCUAUCUACCCAAAUAAGGAAAGUUCCCUAAAACCUCUCCAAGGCCUUUUAGAAAACUUCCAUCGUGAGAUCUCCCUUCUCCAAGGUGAAUCUCUUCAAGCUUGUUCCCCAAGAUAUCUUCGUAUCAACUUAGCCUUGAUCUGCAAUCCAUUCUUCAAGUCGCAAUCUUCAUCUUGACUUGUUCAUUCGCACGUACACUUCUCUGUUGCAGACUCUGCUCCCUUCGCUGCUAUACUUGCGUCUGUAUCAGAACGUCCAUCUGAUCUUUGCAUCUACACCUUAUGUAGAAAAAUGCAUCAUAGUUGCCAAGUCCCUGGGUACUUUCCAUAGCCACUUUCAGAAUCUUCAAAUUGGUCAGACUGUGUUUAUCACUGCCAUUGUUCAUGUUGGUCGUGGCAGCUGCAAGUUCCAAGUACAAAUGGAUCCAGUCAUUGUCUUGAAGCUCCGAAUCCUUGAGCUGAAAAUAAAAAAGAAGGUAGUAUAUCACUAAUUAAUAAUUGUUGAUUAUAAUAAUCCAAUUUUUUAAUUAAAAAACAAUCAAUUUACCAAGUAAAAUCGGUUUGUGUCAUCUUCAAAAGGGUUCUCUUGCGGCAAAUCAGGCACACUGGGAUAGUUAUCCAAGCAUUCUCGAUAUCACCACCUGUGAUGGUCUUCUUGAGCGAGAUUUGAUUAAAUUCAUCUUCUUCGAAAAAACUAAAACAAGAUUUGAUAAAUUCAUCUUUUUCAAAUUGCAGGUCUCUAGUUACUUCUUUGAAAUCCUAGAUUGAGCUCGAUUCUUGUUCUUACCCGCCAUCACAUAGUAGAUAAGUUUUGUAGUUUAUUAUACCAAAAAAUGUUUUAGUUCCUUUGAUGUUCAUACCCAAGAUAAAGUUCUAAAUACUAUUUUAUAAUCAUUUAGGGUAUGAAUGGUGACCAAGGAACGACGAUGAAUAAUGCAUUCUCUAACAUUUCUAUAAAAAAAUCACUAUUCACAUGGAAUGAUUUUUUCUUCUCAUUCCCUACCAUUUCUUUUUUUUGUAGAGAAAUAAAGAUCAAAGUUAUUCCUUGUUAAAUAUGGGAUGAAACCAUUCGUUUUCAUUCCUGCAAUUUUAUUCAUCUACAUUCAUUUCCUAUUCGUUCCUCUUUUUUUCAGAAUGGUCACUGGCCGGAAACUAAUCUAAAAUGUGUUUUGUUAUUUGGGGAAUUGGAUGCAAUAACCAAAAAAAAAAGGAAAAAUUUGGAAAAAUAUUCUGCAAAUAGAUUUUAUUUUGAAAAAUACACUGUGUUUUAAUUCUUCUUAAACUAAAUUUUUUGUUAAGUUAAAUGACUAAAUUAUCCUAACUAAAAAUGUAUAAUUACAUUAAGAAUUUAAAUUUAAUAUUUUAAAAAAUAAUAAUUUAAAUGAUAAAUAGUAAGAAAAAAAUGAAAACAAUCAUAGUUGAAGUCUUUAACUUGAAGACACAAUCUUUUGUGUGAACCAAAAAAAUGUCUUCAAAAUCUUUUGUGUGAACCAAAAAAAUUCAUGUAGUUUGGAACUUACCAAAUUUUGAUCUAGUGUUAUUGUGCUUUAUAAGUUUUGAAUAUUUCCACUCUUUUAAAUUUUUUGAACAUAUUCAUGACUAAUGCAACAAUUUAUGGCCUCAUGAAUUUUAUCACUUAGUGGAGAAAUUUCAUUUUUAUUGUGACAAGUUCAGUGUGAUGAUGAGUUUUAAUUACAUAAUGCAUUAAGAAAGUGAUAAUUUUUUUCCAUACUAAUUUCUGUUUAUAUAAGAUUAAUAGUUUUCUAAAUGAUAAACAUUGAAUUUUUAAAUUAUUUGUCCAAUUCUAUAUUUAAAUUAUUAAAUUAUUAAUAUAUUUUACCUCAAUAAUUUCGAAAUUUAAAUUUUUAUAAGAUAAUAUUUAACUGAAAUCUGAUCAAAAUGUCUUUUUACAUAUAGGACAAGUGUAAUUUUCAAAAACAAAUUAAAUCAAUGCAUUUUUCAAAUUUGAUAACAUAAACAGAGUAUUUUCCUAAUUAUCCCCCAAAAAUAUUAUAAUUCAUAAUCUAACCAAAAAAAUUUUUACCACGAUAUUCAAUGUAUUUUCUAUAAUAUUUGCCAAACUACCCGUACAAUCAACCGGUGUGGCCACCUAAUCUCUGCUUCUCUUCUCUUAAUAUCGAUGAACACAAAUCAGAGGUCAUCAUGUUUCACUCACUUCCACCUAUAGAAUCAACACCACUAUCACCACUGUUUCUUUAUUCCGCCACCAUAUUUGCUGCUGCCACCAUCAUAUUUGUCGAAUCAAUUGGUACCGCUUUUUUUUAACCACCAAUUGGUACCGCUUCCGUAUAGUCUUCUCCGUGUUGUAAAUAGAGAGUUUAGAGACUGAAUAUUUCUGUGUUAUUAUUAAUGAUCAAGGAGGUUCCUUUAUAUAAGGAUUACAAGAUGAAGAUAAAUUGAAAGUAUCCAAAACCUAAACUCACUAGGAUUAGGAAAACUACUAAUACAUAAUAAUGGAAAGAUUACAUCUACUAGGAAAAGGAAAGGGUUUCUUUUUCUCCAAGCUUUGUGGCCGCCUCUCUCUCUCCUGAAGUCGGCUCUCUCUCUCCUCUCUCUAGGCUUCGGCCAUCUCCCCAUCUUCUAGGUUAUGGGCCGGUCUUGGACUGGGCCUGGUUAAUGGCAAUCCACUCCAUGAUUUAUAACACUCUCCCUUGGAUGCCAUAACAAUACAGGAUUUGUAGUACGCUUCAUGUUGCCUCAUUAAAACCUUAUCAGGAAAACCCAGUGGGACAAAACCAUGAUGAAGAAAAAAGAGUACAACACGCACUACUCCCCCUGAUGUGAACCUCAGUGUAGGUUCUACAUUCUACGCAUCUUGGUGCGUGAUAUUUCCUGUAUGUAUAGGAUGGGAGUAAUCGGCCAGUUUCAUUACUGAACCGUAAUUAGACCACUUCGACUUCUUAGGUUGUUUCUCAUGUCAUUUGACAUCGAGUGUCCCGGUAAAGCAUAUGUGCUAAGCAAUGUGAAUCACAUUGUCCUCGGAGAUCACUUAUUGGGUCUUUGCAAAUCGUAUUUGCAUGUAUCCAUGGUCUAGACGUGUUUGUCUACUGUCAAACUCUUUACUUUGGCCAUUAUAAUUACCAUCGAUCAUGUAUCAAUCUGGUCGAUCUAUGUUCGGGUCAUAGACCUCGUCCAUACGUGUCCACUACUUGUCUCAUGGGUGUUCAAGAUCAAUGAUCAUUACUGUGAGUUUAUAAUCUCUUAUUAUGGCUCUGCGGCCGAACACUCUUAUGGAUGUGGACAUCGAUUUCUUUGCCUUAGGUAAUGUCGUAUUCAUUAUUCUUUGCAUUCCUAUCUUAAUGAUGAUGAUGGCGUCUCAUGACCUCAGUUGCUGUGGAUCAUAUCACAUGCUAAGUAUACAUUAUUAAGUCAUGGACUUCGGCUUUCACGAGCUUAUGGACUACAAUACUUUAUAUCCGACAGGUAAGGAUAGAUUAAACAUCUCCUCUUAUCCUUACGACAAAACUUUGUGGAGUUUAUACAGCAGCAGACCGUUCUGCUAUGCCGGAUCCUUAAGGGAUCUGAUUGUCGGAUUGCAACCUGAUGGUUGAUCUUUUCUACUAGCCCGUGAUCAAAUGAUAAGAGCCGGACGCCUUUUAGCAGAAGGGGCCAGGCGCCUUUAUCUGAAAGACGGAUGCCUUUUAGCUUAAGGGCUGGACAUCUUUAGUCGAAGGACCGGACGCCUACAGAUACGUUCUGUAUCAGUCUACUAACCUCUUUUAAGUUUAGUACAAACACAAGGGAUUUGAAAUGUAUAUGGACUGUUAUUGGAUUGUCUCUUAUACAACUCCAAGAUCAUGCGUGAUCACUUUCUUUUACAUACUAUAUGCAGCUGCUUUUCAGUCCAUGAAUCAGCUUAGGAACAAAGAUGUUCUUUCAAUUUAUCCAGUGAUCCAUAUGCUGCUUACUACAUCAUUUGUAUCUAAUUUCUUUUCUUAUAAGCAGACCAUUUUCAAUUUCGAAAAUCUGUAGCAGCAUCCACCACAUAGGAGUUUAUCUCCUUAUAAUAUGUUCCUUUGAUCUCUGUGAGUACCUUGUGUAACAAGCUAUAAUCUAAUGUUGUUAAGUAGGAAGACAUGAACACUCUUAGACCUCGUGAUCAUGUGCCUUCUCUCACGGUUUCUUUAUCUCACAAGAUCCAUCUAUUUCACUGGUUUAUCAGAUGGCGUUUCUGUAUAUGUAUAUGGCCAAUACGCCCAUCUUUCUUUUAGAUACUUUGAACCUCCACGUUUUAUCUUUUCUAAUCUCUAUGAUCUUUUAUGAUUGUAUGAGUACUCAUUUGUGGGUUCAUGAUCCUCGCUUAUCUCUUUGUGUUCAAGUGCUAUAACUUUAUGUAUCUAUUAUACAAAUGUGUGUGUGUGUCGACACUUUCAUGUGGUUCUAUUAUGUUCCAGACAUGAUCUGAUCACAUUGAGAUUUCAUUAUCCAGGACCUUUGUUACCUAGUAGCUUGGCGUCCCAAGACUACAUGGUUUGGUACCUUAGAUGUGUAGAUGCGCAGCCUUUUCUCAAUGUCUGGUAUGGUUUCUCUUAUAAUCUCGGAUUUGUAUUCUAUGCACCAUUUUUCUAUCCGAGUUUCCUUUAUCUUAUGGAACACUUGGUCUAUCUUGUAUAGACUCUAUAGCGACUUGAUUAUGUCUCUUCUAGGACAUUCAUUUGGUGCUAAGCUGGUUAGUCAUUUCUCGGGUCAGUGUCUGGCAUUUCGAUUAGCUUCUCAAUUAGCUAGAUUUAUAUAAUCUUUCUUUGGAUGUCUUAAAUCAUAAUCUCUAGUCCGAGGAUCUUUGCCAAGACAAUGAUGGUUAAAACCAUUCGUACUUUUAACAUUCUUUAUCCAGCUUAUAAUCUUUCUCCUUUAAUAUUCGGAUUCAUUUGAUCAUGCAAUCCUUACCUGGCCACUAUUUUGAUCACCCAUGUUUUGGCUCUCAGUCCUUUUUAUUUCGUGGAGAAGAUCUUAUUCUUAUAUAUUCCCAAUCCUCUUCUGAGGUUCCAUCUUAGACGGCACAUGUAUGUAUGUGGUGGUUUAUUCAAAAUCUCUUAAGAUGGUGUAUGUCUGGUUUUAUGACCCGUAUUCAAUCUGAGAUGGGAAUAUCUAUGCUCACAUAUAUGUCCUGAUGAAUAUUAUCAUUCUAUACAUGUAAAACAUAAUGUCUCCAAGCUUAUAGACUUUAGAAUCUUAGUCUUAUAGAUAAUGGCCCCUCUGGUCGGUUAUGGCCCUUGCGGCCGACCUGUUCAUAACAUGGUCUCUUUGGCCGAGUAAUGGCCUUAUGGUUUGGCUGUCCUAAACAUGGUUUUAGGCCAUAGUAGUACACGAGGCUGGUUAUUGCCUUUGCGGCCUCGGCCGUUGUCUCUCAUGGCCUUUAUUGUUUGGCCGUUAUAGUAGUACACGAACUUGUAGUAUUGUUCAUGGGUUUAUCCUCUCUCCCCCUCAUGACCAUACUAUAAGGUCGUGGUGCUUGGGAUAAUUAAGCCUAAUGAGUUUCCCUUUGUGUACAUGUUUCACAACAUGAGAUCUUUUACGGGAUAACUCUGUGCCUUUUCAAUAUUUGCAUCAAGUUUAGACUUUAGGAUGGCUAAUCCUAUCAUGCCAUAGAGUGUAAAAUUUCGUGGUGUAUCUCAAUAUGGUUACCACAUCUCUUGCCUCUUUAUCAUACUGAUUUGUAGCAUAGUUUUGAUCAGUAGAGAUCAUGGGUAUAGUCUCGACCACUUUCUUUCAAGGUUUUAGGCAUUUUUAUUAAAAUCUAAAGGAAUUUGUUUCCUUCCUUUCCCAUUGUUUCUACUUGGAAACCAUAUUAUCAUAACUCAAUGGGUCACAUAUUAUUGGGUGUGUAUAAUGCCUUAUAGGCAAUGCCUUAGCCAUAGUUUCUUUACUAUGCUUACUAUACCCCUUUCAUGAUUUCUUACUUGGUAUUAUGCUCUUUAGGCAAAAAUAGAAUCAUUCAUAUGUUCAAGUAAGAUCAGGCAAGAUAAUGAAUUCAAAACCAUUUCCAUUGUAUAUGUAAAAUCGUGAAUGACAAUUGGGUUAAAGCAAAUCACAAAUCAAGGACUUUAAAAUAAAAUGUCGAGAUCCCUCUUAGUCAAUAGACAUGCUGGCCACUCCUUGAGUUAUAUUGGACACGGCUCCCUUGGAUUCAUCCUGAUCCAUAUCAGUCUUAUUUGUAUCAGGGUAUCUCAUCUCACUGCUCCUCUUUAGUACCUUGUCAUUCUCAAUCACCAUUAGGCAAGAGAUCAGGUCAUUGUAAGUGGUAGAACCUCUUUCUAUGUAGAUAUGUUUUUGACAACAAAUCUUCUGGAUGGAAUGUGGAGUAUGUCUUGAAUAGACAAUCAUUAUUUGUUACCUCUUCUCCACAUAAUCUCAGUUGGUACACGACCCUGGACAAAGCAAAGUGAAACUCGGCCACUGUAUCAAAGUCUCGGAAUCUAAGACUCAUCCAUUCAUGUUUGACCUUUGGUAAUAAUACCAUAGCGUAUCUGGACUUUAAUUAUGUCCAAAGGUCACGAGGAUUCUCAAUAUGUAGAUAUUGAUUUCUCAGUUCCUUAGUGAGAUGAUGGCGCAUUAUUGUAAUGACUCUUAACUUUUCACUUUCAGUUGCAUAAUCACCCUGAAUGAUACUCCUUCCGAGUCCUCUUGAUUUCAGGGUAACAGAAGUGUUCAUUGCCCAUUCUAGAUAAUUAUCUCCAAAGAGAUUUAGAAUGGCAUAAUCCUUGGGAUCAAAUCUCGGCAUCUGAAAUCAUAUUAUCAAUCAAUUCAUUGAUUUAGAAUUCUUGCAACCAAUUUAAAUAAUCAGUGCACAUGAUUUCAUAAGUCUCUCUAUAAUGCUUUAGGCCAUACGGCUUUGCAUUGUGAUGCUUAUACCUCACGGCCAUUAUAAGAUUCAACGAUCUUAAGGAUCGGAUCAUGAUGCAAUCUGGUUUAUAUAACCAUCCGGAUAAUAGGCCACACGGUCACUUUGAUAUUCACUAAGCCACACGGCUUUUAAUCAAUCAAGGGCACAAGGCCGCAAGUGUGAGCAAUGCAUUAGGCUACACGGCCGUUUGGUAUGUUUCAUAACACAAUGUCACACAAUCCAUAUCAAUUAAGUUUACCAAUUUCAAGGUUGGUAAUGUUUCAGCUAGAUUUUAGAAUCAAGUAAUCUAGCAACCUAACUCACAUUCAAUAUGUAAAUAUUCCUAAUCUUUAAAUCAAUGUUUCAAGCAAUGUGAGAUUUAAGGUUUUCAAGGCCUUUAGGAAUUUCAAACGAGAUUAAGGGUUUCAAGGCCUUGAGGAUUUCGAAUUUUGAGAAUAGAUCUAUCAAUCUUAAAAUCUCAGAUCAAUCAAUCAAACAAUCAAACAAUUUAGAAACCUCAAUGAUCAAUAGAUCAGAUGAAGUCAAAACUGAUUUAAGCUUUUAGGGUUUCUAGGGUGUUCUAUUUGAUCAUUAGAUCAUUAGGAUUUUGAGAUUCAAAACCUAUUAAGGUUCGAUUUUAAUUGAUUUAAUCAAUCUCAAUGCGGAUAUCGAACUUAAGAUAAUGAGCUUCGAUUUACUCAUUAGGGAUUGAUCUAUUAUCCUAGGUUUUCGAUUAGGAUUUUAUGGUUUCAAUUAGUUUCAAGCAAUCCAAAUUCGGUAUGGGUUCUCUAAAGGAUUUCGAAUUACCUCAACCUUAAGUAGGGUUGAAUGGACCACCAAUAUGAGAAGAACCGUGAGCUGGUCAAGCUUGAGAUCGUCAGUUCAUGGUCAUGUUAUGGAUCGCGAACAUCUUUGUGUUGAGAUCUUUGCACCAACUCCUCUCAGCUCAUAAAAUAAAAACAAGGAGUAUUAGAUUACAUGAACACCAUAAUUUGAACAAGAUAUCAUCAAACAACUAAGGUAUGAUAAACUUAUCUUUCACGGGAUUUGAAUUUGGCUAGAAAAUCUUGUUGCUUCGGAUUAGGGUUCCAAAAGAUCAAGACGGCGCCGCGUAUUGUUUCUGAGAGUGUGGGCGCGUCUGAGAUCAGAUCGACGAACGGUUUGCGCUGAUGGAUUUGUCUCGUCAAGGGCUUCAAUUUGAUAUGUGGCUCGUCGUCUGGUUCCUCAGAGUUUGAGAGAUAGAUCGAUUUUAAGUUGCGCCUGAUUUAGGGUUUAUGUGUGACGGAUUUUAGGUUAGGUUUUGUCUCAGGGUUUUGGAGUCUAUCGUGCUGAUAACGUGUUGUAAACCUGAUUAAUGGCAAUCCACUCCAUGAUUUAUAACACUCCGUAUCUUUUUAUGUUUAAACUCUUUUUAUUCGCAAGUCUAUUCUAUUAUUUCAUAUUAAAAAUUUAAUAUAGUAUAAUUUAGUUCACAAGUAUAUUCUAUUACUCAUAUUUCUAAAAUAUUAUCUCAGAAGUCAAUUUUUUAUGUGUCGCGCUUACGUUAACUCUCACGAUAGUUGAUUACACUGAUACCCUUAAUGAAUUAAAUAUAUUACAUUUAAAUACUAUUAUUGAAUUUUUAUUGAGUUUUCUUUUUAAAAAUUUCCAAAUAACAUAUAUAAUAAAAAGGAAACAUUUAUAAAGUUUUUUUAAAAAAACGAAAAGAUAUGUAUAUAUAAUAUGAUUUCAUUAAAAAGGAAAUUUCACAAAAUAGAAAUAUUUCGUUUAAAAAAUAUUUUUAAAUAACAUAAAAUAUACUUUUGAAGUAAUAAAAUAUUUCUUUAUAUCUAUAUUUUCUUAGUAAUAGAAACAACAUUCACACACAUAAUCUUGAUAUUAGAAAAAUAAAUAUUAUUUCUUUUAAAACAUAAUUUUAAACAAUACAAAAAAUCUAUAUUUUCAAAGUAAUAGAAAUAAUUUUUAUAUAUCUAUCUAUUCUCUUAAAUGAUUACAUAAACUGGUAUAUGUUUAAUUGACUAAAAAUAGUAUUAUUGAAAUGUUUUAUUUAUUUUUCAUAUAUUUAAGUGACUAUAAUAUCUUUCAAUUACAGUAAAAAAAUCCAUAAAUUAUAUUUUACUUAUAUAAUAUGAUUUUUAAAAUACAAUCAACCAAUUUUUUUAAACUGCUUAUUUCUAAGAUAUAUUAAAAAAUAAAAAGAAUUAACAAUAAAUAUCUUUUGAUCAAAUAAUUAUAAAAUAUUUUAAAAUAGCAUAACACUAUAUACUUUAACGAGGUUGAUAUAUUAUAUUUAAUCAUUAUUAAAUUAUUUGUUUUCAUAAUAUUACAUUUGCUUUUAAAUUUUAUGUUUUUUAUGUUUGUGGAACUUAAUAUGACCAUAAUUAAAAUACCAAAGCAAAUUUGAAUUCUUAGUUUUAAGAUUAUUUAAAAUAAAUUUCAGUUUACCAUUUAAUAAAUCUAAGCAUAAAAUUAUUUAGAAUUUACAAAAUAUUUUAAUUAUUGUAAAUAUUGAUAUGUGUUCAUGAGCUUCCAAAAAUGUAUCAGUUACUUAUGCAUGUAACUUCAUAUUGAUCAUCGCUUUAUUUUAUGAUAUUUUGUUUUAGAAAAAUCAACAUAUAAUUUAUUAAAUAUUAUGAAACUACAUGCACAUUUAAACGUUAAAUAAAAUUAAUUUGAUUUUACUUAAUCAUAAUAAAAAUAAUUACACUGCAGUUUGAAUUUGAAAGAAUAUAUGUAACUCAAUAUACUCACAACAUAAUGACUCGACUAAUUCAACUUAUAUCUAAAAUCAUGAUAACUUUAAUAAGAAUAUAUAAUUUAACAAUAAUAAUUUAUUUUAUAAAUGUAAAUUAUAGGAUGACUCAAAAAAUAUUAACAAAUGAAAAUAAAAUAUUAACCAACUGUUAUAAUUUAGUUUUUUUGUAAAAUUUAUAUAUAUGCAUGACAUUGUAGAAUAUUAUCGUUAUAUUAAUUUACGUAAUUUGGAAUCAGACACUUUAUUUUAUUUUAUAUUUCAUUCUAAGCACAAUAUAUCUUAAGUUUUACAUAAUCUUACUCAAAUAUAUUUACAUACCUAUGACAACAACCAACAUAAAAACAAAUAAGAAAAUUAAUCAAUAAGAAAAUUAAUCAUAUUUUUAAUAUAUUUAAAAAUAAAAAUAUUAUACUUGAAAUCAGAGAAAUAGAUGGAAUAUAAUAUACCCAAAUGAUAAUUUAAUCGACUAUAGAAACAACAAAACCGACUAGAUAUAACAUAUCUAAGUUCAUAUGUAUAAUUAAAGUAAUAUAAUAUUAUUAAUAUAAAUUAUGCAUACAAAUUAUAAAUUAAUUUAAAAUUAAAAAUAAAUAAUAAUAAAUUAUUAUAAUAUAAAUAUUUAUACAAUUUAAAAUUAUAAAUAAAUAAUAGUCAAUUAUUAUAAUAUAUUUAUUUUAUAAAUAUUUAUACCCAUGCAUGAGCAUGGAAAAAUCACCUAGUCAGAUUAUAAUUUUGUUUAAAAUAUUAUAAGAAUACAUUAUAUUUUAUAUUUGGAUUUAGGAUUUAUUGAUUAGGGUUUAGGGUUUAGUAUUUGGGGGGAGAGAGAGGAAAGGAGGGGUGGGGUGACAUUAAAGGUAGGUUUAUAAUUAUACUAUUUUUGUUUCGGAAAGAAAAUUGAUUCGAGAAGAUAAACAUUAUUGUUUAUUGUGUUUUAUUCUAUAAUAUACAUAUAGAAUAGAAAUAUAACACAAUAUGCAUUAUGUUUGUUUUGUUUGAUGGUUUAUUCUUAAUGUAGCGCAAUCUUUUAUAUAUAUAAAAAAAUGUUUGUCUCUUUCCUGUUGCGCCUCGUCAGCGCCAGGUCACAAAGGCGGAAGCUACCGUGCUGAAACGUGUCCCCUUAAGACGGUACACUGCGUUUCAUUAAUAGGACUGCGCACUUCGGUUGGGCUAUUCUUCUUUGAGGGCUUCGUGUAUUUCUUUUUUGUUGGGCUUUGUUUUUAAUUCAGACUCCUGUGCAAUUUGGUUGGACUUUUGACGUAUUGGGCCUUUAGUUAUUUUCGCAAUGAGAGCCGCUUUCUGAUUAGGGUUGUUAACCCCGUGUUCUUAUUCUUCGCCUCUACAGAAUUCAUAUCGAUUAGCUUUUCCCAAUCGCUGUUUCACCUUCUUCCUCAGAGUACGAAACGAUACCAGUAACGAAUAAUCAUCUUAAAAUGCUCCAUUAAUCUCUCAUACAAGAUCUAUAUUCAAUGUGAUUCCUGGAUUUCAAGGCGGUGGGGGCUCAUCUAUAAAAGGGUAUGAUUUCCUCCUUAGAUACUCAUCCUCUCAUUCUUCAAAGCUAACCAGUGAAGUAGGUCUGUGAAAUAUGGCUACGUUUCGGUCUUCCUCUCUGCAUUUGCAAGCUUGCCGCUCCUCCUCCACUGUUUAGGUUCAUUUGCUCUGUUUCUGGGAGGCUCGGAAUGUCCGUUGUGCUGGAGAGCUAAUGGGAGUUGAUAGGCUCCUUCUCGAUUCUCAGGUAUCUUAUUUACAUCCGCCUUUUGUUCAUGAACAUAGUCUUUCACCUGUGAGUUCUUUAGGAAUUUCCACCGUUCUGAAACUAUAUUCAAAGUCAGAUUUUUUUUAAUAAGUUUUGUUCAUAAUCAGCUUAAUUUUUCUGGUAUAAUUCUUUAUACGUUUCCUCCGUCUUGAAUCGGCAUUACAAAUUAUUUUAAGUUUUAAAGUCGUUGUUAAACAUAUUUCACUGAGACAUUUUACGACGUUUGAUGGAUUGUUGUUUUUCUUCCACGUAUGUUUCCAGUCAUGAUGCUGCGUAAUCUCAACCAGGCUUAUGGGUUAUGCAAUGGGACAAGAAUGAUAGUAAACCGACGUCAAUAUCCACUGCGGCUCUGCUAUGCGAUGACCAUCAAUAAAAAUCAAGGACAAAGUCUCAAACAAGUUGCUUUGUAUCUCCCUUGGAAGGUCUUCACUCACGGCCAGUUGUACGUUGCGUUAUCUCGAGUGACAACACCGGAGGAUUAAAGAUAUUAGACGACACCACUUAUUCAAACGGUGCAUAUGGAGAAACAAAUAUAGUCUACAAGGAGAUCUUCCAAAGCCACAGAGAUGCAAAGGUCAGCAUUGAACUGGUUUCGUUAGUAUGCUAUCUCUGAUCCGUUAUGUUUUUAAGUACUAACUUUAUCGCUUUCAUCGCAGGGAAAGCAGCCUAUGUGCUCUUGAACAAUUUUAUGCUUCGACGAAGAUAUGUUUUCAAAAUUACUAAUCAUAAUAUUUUCAGAACCUCGACUCUCUCUUCUCUUCAAAUUUUCCAUUUUCUACUUUUAUGAAAACCAUCAUAUUAACGCUAAAACAUUAGUCAAAUUUCUGGUUUCAUAUACAGAGUCCCGACAAAUAUUUACUAUGUUUCAUAGGUUUAAGAUAUCCAUAGAAUAUAUUAUACUACCAUGUGCAUAUAGCAAAGAAAAUUUAAAAAUAUCAAAUAAAUCAAGACAACUAAUGCGAAUCACAGCCUGAUAAAAUAAAAACCAACCAGUAAAAAAGUAGUCUAAAAUAAUUACAAACACAUAAAUAUAAUAGUAAUAGUUUUGAAAAAAUAAAAUAAAGAAAUUAUCAAUUCAUAUUAUUAAAUAACAAAAUAUUCGUUCACAUAGUUCCAUGGGAAACGCAAUUGGCUUAAACUGAAUUAAUAAAAAAAAACUCUAGGAAUUUUUUACCGAAAAUUCAAUUAUUCAUGUCGAUCAUAUAAAAAGAAAUUGUAUAAAAUAUAUUAUUAACAUAAUAAAAUAUACCACUAUAUUAUAUUAAAUCAGUGUUUUUGGCCUAUUUGGUUUGAUCGGUUUCAUAUACCAAAACGUAUACAUUUACCGUGAUCUCUUCAAUAGAACAUUUAACUUCAGAACCAAACAAUAAUAUUUGUUUUAAAAAUGUCUUGAUUAUUUUGGAUGUUGAUAUGGUUUAUUUGAUAAUUUUAAAAAUAUGUAAAUCUUUAAACAGUAAUCUGUUAUGUUUUAAGUUGAUAAAAACGAUAGGUUAAGUUUACUUUUGCAUAAUUUAAAACAGUAGAUUUAAAAGAGAUUGUAAAAUAUAAAAUAUAUAUUAACAUUAUAAAAUCGAAAAAAACUUAUUUGUUGAAUCUCAACCGCAAUUCUGAAUAUUUUCAGUAUUAAAAAUGCAAGAUAUUGACAUAAUAAAAAUGAUUUUUUUGUUAGUUAGAUAAACAUAUGAUUUUUAAUAAAAAUAACAAAACUAAAUAAUAAAAAUAUUUUAAAAUUACUUUCAAGCUGAGAAUAAAUUAAAUAUUAGUUUCUUUUAACUUCCCGGGCCUACCCUAGUAUUUAUAAUAAUAAAGUCAACUCAUGAUCUUUCCUCAUGCCUCCACGUCCUCAAGAAAAGGAGUGGUUUUCUUGGCACAUGUCGACACGCUGUGGUAUGUGGGUUUCUCACGCGUUUAUUUUUUUUUUAAACUCUUACGCUCAUGCGCGUCGCGUUUGUUACGGUUUAGUGAUGUUUGCUCAAUUUUGGGCUUCGCUUCUAUUUUUAUGAAUUGAGCCAGCUUCUUAUUUGAGGCCCAUAUGUAUUAGGUUCUUCUUCCUUCUUCUUCUUCUUGCGUCUGUUUCUUCGUUGUCGCCGACGAAACCACGCCCCGACUAAGACGACGCCCUUUGAUAACCGUAACGUCUCGCAAAUUCUUUAAUCUGUCAUUUAAUUUGGGUUUUCCCUUCAUUAGUCCACAACUCCCACAUUAAGAUUUCUAUCUACCUCUUCGUUUCCACGGUAACUCCCUGAAUCUACAUCUAUAAAUAUUGGACCUUCCUAGGAUGCAAAGUCCAACUCACACAAACUCGAAAAGCAAACAAAUAGACCCACAUAAUCUUUUUCUUGAAAACUCUGCAGCCUUGAUCGAAACUUCUCACUGUCAAAGCUCUGUUUUUUUUUCAUCUUAUCGGCCACCAAAACUGGAGACUACGGAACGAGGAUCAAUCGAAACAACGUCUUAAAUGCUGUCAUUAACAAUAUCUCCACCAUUACUUCCUUUUUGUUAAUCUGGGAGAAUCCUCAACUAUGAAAUGUAUAUUCUAUCCAGUCAAAUUUAUAUGUUAAAUCUUUUCAAUUAUAAGUACUUUUUUUCCAUUUUUAGUGUUAUUGUUCUUCAUGAGAAGAGAGAUCGAUUUUAUUUUUUGUUCUUAGCUUCUUCUGUUUCUGAAUUUUUAAUUUUAAAAUUAAACUAAUUUGACGACGGCUACACAGAAGAUUGAUAAUGAGAGUUUGAUCUUUAUCCAAAGUCUCAAUUUUUUUUUAAACUUUGUCGUCGUCUUCUUCUUGAACCAGAACUUUGUCUUCUUUUUUUUUUCCUUUUUUACUUACUUUUCUUAUACCAUCUCCAACCCAUACCUAUUUUUUUCUUCUAUAAUUCCCACAAAAAGAUAGUAACUCUAUUAUAAGGUAAGUUUUGCUCCAAUGGUUUACUCUAUAUAUAGAGUGAAAAAAUGAAAUCCCUCUAUUUUCUCCUCUAUAAAAGAUUUACCCUAUUAUAGAGUAAACCAUUGGAACAAAAUUUACUCUAUAAUAAUAGAGUUACUCUAUUUUUGUUUGAAUUAUAGAGGAAAUAAUAGGUAUGGGUUGGAGAUACUCUUAUGUUUAUGUUUUAAAAGUUCUUGGCUGAUCUGUUCGAUUGGGUUUGUUCUUUUCAGUUUGUAAACUGAAUAUUUCUUUAGUUCCUGUUGUUCUAUGAUACUGAAUGUUUCUAUCAACCAGCAGGAGCCAAAAGAGAACUGACCUCCGUGAAGAAGCUUCGGCACAAUUGUCUACGGGAGAUGACAAUAGUGAGUCUCUUAACGUUUUUAAUAAGUUCUCUUAAAUGACAAUUUUUACUAAAGAUACAUGAAGCUAAGCGUUCGAAUAACAAGCCAAAUACCCAAAACCGAAUCAAUAGGACAUUCUGUAUCUCUCUGUUUUUAACCUUUAAGCAUAUACAAAACUUAACCAAAAAAGGUGGAACUUAUUUUGCAACCCACUAUGAUCUGUGCAGCUCAUUCAAGGCACCUUUUCUAUCUACAGAUACACUACAUCAAAGUCUUCGAUUGACCUCUUCAAUUCAUCGUCACCGUCUUCUACGCCCCCUUAAUAUUUAUAUAGUUAGCUUUUGGAAACAAAUGAUAUUGAUGUACAAAAUGAUAUUGGAAAAGAUUAAGGAGAACUUAUAGUUUGCUUUAGUAAAUUCAUUGGUAUACAUUAAUUGGUGGUGCAAAAUGGUUCAUAUUAUGGUCUUAUAGCAAAUGAGUAUUAGAGUAAGUGAUAAAGUUUUAAGCAAAUGUUCCCAGUAUUAAGUUUUUUUUUUUUUUGCAGGGGAAUCGCUGUAAUACAUUUCACGUGGUGAGUUUCUUCCUUGAACCAAAGCUGCUCCACUGAAAUCUCGCCUCAAGAAGCUAGGAACACCAUUUCCUCCCAUCUAUGUUUCAGAUUGGAAUAGAAGAAGAGUAAGAUGAAGAAAGAACUAUCAGGAAAAAGGUCAAAACUUUGUAAGAGAUCAUCGAGAGAAGGUACAAAAUUAAGAAGUUGAAGGAAGAGCUAUAGAUGAUGAUGAUGAUGAUGAUUCAACUAUUAAGAAGCUUGAUCUAAACUGAGAUGUUGAUUCUUGUUAAGACAGACCAGCUUGAAAUGCAACAGUAUGGGGAAUCACAAAUUUAUAAUAAGCAUGUAAUUUAGGAAAAAAAAUUAAAAUGUAUUUUAUGUAGGGUUAAUUUUAAAGCAAAUACAAAUUAUUUAUUUGCGUUAUUUGGUUUGAAGUGCUAAUUUUGAAAAUUUUAAAUGUAAUGUUUACAUACAUUUUAAUGAAUUUAAGGAAUUUUAAUGCUAAAAUCUUUGAACUAAGUUUGGUUUAUGUAAAAUAUUUAAACUAAAAAUUUACAAGUAACAUCGAUUUGUUUUACGGAUAACGUAGACGUUUAAUCUAAUCAGUUAAAUAAACUCAGCUAAAAGUUUUCAAGUUAAUUAUAGUACAUGAGAAUUUUACCCAAAUCAAACUUAAUUGAAAAGUUUAAACAUUAAAAAUGAUUUGAGUUUAAAUACUCAACAAUACUAAUAUAUUAACUUGUGAUUAAUUAUUUAAUUAAAUUUUAUUACUUAGAAAUAAGUUUGAACCGUUUGUAUGUAUGAAAGACACUGCAAACAAGUUUUCUAGUUUUUGUUACAAAGAAAAAUAACCGUUAGAACUGAGAAAACAUGAAGAUAAAUUUAAGAAUAAAAAUAACCUUUACUUUAAUCAUGCACACUAUUUUUUUUGUAGGUAUAAGAACAGCGAGAAACUUUAUACCGAAACCACCUAUCUCUAUUUCUUCGUAACUCUUCCGUCUUUCUAAAACGAACGAUACGAACUCAGCCAUGACAUCACGGCGCGCUACACGAUCGAUGGCGUCACUUCAUGGGAACUCAUUGCCGGUUCCUGACGAGCUCGCUAUGGAGAUAUUCUCGAGGCUGCCGUCGAAGGCGAUGGCGAUGUGUCGUUGCGCAUGCAAGCUCUGGUCCUCCAUGCUUCGCCGUCAAGAUUUCACAGAGCUUUUCUUGACCAAAUCUUGCGCUCGCCCUCAGCUCCUUUUCGCCUGCAAUGAUCACAGCGUCAGUAAGUAUGUCUUCAUCUUGUCGCCUCAGCCUGAAAAUCCGGAAGAGAACUCGCAUGUUGUAGCCUCCAAUCACCUUGCGUGUUUCCCAAGUUCCUAUGAGUUAUUUGGUUGUACGAAUGGCUUCUUGUGUUAUGGAGCUAAGCGGAUCUUGGAGGGGAGGAUAAAUCCAGCGUAUGUCCCGGUGAUAUGUAACCCUAGCACGGGACAGUCUUUGAUCUUACCAACAUUGAAGUCGAGGAUGAGGGUUGGAAGCGAGAGCUAUCUUGGAUAUGAGCCCAUUGCGAAAGAGUUCAAGGUGUUGUCAAUGGAAAGCUCGUAUGUAAGUGGUCACUCUGUGAGGCACCAAGUUCUGACAUUAGGAACCAAGAAACUGUCAUGGAGGUUGGUCGAGUGUUGCAUCCCACAUCGUUCUUCAAGUAAGUGGAUAUGCAUCAGUGGCGUUCUUUACUACGCAGCUAGUGCAGCUGGAUCUUUCGAGAAUUCUAUGGUCGUUUGUUUUGACUUGAGGUCUGAGAAGUUCUGCUCUGUCAUGUUCAGUAAAGCAAUGCCUCGUUCAACAACUCUAGUAAACUACGAUGGGAAACUAGGUUUGCUUAUGUCUGGAGAUUCUCAUGCUGUUACUCGAGCAACUACAAGUUUUGAGCUGUGGGUUCUGCUUGACGCUGGAAAACACGAGUGGAGCAAUCAUGUCUACGUAUUACCACCUUCGUGGGAGGAUGUAGUUUCCAGAAACAUGCGCAUUGCUGGAAUGGUUGGUGUAAAUGAAAUCGUCUUGGCCCCCUGGUUCCAAAGAGUGCCUUCUUAUGUCAUCUACUUCAACGUGGAGAGAAAGACGAUCACAAAAGUUGGAAUCCAAGGACCAGAAGCGUUUAUGGGUAAGAUGUUCUACACCUAUCUCAACCAUGUUGAGAAUGUGAAGCUUCUUUAAGUAAGAGAUGAGUAGUUCGAAAAUCCACCUCUUGUGGAAGUUUCAACAAGUGGUUGAUAGAUAAUCUUCUUGUUACAAACUCUUUAAAAAUGUAUAUACUAAUCCAAAAUAGAGAAGUUUAGAAUGUGAUCUUUCAGUGCUGUGAUAGAGAGAGUAAGAGUAAAUGAGCAGAAUGUUACUAGUUUGCCCGGACCCUUGUAGAAGAUAUGAUAAAUCACAAGUUGUACAUUUGACUUUUUGUGCCGUUUUGGAUUGUAUCAAGCAGAAUCUGAGUUACAUUCUUCGAGUGUUUAUCACAAGCCAAAAAUUUGCAAGAGAAAAGGUACAAAAUUAAGAAGUUGAAGGAAGACCUAUAGAUAAUGAUGAUGAUUCAACUAUUAAGAAGCUUGAUCCAAACUUAUAUGUUUAUUCUUGUUAUAUAACUCUUCCAAGUAAACGUUCAAAUCACUAUGAUGGAGUUAUGGAAAGCAUAAUGAAUUUACUUGUAACCAUUUUGCUGAAAGCAACGUAAAAGGAACAGAAUAUGAUUAUGGUUGCACGUUUAAGAAGCUUAAGAAGAUUAGAAGACUUUUGAAAAACAAGGGCCGUUAGAUGUAUGCCCAUGAUAAUGGUCCCCACGGCUGCUUUUGACAGUAGCUCAAACCAAAAGAAGAAACUUGAGUCGCACGUUUUUCUUCUAUUCGAGAAGAAGAAGAAGAUGAUGACUUUCUGGCUGGUGAGGUCUCCAAGUUUUAUCUUUAUCUCUUUAGGAAUCCUGUCUUAUAACAGCCUUUUUUGUUCCGUGCCUUGACUUUUCCUCUUAAACAAUUCGUUUCUUUGUAGGAAAUUUUCCGUUUGUAGCUUAUAUUCCUCAGAGAACCUGAAGGUUGCUGAAAUAGAGAGAAACAUUAUCACACUGUUGAACUGAUUCUUGUCGUGGGUAAAGCUUUGUCUUUUUGUUCUUACUCUUUUACCUACCGGCUCUGUUUGGCUUCCUUGUUAUCUUUGAUGAAAGAGUUUUUCUUGUUCUACACGUCAAAACUGUAAACCUUACCUUGAUUCAUUUUUCUCUCUGGUUCUUGACUAGGUAAGAUGAUCAGUCACUGUUAUUCUCAUCCUCAAUGCUGAAGAGACACUAGAUUUAAAAAAAAAAGAAAGAAAAGAGAGAUGGUCCUAUAGUUCAGACACAAACAAUCUGAACUGUUAGUUUGAUUGCCUUGUCUCCAUGGGACUACGCAUUGACAAAUCCGUUGCUAUAACGGUACUGAUUGUAGCCACUCUGAUGGUUCAAGUGAGAUGCCAAAGGCCUAAAGUGAUAAACCUCGGUGCUGUUUUCACUUUUGAUUCCGUUAUCGGAAGAGCUGCAAAAGUAGCUCUCGAGGCAGCUGUCUCUGAUGUGAACGCUGACACAAGCCUUCUCCAAGAAACAGAGCUACGUCUUUUUGUGGAGGACUCUUCUUGCAAUGUCUUUCAUGGAUCCUUCGCAGGUACCAUGAUUGUUCUUCUUCUUCAGAACACUUGUGCUCAUCAGUUAUGUUAUGGCACAUCAGUGCCGUUAUGGGUUCAAACAGGGCCAGCUCAACAAGAUGAGGGCCCUGGGACAAUUUUUUUUAGAUCCAAUAGUUAAUAAAUUUUAAUAAUAUUGCUAAAUUAUUACUAAAAAAAUAUAUAAUUUUUAACAGAUAAUUAAAGUUAUUAGUUUUGUUUAUUAGUGUUUUAAAUUUUUUAAAUCUUAGAUAAUAUUUUGCCUAAAUUCAACACCGUAAAUACUCAUUUUGUUUCAUAAUAUUUAAUGUUAUGACUAAAACACAUAAAUUAAGAAAUUUACUUUUUCUUUAAAGUUAUCAUUAAAAAUAUAAACUAUAACCAAUCAUAAAAAGAACACUAAAAUACCAUUGGAACAAUUUUCAAUAAAAUUAAAAUGAGCAUUAAAAUGUCAAAACAUCAAAAAAAUUUGAAACAUUAAAAACCUUCUAAAACAUUAUGUAUUAUGAAACGUACGAAGUAUAAGAAUCAAGCCCGACUCUGGCCUUGUGCUGAAGGUGCAUUUGCACAAGAUCCAUUUCAUAUUUUGUUUAGGAUACUCAUUAAAAAUAAAAAAUUUGUAUGAACAAAUGGGCCUAAAUUUUUUUGUUUCAGUGAUAAGAAUGCAGGUGGGCCGUGGGUGGAUGCAUUGUUUGUCUUCCCCCUGAGCCAAACCUAGUUCGAAAUGGGAAUACUACACACAACAUAAUAAACCUCUUUGCCGGCGUCGGGUCCUUCUCCCCGUCUCUUGUUUCUUCCUGCUCUGGUCCUAUAUCUUUUCGUCGCUUUUGGUUACGGAUUCCGUCUUCUCGCCGUCUCCUACGGCUCGCGUCCUAUGUUUCUCGAAGCUCCUCACACCAGAUCUGUUCGCCUCCUUGUACGAGUAGAGUCAACGCUUGGGUCUCAGACGAAUCCUCCUCUGCUCACCACCGCCAUCGUCCUUCCUUCGUCAAUCCUCGGCGCCGCUCCUCCAUGUGGAAACACAACCACCAGAUCAACUCAUCCAGGGCUUGGGCUCGCCGGAUCUAGAGGUUUGUGUAGAUCUAAAGCGCUUUCACCAUUCCUCGCCACCUUCACCUUUAACGAGACUCCACCAUACUGCAUUGAAACUCUUUCAUUUUGGAGUCCAAAUUCGUCCACCAUCCCCAUCUCCAACCGCUGUCUCUCACCAACCCUCGUCUAUUGCCUUGCUGGUCUUGGUCCCGUCGUGUAUCCCGUCUUCGUAACAGCGUCGGCUCACCAAAGACUCAACGGAGACAACAUUUCCAGAGAAAAUCUAUUGAAAUCUCCGGCAAAGCAAAUGCUCUUCCCAUCACUGCUCCCCCAACGUCCUUACCCAGAAGUUUACAAGAGACAUCUGUCAACCGGAUUUUUGAGCCCCACCAGACGUAGAGAGGCUGAGACGUUUUCAGAGAACGGCAUCGGCGAAUCUCUCAAACACAAAACCCUAAUCUGCACUCUCUUAGGUAAUUCAUGGGCUUGGGCGUGGUUACAUCAGUUGGGCCACAUAUAUAUUUUGAGAGGUUCUGGGGCCCUAAGAUUUUACGUGAUCUUCAUCUCUAAAUUCAAACAUCUGGGGUCUUAUUUGCUUUUGGUUCUCUUAGAGAUUCACAUAGUCUCUUCGGAAAGCUUUCUCGGUGGCUCCAAUUGUAGGCAUCUAAAGCCUCAAUUUCACGGCUCCAUCCGACAACUCCCUCCGACUUUGCAAGCAAUUAUGCUCGACUCAGUGUUGAAUUCAUCAAUGGAAUCGGAGAUAAAAAGAGUUUCAACCGACUUAUCAUUUCGCUUACCGAUCUGUUUGCUUCUCGGAACAUUUGAGAUUCACCUAGUCUCCCGGGACAUCGUAGACGGUAUUAGAGCUGUCCUCUUUCGUUUGACGGGUAACUUAGUCUCUAUUGGCUUCCCACCCCUCUUCCAACCCCUUUCACUAGGGUAUUUCAACGUCUUUACAGACUAUUUGAAGUUCUUCCGAACUGUGGUUUCAAGAAUUCAAGUGAAGAUUAUCCGCGGAUCUCUCUACUUCGAGCUAGCCUCUCCUUGCAACACUUCUAUCCCUUGUUUUACGGCUUUGUUGUCUUUUUUUUUUACUUUACCGUCGAGCAUACCUCCGGUUGUAAUCGCUGAAACAUUUUAGAUUUGAUUUAAUGAAUUUGUGUUACAAAAAAAAAAAUAUAAAACAUCUGUUUACUACUAAUAAAAACAAAGGAUAGAAAGCCUUUUUAGAUGCCAGAUUGUCUAGUUCAUUUGGUUUGUGGGCUCAGCUCCACCUCUUGGGUUCGAUUAAGGCAGAGAGAAGAGAAAGAGUGAUGAUACUAUGAAGUGUUUCAAAAAAAAAAAAAAGUCUUUUUAGAUAUACUUAUAAAAAAAAAAAUUUAGAUGAACAUCAGAUAUUUGAGUUUUCUCAAUUCUCAAGAUUAAUGUUGACAAAAAAAAAUCUCAAAAUUAAUCUAUGAAUGAGCUAACUUCUAGGUAAAAUAUAUUUUCAGAAAUCCAUUACAAAUAAUAAUAUGUUCAGGUCAAAAUAUAAGACCAAAUUGUACAUGCAAAAUGUAUAUAACGUUACAUGCCGUAAAAUCAAAAAUGGAUAGCCAGUUUAUACAGUCAAACCGGAUCCGAAAGUAUACACUUACGUACACACCACCGGGCGAGAAAUGUGGCCGAUUCUUAUGGUUAUAACUGAGUAUGAUGCGAUUAAUAGUGGAGUGCCUAGGGAGUAGGGAUGAUAAGUGUUGAAAUGUGGACACCAAAUAUGAAACCAAGACCAAGUCUUGGUCUAUAAAUUAUUUGGAACCUCACAUUUUUUAUAUUAUCUAAAACGAAACAUGUCUCGAGGUUUUUCUAUUUUUAAUGUAUCUCUGAGUCCUCCUGACACCUUACACUGUGCGCACGGUGUGAAAUGGAAGCAACCAGAUGAAGAAAUAGAAUUUGUUUUCUUGAGUUUAAGAAGAAGAAAACAACUAACGGAAGCUGAAGUCACCACUCCACUUAUCCGUCCCUACCCCAUCUCCUAUCGCCUUUAACAGUUUCUUCUUUCGUCUCCUAUCUCUCUUUCUUUUUUCACAUCUCUUUUUUUUUUUGCUAAAAUUCUUUUUCACAUCUCACGAAAACACAACACGAAUAUUACAAAUCACUUAUAUGGUAUUUUACAAAAAAUAUAUAUAUUCAGAUAGCUUUUCUUACUAUCAUGCACUUUUGAUAGUACUAGCUAGUCAGAAGAUGUAUUUCCUUGUUAGAUUUUUCUAUCUGUAGAUUUUGGGAUUACCUUUCUUAUCAGGAAGAUGUUUGUCUAAUUUUUUUUUUUUUUUUUGCUUUUAUUUCGUUAGUAUCAUUUUUGACAAAGAAUAAAGAUCAUACAAUAAAUAUAAUGGGUUGUCGACUAUUUUUUUCGUGUGACUAAGUACUAUCUUUUAUAAAACGUGCGUAUCAAUGUGUUAAUUCUUUGAAUUUUUUAAACUUUAUUAUUUGAUUUUCUUUUAAACAAAAAUUUCUUGGCGGGGGGUUUGGUAAUAUUAUAAAAGCCAGACGAGCCAGUCCAACUUCGUGAUAUCCAUAAUUAACGUGAGUCGUGAGAUUUGUUUUCUCUUAAAAUAACUCAUUUCCCAUUAUCCUAUCCGCCAUCCCUUCUCUAUAUAUAAAAAAAAACAUCUCUCUAAUUUCUACAACGAGACGACACCCCUUAUCUCAAUAGCCAGUUCGGUUAUGGCUCUAUCCGGGUCAUUCGUUUUAGCCUUACUCUUCUUCUUCGCUCUUUCCAUUAAUCCCCUUGAAGCUCGUGGACCCUUCGACCGGCUAGCCCGGAAGCCGCCGCAAAGGACUGCUGCUGAAGGCAUAUGCGCUUCCUCUGUCCGCAUAUUUGGUUACAAGUGCGAAGAACAUGAUGUACGAUAUACUUUUCUAUAUUUCGUUGUUAGUGAUGACUAAUAUCAGCAUAUAUAUAUAUGAACUGAGUGAUUUUAACUGUUUAAUCUCGAAGGUGGUGACUCAAGAUGGAUACAUAUUGAAUAUGCAAAGGAUACCGGAAGGACGAGCCGGCGCCGGAGAUAUGUCCAAGAGACAGCCUGUCCUAAUACAGCAUGGGAUUCUUGUCGUAAGUUUAACUCUUCUCUACCCUUUCGCAUUUCAUUAGCUAUUUAUGUGCAAUAUUUAAUCGUGAUACGUUUCAAGUUUUGCUUUAUAUUCAAAUUACAAGUGAAUUUGAAGAGAAUUUUUUUAAAAAGUACUACACCAAACAGAAGAAAUUAUCUUUUAAAGUAAGAAAGAAUAAGUGAGGAAAAUGUAUUAGGUAAAAACUCUAUACCCAAUUUUCACAAUAAUACAAAUGUAGAAACGAGUUUCCAUGUGCAUAGGUUUAUUUUAGGAGGAUAAACGUAUUAAUACGAAACUGUGUGGGGGCAAUACCAACGUGUAGCACUCGAAGUUCUAGUGGUUGCCUAGUGAGCAGGUACACGUACACUGAGUAAAUUUAUAUACAACUUCAUCGUGUAUUUGUUUGUAUAGUUAAUUUGAGUGUGAAAGGAAUGUUUCCACUCACUUCUAUGUGUCAGUUAACGAGGAGUAAAACUAAAAUAAAUAUUUACAUAUCUUAGUGGUGGGUAAAAUAUAACAUAAUAAAAUAAGAGACAUCAUGAGUGUUUAUCAUGUGUGUCCAACAAAUAAAGUGAUAAGUUGAGCGUUACUAGAAAGGUCACUAAAAUAAAGUCAAAUGAAAACAUGCUUUUCUAGUAAGGGAGAAUCGUUGUUUAAGCUAAGUUGCAUACAAUCAUACAUAAGUAACCAUGUUGACUCUAGUAGUCUUGAGGAUAGUAAAGGGUUUUUUUUUUACUUUGCACCCAUGAAGAAGUCCACGCUAAUUUCCAAAAAAAAAGUGACGCAGGUCCAGAAAAAUAUUCAAAUGGACACUAAAAUAGGAUUAGUAAAGUUCAAAGAGGAAUGGGGAUCUGGAAAAAAAUUAAAUCAUGAAAUUAUAUGUGCAGGAUGGGAUGUCGUGGCUGUUCAAUCCGGCGGAUCAAAAUCUACCGUUAAUUUUGGCUGAUCAAGGAUUCGAUGUGUGGAUGGGAAACACAAGAGGGCAGCAGGAGACACAAGUACCUUAGCCCUAAUCAACCGGUCCGGUUCAGUCAGCCACUCCUUAAUCAGUUGAAUAUGUUCCUCCUUAAUCAGUUGAUUAUGUACGGUUCAUGUUUUUGUAAAGAAACCGAGGUUAACCGUCUAUCACGUUGUACGUAGGCUUUCUGGAACUGGACGUGGGACGAGCUUGUGAGUUACGAUCUGCCUGCUAUGUUUGACCAUAUCCACGGCCUAACAGGCCAAAAGAUUCACUACCUCGGACACUCUUUGGUGGGUCCAACGUUAUCAACAUUCAAUAUAUAUUUUCUAUGUUUAUACCUUUUUAAUGUAUAUAGCUUACUUUACAAAAUAGAAAAUAUUUGAAAUGGGAAUAUACAUCAGGGAACUUUGAUAGGAUUUGCGUCGUUCUCGGAAAAGGGGUUGGUGGACAAAUUAAGAUCGGCAGCGAUGCUGAGUCCUAUUGCUUAUCUCAGCCACAUGACCACAGUUCUCGGCGACAUCGCCGCUAAAAGUUUCCUCGCUGAGGUCUCUACCGCCUCACUCUUCUAUUUUUUUUAUUUGUUAAAUUUAUGCCUAGCUAUAAUAUUACUGAAAAAUAACUCGUUUGUCGUCUUUACAAAACAGGCCACCGCCAUUAUAGGAGUGGCAGAGUUUAACCCCAAAAGGUAGAUCUUCACCAUGUCUUGCUUAUAAUAUGUUUGUUUUUAACUUUGUUUGCUAACGUGAAACAAUAAAACAAAUUUGGCAGUGGACUAGUAGGGAAUUUCAUAAAGUUUAUAUGCCAUCAAGCAGGGAUCGACUGCUAUGAUCUAAUCUCUGUUAUUACCGGCAAGAAUUGUUGCCUUGACGCAUCAACCAUUGAUCUAUUCCUGGCGAAUGAACCACAAUCUACUUCCACCAAGAACAUGAUCCACCUUUCUCAAAGUAAGUCGAACAAAAUUUUCAAAAAUGUAUUUCUUGAACCAUUACAUGCACGUGUCGUUAAAAUCAAGAUUAUAUUUAUUUUCUUGUAGCGGUAAGAGACAAGGUGUUAAGAAAAUACAACUAUGGAAGUAGCAAUUACAACAUGAAACAUUACGGUCAAGCGUUGCCGCCUGCUUACAACAUAUCGGCGAUCCCACACGACCUUCCGCUUUUCUUCAGCUACGGAGGUUUAGACUGUCUUGCCGAUGUGAGCGACGUCAGGUUUUUGAUAGACCAGUUUAAGUUUCACGAUGCAGAUAAGAUCGACGUGCAGUUUGUGAAAGAGUAUGCUCAUGCUGAUUUCAUCAUGGGUGUUACUGCCAAAGACGUUGUUUAUAACCAAGUUGCUACCUUUUUCAAACGACAAGUUUGAUUUUAGUAUAAAUCAUUAGGUUAUAUGUACUUUCAUGUGCCCCAGUAUUUUUAAAACCGGACCGGCUAGCAAACCGAAAUUUUUUGGGGUUAUGGGUCAUUGUGGUUCGACCGUAUCUGAACCGGGUUCGAUCGGAUUUACUUAGAUUAAACUAAAUUUAAUGAUAUUUUAUAAAUAAUAUGCAUUUUUUUUUAAAAAAAUUAGAUCAUAUCAAAAAAAUGUUUAAAUAGCCAUAAUGUGUAGAAAAUUUUAAAAAUAACAAUUAAAAUCUAAAAUCAAUAUGAAAAACACAUUUAAACUUUAUUACAGAUCUUAUCACUCUAAAUCUUCAUCACCUUUUAAAAAAAUUAUAUACGCAUUAGGUAAAAGUUAUAUUUUGAAAUACAAAUUUCAGAAACGUAAAUGUUUCAAUUAUUUAAAGUCUUCAAAACAAGUGAUCAUGAAAUAAAAAUUUAAACAAAAUGAGAAGUAGACAAAAAUAAUAUCUUGACUUGAAUAUUAAACUUUGUGAAUCUUGUAAUUUAUGAGUUGUAUAGACGACAAACGAAAAAGACGAGACACAGUAUGCUCAUGCUGAUUUCAUCAUGGGUGUUACUGCCAAAGACGUUGUUUAUAACCAAGUUGCUACCUUUUUCAAACGACAAGUUUGAUUUUAGUAUAAAUCAUUAGGUUAUAUGUACUUUCAUGUGCCCCAGUAUUUUUAAAACCGGACCGGCUAGCAAACCGAAAUUUUUUGGGGUUAUGGGUCAUUGUGGUUCGACCGUAUCUGAACCGGGUUCGAUCGGAUUUACUUAGAUUAAACUAAAUUUAAUGAUAUUUUAUAAAUAAUAUGCAUUUUUUUUUAAAAAAAUUAGAUCAUAUCAAAAAAAUGUUUAAAUAGCCAUAAUGUGUAGAAAAUUUUAAAAAUAACAAUUAAAAUCUAAAAUCAAUAUGAAAAACACAUUUAAACUUUAUUACAGAUCUUAUCACUCUAAAUCUUCAUCACCUUUUAAAAAAAUUAUAUACGCAUUAGGUAAAAGUUAUAUUUUGAAAUACAAAUUUCAGAAACGUAAAUGUUUCAGUUAUUUAAAGUCUUCAAAACAAGUGAUCAUGAAAUAAAAAUUUAAACAAAAUGAGAAGUAGACAAAAAUAAUAUCUUGACUUUAAUAUUAAACUUUGUGAAUCUUGUAAUUUAUGAGUUGUAUAGACGACAAACGAAAAAGACGAGACACAAUAUUUUAUUAAUCUUUGAUAAUUCUUAUUUUUACUUUAAAAAGAAGAAAAAUUAAUUGUUUCAUUAACAAAUUUUUGACUUAUAUACGAACCGGAGUUUGCUGGUUCAUUGGAUCGCCGGUUCCCGGGUUUUUGACGGUUCGGUAGAGGUUUUUAACUGGUUUGAUCUUAGUCGGGUUUUAGCAUUAACCCAAUCCAGAUUAUUUUCGGUUCAUGGUUCAACCUGGUCCGACCGUCGGUUCGGUCCGGGUUUAAAAACACUGUUGUGCCCAUAUUCUUCAAUUAUUUCCCACAAAAAAAGGGGCAAAAUAAUAAAGUUACAAUUACUAUAUUCUAUCAUUUUGUUAAAGAACCACCGCUAUCUAACUUAUUUUAAAUUAAUUAUUAAAAAAUUAAGGGUUUAUUUGCCAAAUUACAAAAAAAAAAAAAGAAUAGAUAGAUUUUUAGUAAGAAGUAAAAAAGAGAUAGAAAGAAAAAUAAAGAGAAAGAGGGUGUUUUUGGUUAGAUAGUGGGUUUGUGUUAUUUUAAUGGUUAUUAGAUUUGGAUCCGCGUGCGGGUGUUAAUUUUCAUGUUUAUAUAUAUUUUACAUAAUUAGAAUAUAUUUUUAAGUUACUUAUAUAUUUAAAUGUUUAUAAAUGAUUAUUUUAAAUAUAACAAUUUGUAAAAUAUAAAAAUUUGAUCGUUUUCAUGCUGUAAGUUAAUUGAUUAUUUCAAAUCAUCACAUAUAUUUGGUAUUUUUUAUUAUAUAUAUUUCAAAAUUAUUUUUUAUUCAAUUAUUAUGAUCCUGAUCCGUAAUUCAAAGCGCUAUAUUUCUUUUAUCAAUAUUUGUUUAUGUUUAUUCAUUUAAGAUAAUAACUAUAUAUAUAUAAAUUUAAGAUAAGUUAAUUUUAUACAUGAAUUAUCUAAUUUAUUAAUGUUAACCCAUUCUACCAACACAUUAUAUUUCUAGCAUAAAUUUUUAAUGUUUGUGAAAAUAAAAUAUAUUAAUUUAUCAGUUUAAAAUAAUUUUAUCAUAUUUACUUAAAUACAAUAUUUUAUUUUAAAAUGAUAGAUCUAACUAUCAAAUAGUAAAAUUUGAUAUAAUUUUUUUUUCAUUUUAUAAAAGAUAACUGAGUAUAUAUAUUAAUGUAUAACAACAUUAAUUUCAUUACUAAUUACAAAAUUAGUGAAAAUAUUUAUAUACAAUUUUUGAUAAUUAAGAUAUUGUUAUAAUGUUUUUCAACACAUUUGUUAAAAAAAUUAAAUAUAUAUAUUUAUAUUUUAAAUUAAAAGAUAUCAAAUUAUAUUAUGAUUUAAGUAGUUAAAAGAUUAUAUAUAAGCAUUAAGGAAUUACAUUUAAUAAAAAAUUUAAAUGAUGAUCCAAAUUAAAAUAUCACACAUGAAUCAAUGUGAGUUUGUUAACCAAUCCGGGUUUUUAGGAGUCGAUUUUAUAUUAGGAAUUAUAUAUUAUUAAUCCAUAUUAUUAGUAAUAAAUGAAUGAUAAUUGAUUUCUAGUUAGAGUCCAUUUAAAAAAAAAAUCACACAUGAAUCAAAGUUGUGACUUCUGUUUUAGUAUAAAUAUAUAAGAUUGAGGCAAAUUUCCCCAAAACAAAACAAACUAAUGCUAAAAGAAAAAAAAGAUAUAACCUAAUAAAUACGAAUUAUUUUACUUCAAAUCAAUUUUUUAGAAAACCAUUAGAAAUCAAAUAAAAUAAUUUAAUUUUCAGAUAUGUAUGAGCAUAAAUUUUAUUUAUAUUUGCCCUUAAAUAAACUACAAAAUUCGAAAAGCAUUUUACUUCAAAUCAUUUUUAAGAAACCAUUAGGAAAUAAAAAGAAAACAAAAUUCAGAUAUGUAUGCGCAUAGCUUUUAUUUAUAAUUUCACAUAAAUAAACUACAAAAUUCGAAGACAAAUUAUCCAAAACAAAAUCGUAAAACAAUAAAAACACUAAAAUACAAAUUCGAAAAACAAAAACAAUUAUAUAUAUGUGUGAAUUCAUGUUGGGCCAGUGGCCCAAUGAUGUAGUAUUAAACUUUCAACAGUCGAAGUGGGCUGUGAAGUUACGGGUCGGGUCUCAACACGGUCAAGUCAUAAAUUGAAUAGCUCCGGUGAGCAAUUUGUUUACUCUAUCGACUGAGACGCAGCGGAACAACGGCGACGAAGGAGAAUCAGGAGAAGAAGAAACGAAGCUGCGAAUCUUCGCAUUAGUAAGGUACGCUACUCUUUCUCGAUAGAUUUUUCAAAUAGUCUCCGGAGAUUAUCCAUACUCGUUAAAUUGUGCAUCAACCUUAGAAAACAAAAAAAAUUAGGGUUUUUAGGCUCCGAUUUCUCUAGGUAUCCGAUCUAUCGUUCCCUGAUGUUUGUUAGAUUAAUCAAACCGAAGAUGUUGUGGAAUCAUUAGAAAAGGUGUUCUCUUUAUGUGGUUUUAAACCAGAUUUGUAUUUGAAUUGAAGUGUAAAGAGUGUACUUUGUUCUGAAUUUUACAGGCAUCGAUGUCUGCUAACAACAACAAUCCACAGAAGCCUCAACAAGGCUCUGCGCCUCCACCAUUCGGCGUUAACCCUGGGAUGGCCUCUGCAUCUGUCCCCGGAAACCAAGGCUUUACUCAGUCUCACAUGGCACCUAACUUUCCAGCUCAGUUUCAAUUCUCACAAGCCCAGGCCAUGGCCCAUGCUCAAGCCCAAGCUCAGUCUAAAGCCCAAGCUCAGUUCCAAGCUCAGAUGCAAGCAGGGAUGACGAUGAACCAAGGGCAAGGCUCCCAGGGGAUUGGUGGUGUGUUGGGUUCGUCUUCUCCUUCCAUGACUCCUGGAAGCUUGAACAUGAAGAGGUUCCAGCAGAGGCCGCCGAUGCGGCCUCCUUCUGGUUUCCCCGCGAGUAACAACACUGUCUCCCCCAUGAGAACGAUGGAGUUAACUCCCGCGGCGAGGAAGAAGAAAAUGAAGCUUCCUGAGAAGUCUUUGCAGGAGAGGGUGGCGGCAAUCUUGCCUGAGUCUGCGUUAUACACGCAGCUUCUUGAGUUUGAGUCAAGGGUUGAUGCUGCUUUGAGUAGGAAGAAAGUUGACAUCCAGGAGGCUCUUAAGAACCCUCCUUGCACUCAGAAGACGCUUAGGAUCUAUGUGUUCAACUCGUUUGCGAACCAAAACAACACCAUCCCUGGGAAUCCAAACGCUGACCCGCCGACAUGGACUCUUAAGAUUGUUGGUAGGAUCCUGGAAGAUGGGGUGGAUCCGGACCAGCCAGGUUUUGUUCAGCAAGCGAACCCAUCGCAUCCAAAAUUCUCUUCUUUCUUCAAGAAGGUAAUAGUUAACCUGGACCAGAGGCUGUAUCCUGAGAACUCGGCGAUCACAUGGGAGAGUGCUAGAUCUCCUGCUCCCCAGGAAGGGUUUGAGAUAAAGAGGAAAGGGAAUCAGGAGUUUGCAGCUACUAUUCGGUUGGAGAUGAACUACGUCCCUGAAAAGUUCAAGCUUUCUACUGCGUUGAUGGAUGUUCUCGGGAUUGAGGUUGAGACAAGACCAAGAAUUAUCUCUGCGAUAUGGCAUUACGUUAAGGCGAGGAAGUUACAGAACCCAAAUGAUCCUUCUUUCUUCAACUGCGACGCUGCGCUUCACAAAGUCUUUGGGGAAGAGAAGGUGAAGUUCACAAUGGUUUCUCAGAAGAUAUCUCAUCACUUGUCACCUCCACCGCCGAUUCAUUUAGAACACAAGAUCAAGCUGUCGGGAAACAACCCGGCUAUAUCGGCAUGUUACGAUGUCCUGGUGGAUGUGCCGUUUCCGAUUCAGAGGGAUCUGAACAACCUAUUGGCCAACGCGGAGAAGAAUAAAGAGAUUGAGGCUUGUGAUGAAGCUAUAUGUGCUGCCAUAAGGAAAAUCCAUGAGCAUAGGAGGAGACGUGCGUUUUUCUUGGGAUUCAGCCAGUCGCCAGUUGAGUUCAUAAACGCACUGAUCGAAUCUCAGAGCAAGGAUCUGAAGGUGGUAGCGGGAGAAGCUAGUCGAAAUGCUGAGAAAGAACGUCGAGCAGACUUCUUCAAUCAACCUUGGUAAGCUCAUUAUCUAUGUUCUCUCUGUUUUUGUCUGAUAACUUCACUCGCUACUAGAGUUGUGAAAGUGUAGGAACUUCACUGAUUGAUUGAUGAUAUGUUUAUGAAUCAUGAAAUGUUGCAGGGUUGAAGAUGCAGUUAUACGUUACUUGAACCGGAAGCCAGCAGCUGGGAACGAAGGACCAGGGACCUGGUGAGUAUCUUGCAGGUACCUUACCAUCAAGUCUAAAGAAAAAAAAUGUUGUAGGAGCAAUCUGGUUUAUUUGUAAUUUCAUGUAUGAUGAAACCUUAGUACUUCAUAAUUUAGCUUUGAUUUGUAGCUACUUUGGUUGAUUCUUAAUUAUACUUUUGAUAAUAAGCCGAACGAAUAUAUAUAAUCUUAUCAUACCGUUGUGUUUGCAUGAUAAAACAAACAUAACUCAAGUAACUAAAAGUGUGUUUGUGCUUAAGCGCUGGUCAAUAAGGAAACUAAAUAUGGCUGGUCUGAACAAUAUAAAUUAGCCUAGCCAUGCUUAUAAAUAGUUUUCUUAUUUGUGGUUGAAACUUGAAAUGAUCAAACAUAGAAACGUCUUCACUUGCAGCACGCUAACGUUAGUUGAUCAUUUUUGUGUGUGGAAAAUAACACUUGAACGAUCUGCAAUUUGAAUAUUCAUUUGUUCAAGAGUCUCUAGUAUCAUAAAAAAAGGAGAACUAGUGCUGUCAGUUCUGAUAUGAUAAAAGUUAAAUCAUCAUACACCAAAAAGAAAGCAGUGCUGAAAAUAAUCAAAACUGGUUAUAUACUUAUAUUAAAUGUUUAUUUGAAAAAUAUCUGCUUCAAUCUAAGAACCGUUGAGUUAAAGUUGAACGAACUAAAUUAGAACAGGGUGUAUACGCUGAAUUCAAGGAUCAGUCAAAAGUCAUUAUCAUAUUAGAAUGGAACAAGAUCACUUUUUUCAAACUCAUCUUUUGGAUUAGUCUAUCCUUUUGUGUUUAACGACAAUAAUAUUAGUUACAAUCAUUAACAUUUAAUCAAAAUAAAAUUAUUCCAUGCAGAUGACUGACCUAAUGAGGUUUGUUUAAAUGUCACUCUCAAUAAAACCCCAUAACUCGAGAAAUGUCCUCGCUUAAGUAAAAGCUUAGAAGAUGGCAGUUGUAAAAUGCUGUCAUUCAUCUGUGAAUGUGACCUUUGUCAUUAACACACACACAAAAACACUUUAUUCUACAAAAGCGGCUAUACAUAUAUCUGGUGGCAUAUCAGAGUGUUGUGGUCCUUUAUAUCCAAGAGGGACCGUAUAGAGAGGAUGUAUACUGGUAGUGAUUCAAGAAAACCCAUGAUGUUGUCGUUCUUAGUGGGGAUGUUGUUCUUUUGCAUGGUGACCGAGUCAAAUGCUCAAUUGUCAGAGAACUUCUACGCCUCGACAUGUCCUAACGUGGAACUCAUCGUUAGACAGGCGGUUACAACGAAGUACCAACAAACACCCAUCACGGCUCCAGGAACAUUACGGAUGUUCUUUCACGACUGUUUCGUUGAUGUAUGUACGCUUUGUUGUGAUCUUGAAGCUUUUUUAGUAUUGUUAUUCUUGUUUUCAUGUGGUUGGUGACUGUAUAGGGAUGUGAUGCUUCUGUGUUAAUAGCAUCUGACAACGGAGACGCGGAGAAGGAUGCUCAUGACAAUAUAUCUCUCGCCGGAGACGGAUUCGACACCGUGGCUAAGGCUAAACUCGCUGUGGAAGCUCAAUGCCCUGGCCUUGUCUCAUGUGCUGAUAUUCUGGCUCUGGCCGCCAGGGACGUGGUUGUCCUCGUAAGUCAACCCUCAUCAUUGUCUCUUCUUCUGAUUCACCGAAAGUGAAUGAUCACUAGCCAUGAAAAUAUGGUUUUCUUUUAAAUGAUGGGCAUUUUCUUUUUCUUCUAAUUUUUUUCAAAAACAAACUCUAUUAAAAUCGCACUCUUGUAAAAAACUUUUGUUGGAUAAAUUUAAAAUUCAUUCAAAAAAUGAUCACUAACCAUGAAAACAUGGUUUUAUUUAGAUGAUGAUGGGUAUGUUCACUUUCUUUUUCUUCUAACUUUCUCAAAAACAAACUAUAUUAAAAUCGGGAAUUACCUGGCCUAAAAAGAAAUUUCGUGGAAUAAAUUUAACAUUCAUUCGAAAAAAAGUACCAGUAACUAUGUUAUAUUGUUAGGCUGGAGGUCCAGGGUUUAAGGUGGAGCUAGGGAGACGAGACGGACUCGUGUCACAUGCCUCUAGCGUAGACGGGAAGUUACCAGGACCAGAGCUAGACGUAACCGGUCUAGUCAAUCUAUUCGCUAAUAACGGUCUAUCAAUAACCGACAUGAUUGCUCUCUCAGGCGCACACACUAUAGGAUUCUCUCACUGCGACCGUUUCGCUCACCGUCUCUACAACUUCUCAGCCCUCAUGCCCGUAGACCCCACGUUAGAUCCGGCCUACGCACAACAGCUGAUGCAAACCUGCCCUCGAGUCGGGUCGGAUCCCAACUCUGUCUCAAACCUUGACGCCACCACCCCUGAUGUUUUCGACAACGCCUACUUCCUGAACCUCGUAGCAAGGAAAGGACUCUUCACCUCCGACCAAGUUCUGUUUAACGACUUCAGGUCUCAGGCAGCGGUGGUCAGGUUUGCAAACAACGCUGAAGAGUUCAACAACGCUUUCACCUCAGCUAUGAGGAAACUCGGCCGCGUUGGAGUUAAAGUUGGGAACCGAGGAGAGAUUAGAAAAGAUUGUGCUGCUUUUAACUAACUUUAUAUAUUAAAAUGUCAUAAUCCACAAAGGAACAUCUAUUCUAAAAACCUUUUAUGUAAAAUCUACCAAUCAUAGAUGUGUGCCGUGGAUAUAAAUCCAAGAAACGUAACAAACAAAACCGACAAUAAAAACAACAACAACAACAAAAAAAUAGAUACAGAACAAAAACUUCUGUAUCGGCAAGACAAAACCAAUGAAUAAGAAGCCAAAAGGAACAGAUUAAGCGCGGGUCUUGGCAUAGAGAUGAGUGUAGACAGACUUGGUACGACGCACGAGAAUCAUACUCGAGAUGCAAGCGACGAUGCAGAAGCCAGACAUUAUAAGCGACGUCAAGAAGUAACAUAUUGAACCUUCGCAUUUAAGGACGUCAUCCGGAUUAAAAACAGACCCGUGUGCUUGUCUUUCAGCUUCCAUGUCGUAUAUGCUGCUCGCAAUCAUACCCGAGAAGACGAAGGACCCGACCGGGAGGGCCAGCGUCAAGAAGUUGUAUAGAGCUCCAAACUUUUUAAGACCAAAGAGCUCAGAGGCGGUGGCUGGGACAAUAGCCCAGUGAGCACCGUACCCGAGUCCAAUCAAGAGAGUGCCAAUGUACAUAGCUCCAGGCCAUCCGAAGGCAAAACAAACAUGUCCCACGGCCAUUACUAUUUGAGCCACGGCCAUUGCUACAGGCCUUGGGUACGCAUAGUCCCUUCACAUUUUCAGAAACAAAGCACAAUAAACAGAGAUGUAAAUAAAUAAAUAAACAGAUGUAAAUUAGCAGAAUCACAACAAAUAAUGAUGUCUCGAAAAUUAUAUUCCCAUGUUCAAAAUAAAUAAUAUUAACAGUAUAUUUAACUGAAACUAGGAGUUUCCUGCCCCAUAAGCAGUAAUAAUAGUUUAAAAUUUUUGUAGCUAUGUUCAAAAUAAAUAAUAUUAACAGUAUAUUUAACUAAAAUAAUUUUAAAAUUUAAUAACUCUAUUUAUAUAUAUUUGAUUAUUUAAAAAAUAAAAAAUUAAGCAUUAAAUUUAGUCGAAUAUCUAAAAAUUUAAAGUUUUAGACCAUAAUUUAUAUAUUUAUUGUUUCUAAAUUGACCCCUUUUUAUUUUAUUUUCAGACCGUUCCACUUAAACAUUGCUUAGAUUGACAACAAACCUGACAACGAGCUCAGAGAAAUAACCACCGGAGAUACGUCCAAGGAAGUUCCAAAUGCUAAUCAUAGACACAAAGACGUGAGUGUUGUCAUAACCAAGAGACUGACUCAUCUGACCAAGAUUGUCUAUUACAGUCAAACCGGAACCACCACCGAGCAGAAGCGAGAAGAAAAUCAGCCAGAAGUCUGCCUUCACUAGUGCCUGCAUUAGAGUAAAAUCUUCACCUCUGUGCGGCCCUCUCCUUCCCUUCACCCGGACUGCUCCCUCCGCAGCUGCCUGCAUUGCAUUUAGAGGUGGAUACAGAUCAAAUACUAUCAUUUUUUUUGGUAUUUGUGAUUACAAAACCGGAUAUCAGCUUCUUACAAACUUUAGUAUUUAUGAUUUGCUUUGUUUUUAAUAGAUAUUGAUUUUUAUUUUAAUUUUUGCUCAGCAAGAUAUCCGAACUUUUUCGAAUUGAAUAGAAACGAGUAACAAAUCGAAUCAAAUUUAAUGGAUAAAUUGGCCAUCCGUACCUGCAUUAGCUGUGCUUGCAAAUGAGCAAUUCUCUUAUGCCUCUCUGACGCAGGAAGCAAAUCCACAUCUCUUGGUUUCUCAUCUUCCACUUCACUCAGGAUCAAGUCAGGUGUCCUUAGUCCAGGAUCUUGGUCUUCUUCCCGUUUAGGCACAAGUGGUUCCUCGACCGUAUCAACGGGACCGUUUGAAUCACUGAAGAAACUCGUCAUGAUUGGGACCAAGACCGGUGCAAGAAGAAUGAAAAACAACACAACGGUGAACGCGGUGACGACGUUGAGGCUAACAACGGCGAGAUCUUCGAUAAGCAUAACGGCCAUGAGAUAAACAGCCAGGAGAAUGCAGACGCCGUAGAUGAAAGUAAAGCUAAAUCCAUCUGUUGGACGGAUCUGCCUGUGGCCGCCAACGGGUCUGAUGAAGAACAUUAGUGUAAUAACGACAACCGCAGGGGCAACGGCGACCAUGAAAAUGAGAGAAGCCGGGUCGGGAGAGUUGAUGACUGUGUAUAUCUGAGAGAGCAUGGCGCCGCCUAGGCCAGCGAAUCCUUUGAGGAUGCCCACCACUGGACCUCGGCUCUUGGGGAAGUUUUGAACACCAGAGACUAGUGACGCCGUGUUGAAGUAGGUUUCUCCGUUGUUCCCAACGAAUAUGAGAAUACACAUCUGAAAAAUACAAAAAAAAAAAAAAAAGUUACUUCAGCACAGCAUACUAGGAAAAGUCAAUAGCUUAACCAGAAACAGAGCAAUUGCAAAGAAAGCAGAACAAGAGAUGAGAAAGUAAAAAAGAGUGAAACUUUCAUGGAUUUGACAGUGACUUAUGAGUAACCAAACAACCUUAAAAGCAUAUACUUUCCGAGAUUCUCUCACACAAUAGUUGAAUUAAUAGAAAGUCUCCAACGUUUUCACCCAAUCAAAAACAUAAACAGAUGAAUUAAUAAGAUUGAAACUCACAGCCCAUAGAGGAAGAAUCGGAGCACGGCCAGUGACGAUAAGCCAAACCCAUCCGUAACCAACGAGGUUCUGAACAGCGCCGACGAGAAGAGCAGCCCAGAGAGGCAGCAUCUCCGAGAGAUACCCUGCGAUGAAGCCGACACUGUCGCCAAGAUCCUUCGCCACUCCGAGCCUGGCGAGCUCCUUCUGGUUGUAGUUAAGGGAGCUUUUGAUUACCGGAGAAAUGCUUCCGAACAAGUAACCGAUACCGGCGCAAGACUGUAUCCACAUGGCAGCAACGAAGACAAGCCAUCGGUUGUUUAUGAAAGAUACGAACUUUUCUCGCGUUGUUGACGCCAUUGAAGAAGAAUCAGAGAUCAAAAGGACAGAUCGGUGAAAAAAAAGGUUUUUUUUUUUUUUGGGGUGUCUGAUUGUCUAUUUGUAUGUCUUUUUUAUCGCUUUAUAAGAUUUAAAUUAUAAAAAGACAACCAGACAUUGAGACAUACUGUAAGAAGGGGAUCGUAAAGACUGUAGAUAGAUCACGCCAACAAAGCUAAGUGAUUAAGUUUGUUGAUUAGUAGUAAAUAAUAUGAUUAAAACUUAUUAAGUACAUAGAUCUACUAAUUAAGGAAGAAGACGUGUACACAUUGUAUAACAAAAGGCUCGAUGAUUUUUAUGAACAGUCCAUGUAAGAUUUGUUGGGUGAUUUGGUCCCGUUAACUCUUCAAUGCCCAAGUGCGUGUCUGCCAUCUUGCACUUGCACUUGCAGUCUUUUUUAAAUUAAGAGUGAUUAUACUAUUUGUUUGAUUCUCAUGUGUCUUUGGUGGAUAUUUUUAUAAAAAAAUACUAUAAUUAACGAUUAUUGAAUACAGUAAUUUGAAAUGAUGAAAGCUAGCAUUAGCGAAUGCUUGAAAAGUAAUUGCUUUAACGUCAUUGUCAGUACCAAUAAGUUGAAUUGAAUCUUUAUCGCAAUCAUUUUUUUCUGGCUGGGAUCAGAGGUCGUAAGAAACGAAAUAAAAGUGAGAACAUAUGAAAGUACGGUGCUCCUCCUAUCAAUGAUCCGUAAAUAUCUGCUACAUUUAUGGAGGAAUACAUCGUCUCACUAUUUUAAAAAUCAAUCAGAAGAAUAUAUAAAUUGUAUGACAUGGUGUGACCUGUGUCAUUAUCAAAUUAAAAAUCAUAUGUUACCCUUUUCGUUCUAUACUAUUGUCUAAGGUUAUAGACGAGUAAAAAGUUACGUUGUAACCGACGGGAGCUGUUAGUUUGGUGGUAGCCGUCGUAAAAAUGCUGUAAAAAAAACUUAAUUUUGUAAAAAACUUAAUUUGUUUGGUUCAAAAAAACUUAAUUUUGUUAUGAAAUAACUUAUAAUUUAUAGUAUCGAAAAAUUUAAAUAAGGGCGAAAUAUUUUCCCCGCAGAAAGAAGAUAUACGAUAAAUAUGCAAGAGAGAAUAUUUACUAUGAAGAGGGAGAAUAGAGAUGAGAUGUAAUGAUUCUUUGUUUAUAAACUCUUCUUCUUGUUUUUGGUGUACAAGAGAGUGAGAUGAGUGAUGGUAUUUAUAGUGAGCAACAAUACAUAAAAUAACAAAGAUGAUGCUUGAUUUGGUAAAUGAAUGGGUGAUCAUAGUGCUUGGUGAGUAGAUGAUCAUAGUGCUUGGUGAGUAAAUGAUCAUAGUGCUUGAGUUGGUAAAGGAGUGGAGGAUCAUUUCAAAGUUUAUCUUAUAACAUUCCCCCUUGAUUAUCCAUCUUGUAUUAAAUUAAGUUUCGUAACACUCCCCUUUGGGGACCGGUGUCACUCUCCGCUCUCGCUUAACGUCUUUGUUGCCUCGUUAAAAACCUUUCUAGGAAAACCCAAUGGGAAAAACCAUAGUAAGGUAAAAAGAGUACAACUACGUAAGCUCCCCCUCGAAUGAGCAGUCAUAGAUCCUUNNNNNNNNNNNNNNNNNNNNNNNNNNNNNNNNNNNNNNNNNNNNNNNNNNNNNNNNNNNNNNNNNNNNNNNNNNNNNNNNNNNNNNNNNNNNNNNNNNNNNNNNNNNNNNNNNNNNNNNNNNNNNNNNNNNNNNNNNNNNNNNNNNNNNNNNNNNNNNNNNNNNNNNNNNNNNNNNNNNNNNNNNNNNNNNNNNNNNNNNNNNNNNNNNNNNNNNNNNNNNNNNNNNNNNNNNNNNNNNNNNNNNNNNNNNNNNNNNNNNNNNNNNNNNNNNNNNNNNNNNNNNNNNNNNNNNNNNNNNAUAAUAUUAACAGUAUAUUUAACUAAAAUAAUUUUAAAAUUUAAUAACUCUAUUUAUAUAUAUUUGAUUAUUUAAAAAAUAAAAAAUUAAGCAUUAAAUUUAGUCGAAUAUCUAAAAAUUUAAAGUUUUAGACCAUAAUUUAUAUAUUUAUUGUUUCUAAAUUGACCCCUUUUUAUUUUAUUUUCAGACCGUUCCACUUAAACAUUGCUUAGAUUGACAACAAACCUGACAACGAGCUCAGAGAAAUAACCACCGGAGAUACGUCCAAGGAAGUUCCAAAUGCUAAUCAUAGACACAAAGACGUGAGUGUUGUCAUAACCAAGAGACUGACUCAUCUGACCAAGAUUGUCUAUUACAGUCAAACCGGAACCACCACCGAGCAGAAGCGAGAAGAAAAUCAGCCAGAAGUCUGCCUUCACUAGUGCCUGCAUUAGAGUAAAAUCUUCACCUCUGUGCGGCCCUCUCCUUCCCUUCACCCGGACUGCUCCCUCCGCAGCUGCCUGCAUUGCAUUUAGAGGUGGAUACAGAUCAAAUACUAUCAUUUUUUUUGGUAUUUGUGAUUACAAAACCGGAUAUCAGCUUCUUACAAACUUUAGUAUUUAUGAUUUGCUUUGUUUUUAAUAGAUAUUGAUUUUUAUUUUAAUUUUUGCUCAGCAAGAUAUCCGAACUUUUUCGAAUUGAAUAGAAACGAGUAACAAAUCGAAUCAAAUUUAAUGGAUAAAUUGGCCAUCCGUACCUGCAUUAGCUGUGCUUGCAAAUGAGCAAUUCUCUUAUGCCUCUCUGACGCAGGAAGCAAAUCCACAUCUCUUGGUUUCUCAUCUUCCACUUCACUCAGGAUCAAGUCAGGUGUCCUUAGUCCAGGAUCUUGGUCUUCUUCCCGUUUAGGCACAAGUGGUUCCUCGACCGUAUCAACGGGACCGUUUGAAUCACUGAAGAAACUCGUCAUGAUUGGGACCAAGACCGGUGCAAGAAGAAUGAAAAACAACACAACGGUGAACGCGGUGACGACGUUGAGGCUAACAACGGCGAGAUCUUCGAUAAGCAUAACGGCCAUGAGAUAAACAGCCAGGAGAAUGCAGACGCCGUAGAUGAAAGUAAAGCUAAAUCCAUCUGUUGGACGGAUCUGCCUGUGGCCGCCAACGGGUCUGAUGAAGAACAUUAGUGUAAUAACGACAACCGCAGGGGCAACGGCGACCAUGAAAAUGAGAGAAGCCGGGUCGGGAGAGUUGAUGACUGUGUAUAUCUGAGAGAGCAUGGCGCCGCCUAGGCCAGCGAAUCCUUUGAGGAUGCCCGCCACUGGACCUCGGCUCUUGGGGAAGUUUUGAACACCAGAGACUAGUGACGCCGUGUUGAAGUAGGUUUCUCCGUUGUUCCCAACGAAUAUGAGAAUACACAUCUGAAAAAUACAAAAAAAAAAAAAAAAGUUACUUCAGCACAGCAUACUAGGAAAAGUCAAUAGCUUAACCAGAAACAGAGCAAUUGCAAAGAAAGCAGAACAAGAGAUGAGAAAGUAAAAAAGAGUGAAACUUUCAUGGAUUUGACAGUGACUUAUGAGUAACCAAACAACCUUAAAAGCAUAUACUUUCCGAGAUUCUCUCACACAAUAG
rnacentral:lncRNA from 1 species